CUGGAAUUCAGACUCCGGCGGAAGGAAAAAGACCCGGAGUACCACGCCCAUGCUGGCAAAGCGUAGCGGAAAGUCGUCGGAGUUUGACGCGGAGGUUCAGACGCUGAGCUCUAUUAGGCAUGUGAACGUGGUGAAGCUGUACUGUAGCAUUACGAGUGAGGAUUCAAGCCUAUUGGUGUACGAGUAUCUACCAAAUGGGAGUCUGUGGGAUCGUCUCCACACUUCCAGGAAGAUGGAGCUUGAUUGGGAGACAAGGUACGAGAUUGCAUUGGGGGCUGCCAAAGGAUUAGAAUAUCUACACCAUAGCUGUGAAAGGCCUGUGAUUCAUAGGGAUGUCAAGUCUAGUAACAUUCUGUUGGAUGAGUUUUUGAAGCCUAGAAUUGCUGAUUUUGGGCUCGCCAAAAUCGUUCAAGCUAAUGGUGGUGGUAAGGACUCCACCCAUGUCAUUGCUGGAACCCACGGCUACAUCGCUCCUGGUGAGUGUUUUUCCUUUCUAUUCUGUUUAUAUUUCUUUCCUGUGUUUGGUUGCUAGGAGAAUUAGUCACUUGCACUUGCAACUAGAUAAGAUUAGAAUGGUGGUAGUAAGCUUUCUUUUCCUUCUUGAUUUUGAACUAAUUUUUGGUUGGUUAUUAAUUAUGCAGAGUAUGGUUACACAUAUAAAGUAAAUGAGAAGAGUGAUGUAUACAGUUUUGGAGUUGUUUUAAUGGAGCUGGUGACUGGGAAAAGGCCAAUUGAGCCUGACUAUGGAGAGAACAGGGACAUAGUGAGCUGGGUGUGCAGCAACAUCAAGACUAGAGAGAGUGUGCUAAGUAUCGUAGAUUCAAGAAUUCCAGAAGCACUCAAGGAAGAUGCAGUGAAGGUAUUGAGAAUUGCAAUUCUCUGUACGGCAAGGCUUCCAGCGCUGAGACCUACAAUGAGGGGCGUGGUUCAAAUGAUAGAAGAAGCAGAGCCUUGUAGACUGGUUGGCAUCAUUGUCAAUAAGGACGGUGUUACUAAGAAAAUGGAAGGCAAAACAGAGAAAUUCAAUCCAAGCCCCUAACUGUUUCUGAUAUGGGUCAGUUAGUGGAGAUGAAGUCCUUCGGGUUCAAGUUUCAACUCAGGGAAAAUGAUCUGCUGCCCUGUUGUAUCAGGUAGCAUUAUGUAAAAUUUAGGAUGUGAGGUCACUUGUAAAAUAUUUGGCUAGAGACUCUAGUAUAAUCUUUGUUGUUUGAGAAGAAAAAACUAGAGUUGGUGGACCUCUUUUUCUUUCUCUUUUGUAUUAAUAAGAGGAAUCGGUGGAAGGAAAUGCCAAUAACCUAUGGAUCUUGUGUUCUCUGUAACUAAGAUGAUGCAUGUGUAUCUUGCACCGGAUAGAGAAUCAAGGUGGUAGCUUUCCAAAAGAAACAUGGUCAAUGAAACAGAGAAUCUUCUUUUGUCAAGGGAAUUUAAAUCUUAAGUUCUACCAGAUUGGAGUCAUUAUUUGUUGACAGAUUCAAAACCUCAUCUCUCAAUAUAUUCAUGCUUCUUUGACUAAACUGAAUGGUGAAUUUCUCGUACAAACACGGGCAACUGAACAUUACGGCCACGUUUGGUGUUUGGUUCUUGUAGAACAUGAACUAAAGAAAAUGGAGAAAAAAAAUAAUAAUAAAGAAAAAUAAUUUAUUUUAAAGUCAUUAAAUUAUUUAUAUAUACUUUUUCAAAUUCAUUUAACCUGCUUUGAUUUUUUUUAUGUAAAAAUUAAAUAAUUUAUAAGAAGGUCAUUGGUUAAGGUGCGAUCAACACUUGUGAAGUCCACAUGCAGAUAUUGGUCAAGCUUCAAAAGAUGUGGAGUGAAACUGUUCACUGACAGAGGGAAUUCUGGUUAGCAGGGCACAAAAGUGGGUGCUACUGUUUUGAAGCUCAGACAUGUCUGUUAUGAUGAUAGUAUACUUGAGAGGAUAGGUAGGACUUGGGGCUUCGGACUUCGGACUUCGGACUUAUGAGUAGUCACCUUCUCCAACUUUCUAUCCCGGGAUUAUUUUGAUUUUCUUCUUUUCGAGGAGGGGAAAAGCGAACAAGAAAAAAGAUUGCAUAUAAGACACGUAGGGAUGCAGAAUACAGCUUUUAUGCACCAGGAAACUUCUGUGUGAGGGCGUCGCCCGGCCCAUGGUCCUCCCAAUGAUUCAAUAUUUGUCUAAAGUAUUAUCUAGGCCAAUGUAAUAUAUGUGAGAGUUUGGUAAGUAAAUUUUUAAUUUAUUAUUUUAAGUUAAUUUUGAAUUUAAAUAAUAUUUUAAAAUUAUUUUAGCAGAUGUACUUAAUAUAUUUAAUUUAAUGGUUUAAAUUAACUUGUUAUAUCAGUUCCCUAACGCCCCUUAAUUGUGUUCUGAAACCAACUAAUGGGUUGGGCUGGGUUUAAGUAAUUUGAGCUUGGAAAAUUGAACCGCUGUCUCUAGCUCACACUUCAAUGGGGAAAUUGGGUUUGGUUUAAGAACCUAGACAGAUUAACUGGAAGCCCAUUAUGAAACCUACUGUCACUAAGGGUGUAAAGCAGAGCCUUUCUGCAGAGGCCAGUGAACCGGGCUUUGAGAAUUCUUGAAGCUCCGAGAGGCCUCAAAGCAGUGUUGGGGGAGGUUUCAAAUCUUGGGCCCAUUUUUAGGCCUCAGCUCCUAGUAACCCACAAUUUCUUUCAAGAUGAUAGGCAGAUCUGAAUAUAUUCCAAGGUAAGGCAAAUCAGUAGUCUAUUUUCUUUGGGUUGAGUGAAUACAAGUAGAACUCCUUGCAGUUACAAAGCCAAGGAAGUAAUUGACAAAUCCAAGUGUCCAUAAAGCAAACCGUGUGUUCAGAUCCUUUAUAUUUGGUAAAACCCGCUUAGAAUAACUUCCGGUGAUGAGCACGUCAUCCACAUAUACUAGUAGCAAAACAACUUGGUCACCAGUUUAAUGUACAUACAAUGAGGCAUCAACUUGAGUUAAUCAAACCUCUCUGGAAGCUUGUUUUAGGCCAUAGAGGGCCUCAUUCAGCUUACAAACAUGGGUUGAUUUAGUAGGAUCUUCAAAUCCUUCUGCUCGAGCCAUAUACAUAAUAACCUCUCGCAAUUCACAAUUCAACAAGGCAUUGUUUAUAUCAAUUGGUUGCAUAUCUCAAUUUGAAGUAACAGCUAGCGUGAAAAUCACUUUAAUGGUAGAUGAUUUGACCAUUAGACGAAAAGUCUCCAAGUAGUUAACCCUUGCUGUUUACUGAAAUCCCUUAGCCAUUCCUUGCCUUGAUAUAUAUAUAUAUAUAUCUUUGGAUUGAGGCAUCAGGGUUGUAUUUGAAUCUCUACACCCAUUUGUUUCCAAGUAAACUCAUCUCAGAGGCUUGUGGUACAAGAAUCCAUGUAUGAUUAUGUAUAAAAGCUUGAUACUUUUCCUCCAUGACAGUUUCCCAUUUAGGAAUGGCCAGAGCCUCAGUAGCACCUAAAGGUUCUGUUGUCACAAAUUCUCCAAUAUUGGUUUGUGAUUUAAUGGUUUAAGCUGAAAAGGCUGAAGGUUUUCUGAUACCAGCUUUAGGUCUCUAUCAUGGGAUGAAUGUUUAGGGGAUUAUUAGGUGGCAAGAGAGGUUGAUCAAUGUGUGAGUCAACUGAAUGAGGUGAAUCAGUCAACAGUAUAGGUAAUAAAAAGUUAAUCUGCUGAGAAUUGAUGCUCAAAAAAGUAACAACUCUAAGAGAACUAGUUGCCACAUUAUGUUGAGAAUUGAUGCUCAAAUCAGGAACAAUUAUAGGAGAACUAGUUACUGUAUUGGGUACUUGUAGAUGAUUCAUGUCAGAUUUAUCAGACACAUUUUGGUUAGGAAGAGGUAAUGGGUAUGGAAGGAACAAACCAUUUAGAAGUGUUAUACAGAGAGGAUGAAUUUGAAGCAAAAUCUAAAGCAGGACUAGCAACAGAUUUGGUACUUGGAAAGCCAUGUUCAAAAGGAAAUUCAAAUUCAUUGAUGUUGUUAACAGAACUAACAAUGUGAAUUCUUCUAUCUGGAUCCAAACACCUAUAAGCUUUAUGAUUUAGACUAGUCCAGAAAGAGAAGCACAACCAAAGGGUUAUUUUACAAACCGAUAAUCAGGUUUAUGGCCAGAAAGUUUCUCAAAAGGUGACAAAUGUUCAAGUAGAGAUGUUGGAAGUCUAUUUACCAAAUAAACUGCAGUUGUAAAUGAAUCCCACCAAAAUUUGAAAGGUAGUUAUGGAUUGAGCUAGGAGGGAAAGACCAUUUUCAAUAUUGUCUAUGCUUUCUCUCAGGUUUUCCAUUUUGUUGAUGGGUGUAUGGACAAGGAUGUCUAAAAGUCAUACAAGUUUAAUUAAAGAAAGGGAAUACGAACUAUAUACUCUCUUCCCCAAUCAGUGUGCGAGGUUUUGAUUUUUUUUCUUUUGUCAAACAUUCUCUCAACUAGAGCUUGAAACUGAAGGAAAACAUUUAUGGAUUCAGAUUUGGCUUUCAAGGGAUACAUCAAAGUGUAAUUGCCUAGUUGGUAUAAUCAUCCACAAAAUGAAUAUAAUAUCUAUAGCAUGAAGUUGAUAGCAAAGGUGCAGGUCCCUAUUUGUCAGAAAAUAUAGAUUCAAGAGGAUAUUUGGAUUUGCUAGAUGUAGUAGGAAACUGUGAGUGUUUAGUUAGGUUGCCAAUUUUGGAUCCUAACUCGAUUUUUCCAAUCCUUCUACGGACUACUUGGCUAAUGGAUAUCAAUUUGUUGAAUUUGUCAAGAGACCAAGGUUUGUAGUUGAGUUUGGAGGAGGAUGGAUUUGAAUCAACCUUUGUAUUUAAAUGUUGUUUUUUCUUGAAAUUUUUUUUUAAGGAGUUAGGAAGGUUUAGGAAGCAUUUUUUUACUAAGUGUUCAAAAUGCUUUCUUCGAGGAUUGAUCCAGCUUUAGGUUGGAUCAAUCCAACUUACACUUUUUUUUUAUGAAAUCUCUUAUAUUGGAUUAAGGGUUUCCUUCAUUUAAAAACCUGAAACUUGUUUCCUGUGUUGUAGAGAGAGACAUAACAACACUCAUCCCUUUUGAUUUUCUUCUCAUUUCCCAUUUUAGGGUGUUUUGUUGCAAAAAAAAUCCAACUUUCCUAUUGUUUUUCAAAAUUGUUUUCAAUGGAUUUUCUUGAGGAAAAAAUGGGUUGAUUCAUUUCUUCAUUCAUCUCUCAAUUUCUAAUCAUUUGGAUUUGAGUAAAAACUCAUUUUCUUCUUAUGUGGAUUCAAGAAGAAGUCGAGAUCGAGUUUGGUGUGGACUUUAAGUGUGCUCCAGAGGAAGAUGAGAAGAUGAAAGUGAAAAGUACUAGUAAAGUGGUUCAGGAAGAAUUGGUAGACUUGAUUUAGGUAAAACCUAGUAUUCAAUUUUUAUUCUUCAUAGUGGAUGUUUUCGAUCGACUGUAGGCUCGUGGUUUUUUUUUUUUUUAAUCUCUUUAAAGGUUUUUCACGUUAAAAUUUUGUGUUAUUAUCUCUUUCUCUCAUUUUGUACUCUUUGAUUUAUUUUUAGUUUAUGAUAUGUUAAAUAAAAGAAAAAUGAGUUGAAAUAGGUGUAAUUAUCCAUUGAAUAUCUUGAAUAAUUUUUCUAUUCAUUUUGGUUAAUGAUAUUUUGUAGGAAUUAGAAAUGAGCUAAAAAGAGAAUUAUUCUUAUGAAUUAAUUUUGAGGAGUGUUAAAACAUUUACAUGUGAAUUGCAUUUAUAAAUUGUUGGGAGAGUGUUAUUGCGUUCACACUUACUUAUAAAUUGGAAGAGAAGUUUAUUGACUUCUAAGAUUAGGUAAUUUUUGUUGAAAGAUUUUAAAAAAUUGUUCAACAACGCCUAUUCAACCCCGCCACCCAAGAGUUUAACAUUUGUCUAAUCACUUGAAUUGAAAAGAUGCCCAUUUGUGCCACAAAUCAGGUCAACUGAAUCAUAAGUAGAAGAGGUAAUAGAAUAAGCAUUCUUUUUGUAACCAAAAGAAUCAGAAUUAAAACAACUCAUAUUUAUUUUAUUCCAGACUAACUUGACUAAGUUGAUAUGAACUUAAAAGCAUCAAUUAUCUUUUAUAUGGAAGUGAAAUGAGUUUAAAAUAAUUUUUAAAAAUAAUUUAUUGUUCUAAAUCUAGUUUUUAUUUUAUUUUUUCACUUUUCAUUUUCUUCUAUUUUUUUUUUUUUAACUUCUUUUCCUCGUAUUUUCUUUUAAAUCUUCCAAAAGCCAAACAUAACUUAAGCCAAUCUUGAAAAUUUUGGGCAACAGAGAAUAUUUUUUAGGUAUAAUUUUUAUGGUGAUUGUGCCUUAUAUGUGAAUGUUUAGAAUUAAUCACAACAAUACCAACAGGUGCUAUCCAAUUUUGUAGGAACAAUUUUUCUAGCAUAUUCCAAAACCUCAAAAGAACUCGAACAAUUCAGUGCAUGCCCAUACAUGGAUUCUGAAAUUGAAUUCAACAACCAACUGUCAAAUCCAACCUGUAUACUGUAGACUCCGCACAUUGCCAGUAUCGAGUUUUCAUCAAUAAUAUUUGAAUCGAUUAGUCAAACUGGACAGGUCUUUUAAUUCCCGGCAACAAAUCUUCAAGGUCAUGAGCUCUAACUGCAGGCAACACUUGUGACCUUUAGAAACCAUAAUUGUUUUGAUCUAGUUUGAUUGAGAUGGAGCCUCUUGAGGCAGCAUAUCUGCUGAUGGAAGCCAUUGACGAUUAGUCAAGAAGCUCAUACCAACAGAGAAAUCAAGUGAUUGGAUUGACUAUCAGUUUCUGGUGAUGGAAGCCAUUAACAAUUCUACACUUGAUUUACAAUGUGAAACUCAUCCCCUUCUCAAAAGUAACUAAGAUAACAAGAUAAGGUCCUGAGAUGCCACUAGGCCAAUAGGAGUUGUCUUCUUUGUUUCCACUUUGAAUAUGCCCUUUCCAUUGAAAUCGCAUAUUAUCAUCAAUUCUUUGAACAACUCUCUCUCUCUCUCUCUCUCCCUCCCUCCCUCUCUAUUAUAGAUAUAAAAGAAAGUUUUAAUAGUAGGAUCUCCACCAUGUCACCAACUCCAGUAUGGAAUACUUGUUUAAUUUUACAAGUAUUAUAUUCCAAAUUGUAAUUAUGGAUUGACUCUCUAAAGCAAAUCCAUAUUCUCUUCUUUUACACGGAAUACAAAAAAGGAGAAAUGCAAGGGAAUUGACAUGCUAUAAUGCGCUGUGAUGCGGCAAACCAGGCGGGUUAAAGGCGUCUUUACCAUCCUCAAAUUUCAUUUUCUAAUUUUGUUGUUACAUCUCAUGGAAAUAGGCCAUCCUCAUCCUGAUGAAGCAAUGGCUGUCAAUCAAGCUUUGGGCAAAAGCAUCCUAUCUCUCAGAAUCUGUUGCUUUUGCUAAUGUGAGAUGAUAGGUCGUGCGCAUUUUAGCACAACCAAAAGAAGUUUGUCGGUAAAAAGCAAGUAAUAAGGGAUUACCACGUCGGAUUUCAUCAAUGGCAUGGGGGCGUGGAGACUGGAGACUGGAGAGUGGGCAUCUUUUCUUUGCACUUGCAUCACUAUCAUUCAGAAUUGAGGACCCCUAUCCACUUCAUUCUUCAGAUUCCCAUUCUUGGGCUCAUUUUCCCCCUUUUCCUCACCACUAAGGCCCAUCAGGCCCAUUAGCUUGGUGGGACCCUGUACUUCACACUAUCAACCCCCAGUCGCCAACCAAGUCCUCUAUACGAUUACCAAGGUGUAUGCUUCCGUACAUGUGGUACAGAAGCAUGUAGCUGUAUGUCCCAAUUCCUAACAGCAUACCAGGUUUAUCUGGUUGGCUGCGGGCCUGCGAAUGUGUUUGGCUUCACCAAAUUCUGGAUCAACUUCAGCAAAUAGUGUGAUAGAGUUAAGAGAGUGAGACAAAUUUGUCACUUUCUUUGGGCAAAAACUCAUAAAUUUGUAUAUAUGUAAUUGUUUGUCUCAUGUUCUGAGCUGGACCCAGAGAAGCUACAAACGAUUGGAAGUCACAAACUUUCUUCAAAAACCAAUAAUAAUAAAAGACAAAUCAUAGACAUUACUGGAGGGCUAACCUAGUAUCAUAAUCACUGUGGUUGAAUGGGGAACAACAUAGAAUCAAAAAAGUGAGAUUGCAAACUAAUUAUACGUGGUCAAAAACCUUAGAGAGAGAAAUAUUAGAGUCAUGGUCUGCUGAAACCAAAUCAAUUAACGAUCCAGAAAGCCUCAUGUGGGUUGUAAUCAUCCGAGUUCCAAUGGAAAGAGAAUUUCACAUAUUGAUGAGAGGAUUUCAGAGUCAUGGUCUGCUGAAACCAAAUCAAGUAACGAUCCAGAAAGCCUCAUGUGGGUUGUAAUCAUCCGAGUUCUAAUGGAAAGAGAAUUUCACAUAUUGAUGAGAGGAUGGUGUAUUAGGAUCGGAUGCAGUUUAAUAAACAUCUUAUCGGUAUAAAGGGUUGAGGUUAUUCUCUACGUGGGUGAGUGGGUAUAAACAUAAAGCCUCUUUAUGCAAAGAUAUGCACCUCUCUAUCACAAUACCACUGCACGGACCUCCUUUUUCAUCAUCACGGUUUAUUACUGCUGCACCCAAUGAUCCCCUCAAUCAUCAUGUUUAUAUACCGCUUUUCUUCUUCACCCCCUCCUCUGCAAUAACCACCUUAACAACAGCCUCUCUCUCUCUCUCUCUCUCUCUCUCUCCGAUGGCUCUUUCUUGUAUUUUCUUCCUUUUUGUGUCACUUGUGUUUCUCUCCAUGCCCUCACAAGCCAGCAUAACUAACCAGUCUCACUUCUUCACUCUAAUGAAGAACUCUCUCUCUGGGAACUCCUUGUCUGAUUGGGAUGUAACAGGAAAAACGUCUUACUGUAACUAUAGUGGAGUGAGCUGCAACGAUGAAGGGUAUGUUGAAGUGAUUGACAUCUCUGGGUGGUCACUUUCUGGCCGUUUUCCACCAGACGUAUGCUCUUACCUGCCCCAGCUGCGGGUUCUUCGUCUCAGCUACAACGACCUUCAUGACAAUUUUCCAGAGGGCAUUGUCAACUGCUCUCUCCUGGAAGAGCUUGAUAUGAAUGGUUCACAAGUCAUUGGGACGCUGCCGGACCUGUCGCCAAUGAAAUCUCUCCGGAUACUGGACCUGUCAUACAACCUCUUCACAGGCGAGUUCCCUUUGUCCAUAACCAACCUCACCAAUCUUGAACAUAUACGCUUCAACGAAAAUGAGGGUUUCAACCUAUGGUCACUGCCAGAGGAUAUUUCCAGGUUGACAAAGCUCAAGAGUAUGAUCUUGACAACAUGCAUGGUACACGGCCAGAUACCACCGUCCAUAGGGAACAUGACAUCCCUGGUUGAUCUUCAGCUGAGUGGGAACUUCCUCAACGGUCAGAUUCCAGCAGAGCUUGGAUUGCUGAAGAACUUGCGACUGCUUGAGCUUUAUUACAACCAGAUUGCUGGUAGAAUACCCGAGGAGUUGGGGAAUCUGACGGAGCUCAACGAUUUAGAUAUGUCAGUGAACCGGUUGACUGGAAAAAUUCCGGAAUCCAUAUGUAAAUUGCCCAAGCUCCGGGUCCUGCAGUUUUACAAUAACAGCCUUACUGGAGAAAUUCCGGAGGCAAUUGGUAACUCAACAGCCUUGGCCAUGUUAUCAAUUUACGACAACUUCCUGACAGGAGGAGUUCCAAGAAGUCUGGGACAAUGGUCGCCUAUGAUUCUUUUAGACUUGUCAGAAAACCAUCUAUCUGGUGAAUUGCCGACAGAGGUCUGCAAGGGAGGUAACCUGCUCUAUUUUCUUGUCCUGGAUAAUAUGUUUUCUGGAAAGUUACCUGAGAACUAUGCAAAAUGCGAGUCUCUUUUACGGUUUAGAGUGAGCAAUAACCGUUUGGAGGGUCCAAUCCCCGAGGGGCUUCUUGGUCUUCCCCGCGUUUCAAUCCUUGAUUUAGGUUUCAACAAUUUGAAUGGUCAAAUUGGCAAAACAAUUGGAACUGCUAGAAACUUGUCAGAAUUGUUCAUUCAGAGCAACAGGAUUUCUGGUGCUCUACCCCCUGAAAUAUCUCAAGCUACCAAUUUGGUGAAGAUUGAUCUCAGUAACAAUCUCUUGUCUGGUCCAAUACCUUCAGAAAUUGGAAAUCUAAAUAAGCUAAAUCUUUUGCUGUUGCAAGGCAACAAGUUCAAUUCUGCCAUUCCCAAGUCACUAUCUUCAUUGAAAUCUGUAAAUGUCCUUGAUCUCUCCAACAAUCGCUUGACAGGGAAAAUCCCAGAAAGCCUCUCUGAAUUGUUGCCAAACUCCAUCAACUUUACAAACAACCUGCUUUCUGGUCCAAUUCCUCUCUCACUGAUACAAGGAGGGUUGGCAGAAAGCUUUUCAGGCAACCCACAUCUCUGUGUUUCGGUCUAUGUUAAUUCCUCAGAUUCGAAUUUCCCCAUAUGUUCUCAAACCGACAACCGAAAGAAGCUAAAUUGUAUCUGGGUCAUUGGGGCUUCUUCAGUGAUUGUUAUUGUUGGAGUUGUCUUGUUUCUAAAGCGUUGGUUCAGCAAACAAAGAGCUGUGAUGGAACAUGAUGAGAACAUGUCUUCAUCAUUCUUCUCUUAUGCCGUAAAGAGCUUUCAUCGAAUCAAUUUUGAUCCACGUGAGAUCAUUGAGGCCUUGAUUGAUAAGAACAUAGUCGGGCACGGAGGAUCUGGCACAGUGUACAAAAUUGAACUGAGCAAUGGGGAAGUUGUCGCUGUGAAGAAGCUGUGGAGUCAAAAAACAAAAGAUUCUGCUUCAGAGGAUCAGCUGUUUUUAGUCAAAGAAUUAAAAACCGAAGUCGAGACUCUAGGAAGCAUAAGGCACAAAAACAUUGUCAAGUUGUAUAGCUGCUUCUCAAGUUCGGAUAGCAGCUUGUUGGUAUAUGAGUACAUGCCCAAUGGAAACCUUUGGGAUGCCCUUCACAGAGGAAGGACCCUUUUGGAUUGGCCCAUUCGUCAUCGGAUUGCUCUAGGGAUUGCACAGGGUUUGGCCUAUCUUCAUCAUGAUCUGUUGCCACCUAUAAUUCACAGAGAUAUCAAGUCAACCAACAUUCUCCUGGAUAUCAAUUACCAACCCAAAGUUGCAGACUUCGGCAUAGCCAAGGUCUUGCAAGCAAGAGGGAAAGAUUUCACUACUACUGUUAUUGCAGGGACUUAUGGUUACUUGGCCCCAGGUAUUAUCCUCAUCCAACUUUAUUUUUCCAUUAUGGCACCAUUUUGACAGCACAAAUUAAUUUUACUGGUAGAGCCAGAAUUGUUGAAUUCAUUUUUGUUAAUGGUUGUGACAGAAUAUGCAUAUUCAUCCAAGGCGACCACCAAGUGUGACGUGUACAGUUUUGGAGUAGUACUCAUGGAACUAAUAACUGGGAAGAAGCCAGUAGAGGCAGAGUUUGGGGAGAACAAGAAUAUCAUAUAUUGGGUUGCAACCAAAGUGGGUACGAUGGAAGGAGCUAUGGAGGUUCUAGACAAGCGCUUAUCAGGGUCCUUCAGAGACGAGAUGCUUCAGAUGCUGCGGAUUGGCCUCCGCUGCACGAGUAGCAGCCCGGCCCUUCGCCCAACUAUGAAUGAGGUUGCCCAGUUGUUGACUGAGGCGGACCCAUGCAGAGUCGAUUCUUGCAAGUUGUCAUGCAAGACCAAAGAGACGUCCAAUGUCACCAAGACAAAGAACCCAUUUGAAUUAUGAUUACAGGGGCUUCGUAAUGGUAGAGUUGAAGUGAAGUUGUAUAGUAUAGCUAGCAUCACUAGGAUAUAUACCGCUCCUUCUCAUACUAAUGAGAGGCUUUUCUUGGAGUAACCUUUUGCCUUUUGCCUUCUUUUAUUUAUCUCCUUUCAAGGCUCGGAUUGAAAGUAGAAGCAGAAGCGAGGAAAAUGCUGAAAAUGACUCAGAAGCUAUUUUCAACACUAAAACUUCUGAAAAUUACUCAGGAAUAAACUUUUUCUCUCAAGUUAUUUUCACCAUUUUCCUUUCCUUUUCUUCAGCUUAACAAAGUGUUCAUAUGUAUCUCUCCUAAUUACUAGUAUACAUCUUUUAUUUGCUCUCGUGAUGAUUUUAUAAUUAUAAUCACUACAAACUGCUUAAGGGCAACGCACGGCAUCUAUAUUUUUCAUAGACCCACAAGAUGAAAUCAUUAUCCAUCCUUUGAGAAAUCUUUUUUUUUUCUCUCUCUCUCUUUCUCCUUUUAUCUUUCCUCUUCAUUUCACGAGAGUGAUCCAAAGUAAAGACACUCCAAAAAAGGGCAGAGAUGUUGGUGAAGAGUGGAGGGUUGCGAUUUGCAAGGGGCUUCCUUUUGCGUGGAAGUGGGUUCCUGAUUCUGAAUUUAAAAUGUAUGCGUGAUUCGUUGGAUGGCCCCGCAUCGUCUAAGCUAUCCAUUGGAAAAGAUGAAUGGGCCUGUUUGAUUGAUGAGCUUCCUUGUCUUCAUUCAGGUGAGGGACACACUAAAGCAAGCAGAAGCAGAAGCAGAAGCCUUUUCCUUUUUUAAUGUUUCUUCUUUUUCUAUGUGAGCUUGAUUGUUUUGUUGGAAAGGAAGGACCAAGCUUCUUUUCUUCACCGUAGAUAGUGAGCCAUGAAACACCACUUGGAUGAUGGAACAACCCCUUUUUAGACAUGAUGCUUCCAUUUCUUCUGAAUUAAUAUAUAGCUCUACACUGCCUAUGAAAUAGCUAGAUCACUCAGUGAUUCAGUAGACAACAUCGAAUUCAACUAGUAGUAAGUAAUCAAUUUGUGGGUAUUUUCGGCCAUAUUCCAACACCAAAUUGUGACAAGCAUAAAACAUGAGAAUGCGCACACGUGUUUACGCCCUUGUGUGCAGAAAUGCGUCUGAAUCCAACUCCGUGAGUGGCAGAUGGGGUCCUCCUUCUCUCAGGGGAAUAAGAUUCAUAAGACUCAAAUAUUUCUUUUAGCAUGGUGGAGAGCCCAUAAAUAAAAAGCGAGAAACUUUCAUCAAAGAUAGUGCUUCAAGAAAAGGAAAAAAGAAACAAAAAAGAUAGAAAAAAAUGAAGACAGACUAGCAUGACAAGCAAUGCUUUCAGAAGAAGUUUCUUCCUGCAUGUCCAAGAAGCAAAAAAAAUCCAUUCACUAGCAUAAAGCAGAUGUAGGCCAUAUUUUCUAAAAUCUAUUAUCAAAUUUGUUUUACUUUCCUAAUCACUGAGACUCAUGAAAAUUCUUCGUUCAAGUACAAAGUCCCAGCAGUUCAAGUCAAGACAAACUGCUCAAAGACGCUGUCCCACCACUUGGGUUUUGAGGAUGACGGUUUAGUAGUAAAUUAGUAAUUGUGGGGUCAAAAGUUGACGAGCCGAACUUCAAUCCAUAGUGCACUAAAAAAAUGUACAGGCCAUGAAUACCAAGUAGAACAUAGUAAGAUAGUGCGAGUAUUAUACCCCAGAAUGGUGGUGCAUGCUCCCUAGUUGGGGUGGUUUUAAAAGGGUUGGUGAAGGUACUGCAAACAUUCCACUGCCUGAAGUGACAAUUCAUAGUGAAAUGGCAAUAGUUUUGCCAAUCUGAAAGACACACAACCACAACAAUAACUACUGGUUCGACUACUAGUAACGCACCGAAUAAAAUUGCAGAUCCGCAAGUGCAAUUUUUUUAUUUUUUGUCUGCAAUGAUUGUGUGAUGCAUUGGAGGGUAGUGGUGCACCCACGCUGAGGUGGUUUUUAGGGAGUUGAGUAUGCAUUUAUGUAAUUUCCCAAACAGUUGACGUGCAUGCCGCUUGACCAAAUUUAUUAUUUCAAUUAUUAUAGUUCAAAAUUCAUUUCAUAUUUCUUCUACCGCUGUUUACUUUAAAACAAAACCCAUAAGAUAGGAGUGGUGCAUCCCCCCACCCCCUCUCGUUUUUUGGGCCUGAAAGUAGCAGUUAUUCAUCACCUGAACCCUCUGCAGAGCUCCCACUCCCCAUGAGGUGGGAGUAGGGAGUGGUGGGUGGCUGAUGAGUUCAACUUCAACCCUUGCGUAGGGGCUUUGAUGGGCUUGGCCCAAGUUUACAAAUCACUUGACUGAUGACGCAAAUGCACAAUAUCACACACAAACCCAUGUCAGUUGACGCCUUUCCCAGAUGUGGCAGCUAAUGCCUAAACCUCUAAUGUCUAGAGAUUUACACAUUGAAAAUAUUAAUGCGUCGAAAUCAAGAAAGCUACCGUCACAAGCAUCAAGCAUCAAGCAUCACCUUCCGGGAUUUGCAAUGUCAUUCUGUCAAUCACAUCGAGAUUCAAAUCCAAUUGUCCCUCCCUUGUUUCCUCCUUUGCUUUAUAACUCCUUCUCCACCCGAGGUCUCGGAACACUGCCAGCUAUCAGCUUGCUAGUCUUCUUCAAUUUCCCAAUACUCUCUCCCAAUCCCAUAUGCCUAUCCCAGGAGUAUGAAAUAUCUUCUUCUCAUUUUUAUAAUUAGCUUAUUAAAGAAAUAGGUGGUGCAGUGAAAGAAGGGGAGUAUCCCAGCGGGCAUAUGAAGUCUUUGAAAAUCCUAUUUAAGCAAAUGCCGCUUUCCGGUUAGGGCUUAUUAAAGCAUAGGAGGAGUGAAUGAGGUAGAGACAUCCCAUUCCCAUGUCAUUGAAAAAGUUGGGACCCCCCAUUCCGUGGUUGAACCAACCACAAGAAGUGACAAAGGGAAAAAUCUUUUGGCAAAUGGCCAAACCCAAAAAUUCUUCCUCUUAACCUACACAAUAAAUUUGUUAAUGAAAAACCAAAGACAUAUAUUUUAGUUAAAAAAAUAUUAGCUUCAAUUUGUUUUGAAAAACAUUUUUUAGUUUUAGUUUUUAUUUUUUUAAAAGCAGAUGAUCUUUUUUUCUUUUUUCUUUUUUUUUUGAAAAUAUAUUUGACAGUAAUUUUUUUUUCAAAAUAAAAUCUAUAAAAUGUAUCGUGUUUUUAUCAUAUAAAAAAUGUUAAAAAUAAAUGUAAUUGAAUUUUAUAUUAUAUGCAUGUGAUAUUUUAUGAGAUAUAUUAUGUAUAUACAUUAUUUUUUAUACGCUAUAUAUCUUAUUAAAUCUAAGAUUAUUAUUAGAGAUUAAAUUAUGCAAUUGUGGUAAAAUAGAUUAAGACCCAUAAGAGGAACACUUAUCAAAAGAGUAUUAAGUUGAAAAGAAUAAAGACAUUUUAUAAUAAUAACAAGAAGAAGGGUAAAUUUCAACAACAUGACAACUUAUUUAAUUAAAUCCAUCUUAGCAAGGAUCUUGACAUGAAGUUUUAAGAAAAUGUUGACAUGAAAUUUCACCUAUCUAAAAACGUUGUUGGAGGCAAGCCUCAAUGUCAAGUUUGUAAGAAAUUUAGAUAUGAAGCUUUGAAUUGUUGGCAUCACUUUGAUUACAACUAUUGCUCCCUAAAAAAUUCACAAAAAUGAUUGCUCUUCUUGCAAUUCUAAACAUUGUAGCUAACAAUUCUUGAUAUAUAGACAUAGGUGCUACUCAUUCCAUUACUCUUUAUCUAUCCAACUUGAACAACACUAGUCAUUUUCUUGGCAUAAGCAAGGUUUUAGUUGGCAAAGCUCUAGAUAUUUCCAAUAUUAGCCAAUUUAUCAUUCCUUUUUAAUUUUGUCCUAUUAUCAUAUAUAAAGUUUUAUUUAUUCCACAAAUCUCCAAAAAUACGUUAUUGUUAGUAGAUUUUUAAUGACAAUGAUUUUGUUGAAUUUUAUGUUGAUUUUUUCUUUGUUAAGGAUCUACUCUCAAAAUAGGUCCUUCUUCUAGGCAAACUUGAUCGAGGUCUUUACAAAGUCUCAUUAUAUUCAAUAACUUACGAUUCAGGUUUAUUGUUUUCCACUUCAAUCACUCUAUUUAUAUUUGUUAUUCAAAAUAAGAACUCUAAUUUUUGGCAUUAUCAUUUAAAUCACCAAGUUGAUCCCGUUGUCAACCAUGUUUUACAAUUUUGUAAUGAGUAACCUAUUUUUUUCAAUUUAGUUUGCAAAUCUUGUCAAAUGACCCAGAACUAUCAAUUAAACCCUUUAUUGAUUCUAAUUGUUAAUUAAUAAAACAAUUUUAUGUAGUGUAUGCUGAUUUAUAAUGUCUCUCUCUAAUAGAAUCUAUCUAUGGUGUUGACUAUUUCUUAUUAUUUAUUGAUGAUUAUACUCAUCUCUUAAAUCUAUUUAUUGUAAACUAAAAAUAAAGCUUUCACUCAUUUCUUACAUCUUCAAGUCAUGAUUAAAAAAUAAUACAACACUUUGAUCAAGUCUAACUAAUCUAAUCGGAGGCGUGAGUUUCAUGCUUUUAUAAAUUAUUUACUCACUCAUAGUAUUACUCACAAAGUUUCUUGCUUUUAUGCACUCCAACAAAAUGGUAGAGUUGAGAGAAAACGCCUUAAAGUCUUUGAUUACUCCUAAUUUACUUUUCUUAGGUCCUAUAAUCAACAUAAGUUACGAUUUUGGUCUAUUAGGUGUAUUUUCCCAUGCUAUAGCUCCAAACACGAGCUAUUUGUGUUUGGAUAUUAAUCUUUUGUGAACUCUACAUUUCCAAAUUUCUUAUCUUUGAUGAGCAAGUUUUACCAUUUGUUGAUUAUUCUCUUUCUUUAGUAUUUUCAUUAAUAUACCUUCAUUUGAUCCUCACUAGCUCCUUUCUUUCGACAAUCUAAUUUUAUUUUACCUACCAUUCUAGCUUCCAUUUACCUUAUCUACUUGGUUCAAAUCAUCCAUCCUAUUAUACUUCUACCUCACAACUAGCAAAUCUACCUAUAAUUUUCUUUUUUAAGUUAAUUAAUGCUAUGGUUACCCAUUUAAAAAAUAGUAAAGUAAGAGUAAACUUUGAGCUUUACUUAGUCCUACUAAUAUUUUUGUUUUUUAGUCUUAUACUCAUAAACAAGCUACAACAAUAUCAAUUGGGUUUUUGGCUAUGCAAGCUAAGUAAAAUGCAUUUUUUAUAAUGCUUUAUUCAAAAAACAAUACCUAGACUUUAGUCCCACAACCUCUCACUUAAGUGUAAAUGAGUUUCUAAGCUCAAAUAUAAACCUAAUGGUAGUAUUAAAGAUACAAAAUUCAUUUGGUAGCCAAGAGCUUUCAUAAAACUCAAUGAAUGACUACUUUGGACCUUCAACACGUUUGUUAAACCUCCCAACAUUCAAUUUAUUUUAACAUUGGCAUUAUCUAAGGGUUGUUUAAUUCUUUAAUUGGAUGUGCAAAAUGCAUAACUUAAUGUGGAUCUUGAUGAAGUUGUUUUCAUGUCACAAUCAUAGGGGUUUGAAUGCUCCAUCAAACCUCAUUAUAUUUGUUGAUUAGACAAAUCUCUUCAGGGCCUCAAAUAGCCCAUGAGGGCAUAGUUUACUAAGUUAAGCAGAUCUUGAUUGGAGCAGGGUUUUUAGACCUCUAAGUCAGAUUCUUUUAUGUUUUUUUUAUAAUAAUAGUAUGUUAUGAUUGUAUUACUUAUAUAUGUCAAUGAAAUUCUUAAAAUUGGUACUGAUUCAUUCUUAUGUAAUAACUUAUUACUAAUCUAAAUUCAAUUUUUUUAAAAAAAAGAUUUUGGUCUCCUCAAUUAUUUUUUGGGCAUUGAGGUGAGUUUAAGUGGUUCCUCCUUACAUUUGAAUUAAGUUAAAUACAUUCAUGAUCUUUUGGACAAAAACACAAAUGACCAAUGCUAAGUCUUUGUCUACUCCUAUGUCUUCUGAUCAUGUUCAUCUCUUCAUAACAGAGAAUUGUUGAUAAUUAUUUUAGGAUGCUUCCAUUUAUGAAAGAUUGUUAGUGCCUUGCAAUACUGCACUAUCAAAUGUCUUAAAUUGGUCUAUGUUAUCAACAAAAUUUGUCAAUUCAUGCAUGUUCCAACUAUUGGUAAGUUGUAAAAGGGUUUUAUAGCAUCUUAGAGGAACUUCUCUACAUGCUAUAUCCCUUACAACUUUUAACCUUUUCAAUCUUGUGAUAUUCACAAAUAUUGCUCGGGGAAGUUACCUAUGUGAUCAUCACAACACUAGUUGUUAUUGAGUUCUCUUUGGUGGUAAUCUUGUCUCUUAUUCCUCAAGUAAAGAGAAAGUAGUUUCCAAAUCAAGCAUUGAAAUUGAAUAUUGUGCAUGAGCUAAUGCUAUUGUGGAGCUCUCAUAGAUCUGGUUAGUUCUCAUUAAGCUCAAAGUUCCUUUGUGUACUAUUUUUACAUUAUUUUGUUAUGACCUUAACACCACCUAUUUGACUACUAAUUUUACGCUUCACUUUAAGGUGAAACAUGUUGAAAUUGAUUAUUACUUUGAACACCAAACGUAUCCUCACCAAAUCUUUAGAAAAUCCUUUUGUUCUAUCAAAAGAUCAACUUAGUGACACCAUGACUAAGUCUUUAUCCAUACAAAGGUUUCUCACUUUCUUCAAGCCAACCCUAUGAUACAUCCUUGUCAACUAACUCAAUGGUUAAAUAGUUAAAAUAUGAUUAUGUAAUUUAUGACAUGUAAAUUUUUUAGGUUCAAUUAAGCUAUAAGAAUCAGUUGCAACAAUCUUUCAGAAUUUUCUUAUUUAUUUUUUAUCUAGUUAAAUAAACCCCAAUGGUAGCUCUGUUCAUGCUGGAGAACAAAGUACCCAUUUUUUUUCCCUUAAGUUUGUUGAUGACCAACAACAGCUAAGCGAUUUAGCCAUUAGCUUUAAAUUUGGCACCAUUCCUACAAUAGAAGCUGAUCGGCCAACCGAAGUGGUUCAACACAGCCUUCAAUAAUAAAUAUAAGUUACUACUCUUGCUGGGCAGAAGCGUUUAUGGUCCUGGAAAGACGGUGUACUAUUUGAGUAGAUUAGGAAAGCGCUUAGCUGGACGGGAGCUUCAAGGGUUGAGCUUCUUUCAAUGUUACCGACCAGUGACGUUUAAGGCACAACACCAAGGCAGCUUUUACUUGUCUGUCACACUGGGCGGCUCUCUCAUUACAACCAUUUAUUAAUAUUUUUAACACCUUAAUUAAUUACCCUUCAUCUGCCCACCCCACCCCACCCCACCCAUCUCCAUUUUUUUUCCUUCAUUAUUAGUAUUAUUUUUAUAAAAGAAAGAGGCAAAAAAAAAAAAAAAACUGACAUUCAAUCAAUAUCGUCAAAUACAAAUGAAUGAAUAUGCACGUUUGGGACAACAAUUCUGUGGGGCAGCUAGUCCGUCCUCUUGUUGGUCCCACACAUUUACCCAUCUCGGGCGAUGAUGGGGUUGGUUGGAGCCUUUAGGAAUUGUCUGAUUCCAUUUGGGUGGUUGGAUCCUUCAUAUUUCUUUUCCUUCACUAAUUUCACUAGCGUUAAUCUCAAAUCUAUAUCAUGUGUCAACUUAAUUAAUUAAAAUUUAAUAGAAAUACGAAAGCAAAAGGUGAAUGGAAAAGGGUGGAAUAAAUUGAGUGAAACAAGAAAAGGAAGACGCGGAUGAGUAGCUUCCUUGUCAAAGAGGUUGGAGUUUGAAUCAAAUGUUGACAUGAAAGUACACAACUAAUCAAUGUUGAUUACCAAAUAACAAAUUAGGCUUGCCGACACAAGAAAGGAUGAGUAAUGGAAGGCACUUCGUACAAUCCCCGUUUAACCCUUCUUGUUUUGGGUGAGGAGAGUGGUCUUUUUCUAUUGGAAAGGUCGGGAGGUGUUGGAGGGGUAGAGGCUGGUUGGGGACUACGGCCCUAAGGGAAUUUACUUUGGCCUUUAGGGUCCACAUCCAUCAUUCCAUCACGGAAAAGGUGAAAUUGCCCAAUUACUUUCAAUGAAAUAAUGAAUUGAUGAUUGAGGGCUUUACACAUCCUCACGGACCUCACCAGUCACCACUACUAUUUCCUAAACCCAAAAGGGCGUGAAAGCCACCAAACAAGGUUCUACACUCCUAUUAUAAGACCAUCCUAAUGCCUCCAUUACUUAAUUCACAAUUUUACGUCUAUAUACAUGAAAUUAUCAUACUUGAUUGAUUUUUGGACAUCAAUUUUGCAAAGUGUUUUUUUCCCAUGUAAAGUUGAACUGAUAUUAUUGCUACCCAAAUAACAACACUAAUUAUUACUAGAAAUUUUGGAUCAAUUUAGAUUAGUCAAGAAAAAAAUUAUAAAGUUUGUGCGUGUUAGGCACCACCUAAAAUAAUACGAUACUUGGACCACCAUGUGUUGUAAGAUUACUUUUAUACGCUUAACAUCAUAAAAUUAUUUAUUUGUUUUUUUUAUGAUGCAUUGAUUUAUGAUAAGUAAUAAUUAAAUAUGAGUGGCUAAAACAUUAGAUUUAAUUUGGUUUGCAAACAUUUUUCUUAUUUUUAUUUUCUAAAAACGUUUUUAUCUUGUAUUUUAUUUGGUUUCGGGUUUUCAUUAACUUAAAAAGUUGUUAUAUUUUUUACAAUGUUUUUUAUUUAAUUUUAAAACAUUUAGAAAUAUAUUCUAAUAUAUUUAUAAUUAAUCAAAUAAAAUAUUAUAAUAUAAAAAAUAAAUCUAUUUAUUAAGCUAAUGCUGAGAAUAUUUUAUAUCAAGUAGGAAGCAUCCUAUCCUAUCCUUAUCGGGGCUUGACCAAAUGAGAAGGGGGGUUAAGAAAUUCCAUUUCCUAAUAUGUACAGGGAGGCAAGUCUGCUACUCCCAUCGUGCCUCCAUUUGAAAAUUGAAAAUAGGAACAAAAUAAAAUAUUUUUUCCAAGGGGGAAGUCCAACACAAAGAUGAAAGAUGUGUCCAAGAUCUUUCUCUAUUGCCAUUCUUAAUUACUGCUGUCUCAAAAGAAUAAUCUGUAUGAAUAAUGUGAGUGAUGAUUAUGAUAUUAUUUGGGUAAUGAGAUCAAUGGAACUUCCAUGACUGAAUGGAAAAAUCACGAAUUUUGUAUAUGAUAAGGGUAUGGGAUGGGAUUUGGGAGGCUUAGAACUUAAUGAAAGAGUGGAGGUGCAUGUGACAUUGUGACACACCGAGAAGAGAGCGAGUCGGGCGGUGGGGGGUGGUUUCCACUUUCCACUUGAUGAUGAUGACAAUAAAAUUUAAAAGAAAAAAGAAAAGAAAAUAAGAAGAAGGGUCAAAAGGGUCAGAUAGGAGGGGCAACACACAGGUGGGACAAAUCGGCGAGUGCUACCAGAAAAAGCAAGCCAAGAGAAAGUUGAAAAUGGCUUUUCACCGGCCUUCCCAAAUCCAAAAUCCCAAUGCCUCUCAAAACGUUCUCUCUAUACCAAUCAAAAAGCCCUGAACUUUCCCAGACACACACACACUUUCUCUCUCUUUCUCUCUCUCUCUCUUUCUCCUUCAUUUCUAAACGUAAAACCCCGCCCAACAAACCUCGCAACCAAAGGUUUCUCUCUACAUUCUGCAAUGGCUGUCAAGGGAAUCUUCUUCUCUUCCAUUUUCAUUGCCUCCAGUGAACAAAAUGCCCUUGGUCCGAAUGAGGUACCAUUUCGCCAUACCUUUGUAAAUCGAAGGUCGUUUUCGUGCAUUUUCAGAUGAGAGGCGUAAAAUGUAGUCUCUCUCUGUAAAUCCUCCCCCUCGUUGUGUGGUAAAAGGCAGACAGGAUGGAGCCAGGCAAUAUAUAUAUAUUUAUAUAUUUAUAUAUAAAGUUUUUUCUUUUUCACUCACAAAACUCUCACACCCCUUUUGUUAUUUCUGCUUCCUUUUUUUUUUUUUCCUUUCUAUUUUUGGGUUUUGGUUUUUCGUGUUUUCGUUUUUUGCGAGACUGUAAAAGAGGUGGAGGAGGAGCACACCACUCGUCAUCGAUAAUGGUUAUCGAUCGUCAUCCAUGGAAAUGCAAGGAGGAACACAGUGUAUGAAUGAAGCAUUUUGGUGGCUUCAUAUAUGUAUGUAUUUAGGGAUGUUGUGCCCUUAUAUAGUUAAUGAGAUGAUGAGAUGAUGAUGAUGAUGAUGUAUGCUUUUCUAAAUUUUCCAUUGAUUCAAAUGGGCAUAUGGAUAUAUAAAAAAUACAUAGUUCUUCUAUAUGUGGUUUUGCCCUUUCUGUUGGAUUUUGUUUUCUGUUUAUUUUUGGUUCAUGUGUUGCUGGUCAGGUGAGCAUUGUUAAAUCUGUGGGUUCUUUUUGCCAUUUUAUCUUACUCCUUUCCUUACUUGUUGAAGCAAAUGAAAGGGGCUUUUUGGGGGGAAAAGAAGCCACCUCAAAGUAAAGACUAUUCCAUUUUUGCCUUUACAAGCAUAUGAAAUUAGCGCAUUUGGUUGCUUCCAGCAUUUCAGAUGAUCCCUUCUUUUAUUUCCUUUUUUCCCCUUUGCUGGUCUCUUGUGAAAAAUGGGACAAAAAUGGAAAUGACAGAAUCUUCACAUUUUCCAUGUGUUUCUCUGAGAAAUGGGCUUCGAUUGUUGGGAGAAUGGUGCUUAUUUUGAUUUGUUAUUUUAUCUGCGUGUUUGUUGUUUGUUUCCAUCUAAAAUUUAAUUUUAGAUUAGAUCUUCUGAUUUGUAAAUAAAAAUUUUUGGAAGGCAUAAUUUUGUUGUUUUAGGCUUUUUUUUUUCCCUUACUCGUCUAUUUUAUUUUAUGGCAUUGUUUAUCCAGGAAGAUCUACUGUGACAUCUCCAAAUGAUGCCAAAAGAAAAAGUGAUAUGCUUUGAAUUUCCAACACAAUGCAUAUCCUGGUUCUGGUGAAUCAAGGCAUAUUCAUUGAAGGGGCACAAGUGACCCUGACCAAUAUCCUUAUUUCAUCUUUGCAUAGAAAUCUCCUUUUUUAUGGGUGUUCCAUGGGAUUGGGGGCAGGAGGAAUGUCUCUAGCUGUACAUGGUGAAUUGGGGUGGAGGCACCCGUUGGGUCAUCAUGAAGCAGCUUAGUGAUCCCUACAGGGGGUUGCCCUUAGACAAAUUGCUUUAACUGAUAUGGUUGUAUCUUUAUGACUUCAAGCUUUGAAUGGUGAUGGUGGAAAUGUUGUCUUUAACUUCAGCUACUGCAAAUUAGAUCUGUUCAUGCUUAUACCCAUUUGUUUACAAUUAGUACACUUCCCCAAAUUUCCACAGAUCAAAUUCUGCUUGUGAAGUGAUCAAAGUUCAAUCCAAAGUGGUAUUCUCAAGCCAUAUGAAUCUAAUUGGUUUUAUGGUUUUACACUUCUGUUGGCUUUAUUGAACUCCCCAGGAUGAAGUUCACCUGAUUGGUAUCAUGGUUUUAUACUUCUGCAGGCUUCAUUGAACUUCCAUGAAUGGAGUUCACUUUCAGCCUCACAGGAUGUCACCUUGAAAACUGUAAAACCUUGAAAUGUUGAGAGCUUUCAAGUUGAUCCCUGUUAUUACUAUCAACAUGAAAAGAGAAAUGGUCAUGCUCCAGUUCAAGGGAUGACAUCCUCUGAAAAGCAAAAAGCCACUUCUGGAUUUUAUUUUUGUCUUUUAUCAUCUAUCCGGAGGUUUGACUAGAUUUUCCCAAGCAUAAAGCCUUCAUGACUGGCAAACAACUAUCAAAUGAGGCUAAUACCAUUCAGGAUUUCUUGAAUGAAUCAUAGAUGAUCAAAUUUUGUUUUUCAUGAUUCAAUAUAUAGGAACCUUCAUAGCCAUGUGUUUUAUUAUGGCAAAGAUCAAAAUUAACUGACUCAACCGGAACCAUUCCUGAAUAUAUGCUUUUGCCAAAAUGAAUGUUCUAGAGAGGUGCCUACUGUGAUGAAUUAAAUAUUAUGCUAGCAUUUUCUGUAUGCUUGUGAUCUCAUAGCAAGACCCAUGUGAUGGAGCUACAUGUUAAUUUUUCCAAUUUUGAUGUGCAUUUACCUGGGUUGUGCACGUAGCUUCAUUUCUACUUGAUUAUAUAGUAGAGAAGUGUGUUGAGACAGGAAGGAUAAUGAAGUGCUUCAACCAUGCUAUAUCCGCUUGUCCAGAACGAAAAAAAACAUAUAAUUGCAUCUGAAGACAUCAAGUAUACUGACCCCUUCUUGCUCCUUCGCCACUAUCAAACGUUGUCAUCACUGUGCUAUGUCUCAACCACCUUUUGGCUGGUUUGUUUAUAUUGUUCAGACUUCCUUAGGGUUGGGAGUUUGUGAUCUUGUUAGCACCAUUCCUUUUUUCUUCUUGUUUGUGUGCAACUAUAUAUAUAUACACACACACACACAUACAUGUGUGUAUGUAUAAGUUCUUAGCCAUUUCCUUUUUAUUCUUUCCUUACAUCAAUAAUAUUUUCUUUUAUUGAAUUCAUUUUAGGGCUGCACAGGCUUUGUGUUAAGCAAUCUUAUGCAUAUUAGUGUCUGCUUCUUAAAAAUAUAUAUAUAUUUCAUAAGUUUUGUUCUGUUAUGUAACGAAAAUUGGUUUUUUUGUUUUGUUUUGUUUUGUUUUGUUUUAUUUGAGAUGCAAGUGUUUCCAUCAUCUAAGGUGUACUUGUUAGACAAAAAUGAUGUACUUCAGAAUCCUGUGCAGUGAUUUCCCCCUGUUGCUAUCUUUUACUACCCAUUAACAAUCCUAGUCUGCCAAGAAAUGACACACAUUAUAACUAUUGAUACCUCUGGUUCCAACACGCUACUCUGAAUGGUUUAAAUGCAUGUUUCAUCUACACAUGACUCUCUGAGUCUCUCUGUACUGGUGGCAUCUUUAACUAUUUUGUUUUGUUUUUUUUAGCGUAUAUUUAUUUCUUUUCAUAUGUUUGGGAUUUUGCAAUUGCUUGAAUGUGUGGACUAGAACUAGAACAUCUCUGUGCUGUGUCAUUGGGCUGAGCUCAAUGUAAUUCUUUAACAUUUCCCCCAAUUCACAGGACAUGGUACCUGGUGUUGCCUUGGGUAUGAUUGCAUAGAUAUUCUUAUGAAGCCACAGUAAUGUGAUAUCUCAUGUAUAGUUAGUUUGAGUGGUUGAUGAUAUUUGUGCAUGAUGACAGAAGUUAACUCCAUUUGAUUUAUUAUGAUCUUAUGAUGAGAUUAACAAGUUCCACUUCACCAACCAACCCGUCAUGAGAUUUCAUGUUUCAGCUCAUCACCUCUACAAACAGGAUGAUCGAGAAUCUUUCUGGCAAGGCAGUCUAUGCUCAAGCUUGGUGAUCAACAAUUUUAACCCCUUGCAUAUAUUAUGGCCAUUGACAAGGAUUAAAGUUUCGCAAAAUGUGGCCAUUAUCACCAAAAGUACGGUGUAUUAGCCAAGCCCCAUACGAAAAAGGGGUGAAGAUCUCGGUUGAUUGAAAAUAUUUUGCUUCCGCACGCCAAAUCCUAUUGAAUGAAUUAGUUUUAAUUAUCUUAUUUUCAAAUUUUUGGAUAUUUUCAUAAAAUACAAUUACCAAUAUUUUUAAAAUUUUAACCCUUGGAGGCCACACUGCUCCCUAAUGCAGGCGAUGGAACUCUAAUUAUUAGAACACUAUUCUUUUGAUAUCAUUUGGUCUGGGGUGAGUCGAAAGUUGGAAUUCAGUUUGUGGGUUAUAACUUAUAUGAAAGGAUAAGAAGGCCCAAUUCUAGGCUCUCUAUUUUUAUAAAUUUCAAGAUAAUCCAUCCUGGGCCGAGCCCGUACCCGCCUCUGCGUCCUACCUGAGGCUAGUGAUACAAGCGUCGGACCUACUUGAUUGACAGCCCACCUAUCCAACAACAAUGCAUGUGCCCUGGUCAUCCAUCUACAAUAAUGCGCCCUCCUACCUCCUCGUUCUCGAUCUUACCCUUCCACUUAUAGCCAACGCUCAGUUGGAGGUUUAAUGGCAAUGAUGCAAUUUCGUAAUAACUCCCGCCUGUUUUAAUAACAAAAUUAAAAGCAGGCGGGAUAAUUAGCCAUUUAAAAAAUUUGCGAGUGGUUGCGUUAGCCAGCUGGAAACCGCGGUCAACUUAACCGGGGUUAACGGCAGAUCUUUUCCACAUCUUUUCCAUCUCUCUUUGCGCCGCUGCUCUAUAUAAAGCAAAGCAUCACCAGAUUCACCACAGAUACGCAGCCAAGGGCGUCUUGAUAAACGCCGAUCAUCCUUCGCAUUUGCUUUGAAUUUUCUCCCCUCCAUCUGCAGCAAAAAUGAGAGAGUGCAUUUCCAUUCACAUUGGUCAGGCCGGUAUUCAGGUUGGCAAUGCGUGCUGGGAACUUUACUGCCUCGAGCAUGGCAUUCAGGUAAUUAAUUGAAAAUUUUGUUUGUCGAUUCUCUGGUUUCUGUUUUUAAAUGCUCCUGCUUUUUUUGAAUUUUUUCAUUUCCAUAUUUCACCAGAUCCAGAUUUUGUGUAUUGUGCGCAUUUGUGAACAGAUACUGCCAUAAUUUUUCUAUGGACUAAUGGAUGACGUUUUGUUGUAAUUAGAUCUUUCUAUAUUCUUCCAAGUUUAUGCUUCGAUUAUAUGGUCUGACGCUUCCACCUGAUUCGUUUUUGAAUUUGUAUCUUUAUUAUAUCCAGAUCUGCAAAGAAAUCUUAAUUUUUGUCUUAUAGUUUCAUAUUUACCAGAUCCAGGGUUUUCCGCUUUCUGUAAUUUGCGUUAACAGGAAGUAAACACCAUUGCUGAAUAACGUUUACAUGCUAGGGUCGAGCAGACUAUGUCAUUUUAUCAUUUUGAUUUCAGAAUUUGUUACAUGUUCCACAUGUGUUACUAGAUCUAAAUUUUAUUUUAUACUGGCACUGGUAUAACUGAUCUAAUGACUAGGGUUUAAUUGUGAUUAUCUCAUAUUUUUUAGGGCUCUUCCAUGUUUAAGACAGAAUCGUUGUUUUCUGACAUGUUUCAGAUAUUUCCACUAUAUCUGGUGUUGAACAUCGUGGAUCUACAAAGAAAUGUUAAUUUGAGUCCUUGAAUUCUUAUUGCUGCAUUGUGACCUAGUUUUACCAAUCUAGAAUAAAAGUGGGUGUUUCAUGGUGUUAGGGUCACAUCAUUCAAUCAUUCAGAUCUUAGAAUUCCUCCUAGAUAGAAAGUGGAAUUGCUUUUAUUUUUGUAUAGUGAUUGCAAUAGUAGAUUACUGAUUUAAAUUUUGUGUGCUGCUCUCUCCUCUGUAUAUGUUAGAAAAUUGUAUAUAACAUUUUCUGUAAUUCACUUUUCUGAAAAUCUUUUCCCUUUGCUCAGCCUGAUGGCCAGAUGCCAAGUGAUAAGACUGUUGGCGGAGGAGAUGACGCAUUCAACACCUUUUUCAGUGAAACUGGUGCUGGGAAGCAUGUCCCUCGUGCCGUUUUUGUAGAUCUCGAGCCCACCGUGAUUGAUGAAGUGAGGACUGGAGCAUACCGACAGCUCUUCCACCCAGAACAACUCAUCAGUGGCAAGGAGGAUGCAGCUAACAACUUUGCCCGUGGCCAUUACACCAGUAAUUAGCACAUGUUCCUCCUCUUUUUAUGCUUAAAGUUUCAGGUUUACCUUAAUUUUAAUGAUUGUGUGUUGGGUUUGUACCAGUUGGGAAAGAGAUUGUUGACCUCUGUUUGGACCGUAUCAGAAAGCUUGCCGACAACUGCACUGGUCUUCAGGGUUUCCUGGUCUUCAAUGCUGUUGGAGGUGGAACUGGUUCUGGCCUUGGGUCUCUUUUGUUGGAGCGACUAUCUGUUGACUACGGCAAAAAGUCAAAGCUUGGAUUCACUGUUUACCCCUCCCCUCAGGUUUCAACAUCUGUUGUUGAGCCCUAUAACAGUGUCCUUUCAACCCACUCCCUGCUUGAGCACACUGAUGUAGCUGUGCUUCUGGACAAUGAAGCAAUCUAUGACAUUUGCAGGCGAUCCCUUGACAUUGAGCGCCCAACCUACACCAAUCUCAAUCGCCUGGUGUCUCAAGUAAGAAACCUUUCCUUUUAACUAAUUGAUAUCUUAUUGUGAAUUACCUUGAUUGAUGUGUUUGCUAAUCUCGGGCCUAAUACAGGUGAUUUCAUCACUCACUGCCUCAUUGAGAUUUGAUGGUGCCUUGAAUGUGGAUGUGACUGAAUUCCAGACCAACCUGGUUCCUUACCCAAGGAUUCACUUUAUGCUUUCUUCAUAUGCCCCCGUCAUUUCCGCUGAGAAGGCAUAUCAUGAGCAGCUCUCUGUGGCGGAGAUCACCAACAGUGCCUUUGAGCCCUCGUCUAUGAUGGCCAAAUGUGACCCACGCCAUGGCAAGUACAUGGCAUGCUGCCUGAUGUACCGAGGUGAUGUGGUGCCCAAGGACGUGAAUGCAGCUGUAGCCACCAUCAAGACCAAGCGCACUAUCCAGUUUGUUGACUGGUGCCCUACUGGAUUCAAGUGUGGUAUCAACUACCAGCCACCAACUGUUGUUCCAGGAGGUGACCUUGCCAAGGUGCAGAGGGCUGUUUGCAUGAUCUCUAACUCAACCAGUGUUGCCGAAGUGUUCUCGCGCAUUGACAACAAAUUUGAUCUUAUGUAUUCUAAGCGUGCUUUUGUCCACUGGUAUGUUGGUGAGGGCAUGGAGGAAGGAGAGUUCUCUGAAGCUCGUGAGGAUCUUGCUGCCCUGGAGAAGGAUUAUGAGGAAGUUGGUGCAGAGUCUGCUGAGGGGGAUGAAGGUGACGAAGGAGAUGAAUAUUGAUUGAGGGUUGUGUUGGCUUUCAUUUGUGCAUGCUGUUAUGAUGUUUCGUUUCUAUGGUUGGUUUUUCUUAAAGUUGCUGCUAUCAUUGUAUGUUCAUUUCCUGUUUUCUUUGUUGAGACAACUUAUUAGUGUUGGGCGCUCUGGUUGUUUCACGUAAUUAAUGCCUGAGCAGUGGGGUAAUAUUCUCCUACGUGUAAGCAACUUGCAAGGUGCCAUUUUCGUUAAAUAUUAGGGAUAACGUUGCAGAUGAAACUUCCUCGAGAACGAACCAAAAACAGACCCGGUUUGAGAUGUGAGAAUUGACUGCACCGAUGAGUCCGUCAAUGCUUCAUGGUCAAACCGGAUCAGUCGCAUUUUCGUUGUUAGGAUUGAACCGCCUCGGACCGGGUGACCUGGCCAGGCUGGUUUUGCCUGGGUCCGCAAGGGGUAUUUUUUUAAUUCGCCCGAUCAGUUUUUAUACUUCAUUUAAUAUUUUAAUUAUAGUGUGUAUAUAUGUAUAUUAUGCUAUUUUAAAAUUUGUAAAACAAAUACAAAUGUUUAUUUGCAUUCAAAAUAGAACUUUAAAUCAUAAUAUUAAACUUACUCAAAAUAUACAUACAUAUAAAAGUAAAUGAACAUGUAUACAAAUGAAAAUACAAAAUAAAAAGUUGACAUCAUCUUUGAUCAUGAUUGAAUCACUGAUCCAACCAAUAAUAAACCCUGAUCCAAAUUCAAUCUGGUUUUUAAAAACAGUAGUUGUGAUUUUUGUAUGAGAACUUUUUAUUCAUUCUAUAAACUCUCCUUUUUAUCCCCCAAGAAUGGAGUGUAGGCGUUAGGUUUACUCCAAGGUCAAUACGUAGAUUUUGUGUGCACUACCCUUAUUUCGGUCUUGGCUUGUGUGAGAACCGGUGUGUAUUUUGCUUUCCCUUCAACAAAUCGACAACGGUUCGAGAGACGUAGCCAGCAGAGGCACCCAUGAUGCUGGUUCCAGAGCUCAAGUUUACCGGCUGAAGCCCUUAAUUCCCAUUUUUUGAUGUGAUUUACAAUCAACCAUCUGCGCGUGAAUCAGCAAAGAAAGGCAAAGGGUGGUUGAAGACAACCGAUUGGAAUUUGAAACCUCGUUUAAACAUACCCACUGAUCCAAACACGUUAUACCUAAAAUACACCUUUACUCUUCUAUCUCUUCUCCACCCUUCUUUUUCCCAUAAAAAACUCUAACCUUGUAGAUGAAAUAGGAAUAGACAAAGUUUUGAAUGCAAAUAGUGAAAAAGAGAGGUUUGAAUAUAAAAAACUUAACAAAUAAAAACAAUUAUACAUGUUCAAGGUUCAAUGCAAUCCCAAAUUAUAAUGUUAAAUGUUUGAAAGUAUAGUUUCGAAUAUUAUGCCAUGAAUAGUGUUUGGAUCAGUCCUCCUUCAAUAUAAAUUUCGAAAAUUUAAAGAUAAAAUACAAAAAAAAAAAAGUUUCAAAAACUACAUUUAUGAUACUAAUAUCCUUUAUCAAAUAGGAGAAAAAAAAUUUUGACACUCUAUGCAUGUAUGGGGUUUAUUUGGCUUUGUAGAAGUUACUUGUUUGAGACACAACAAAAUCGUUAUGCCUUAUAAUAUCCCACAUUGAAUACACAAAAAAAAAAAUUCUAAUUUUAUACAUAUAGACUUCUCAUCUUAUGAUAGCCCACAUUGAACAUAGAAAAAGAAUUUCUAACAUUAUAUAUGUGCCGUAAUUUAAAAUCAUGAAGGUAACUUUGAUUCAAAAGAAACAAUAUUUAUAUGGUCCUUACAAUACUUCUUUCCUUUCAAAAUGAAGAGAAUGAUUUGCUUAUUCAUUUUUUCAUUAACACAGUUUUUCACCAAGUUUGUCGUAGAAUUGGGUUGUACCAAAGAGGAAAAAGGGAAUGGGGUGUAUAUAAAUGUGUAAAACAAUCUUUUCAGUAUAAGGUAAUUGUGUCACAAAAGUUUAUAACUUAGACCGACAGAUUUAAAUCUUUCCUUCAAAUUUUUCCCCUUCCCCUUCAAACUUUCAUAAAGAAUCAAUGUAGCCAUAGUAGCACCCAAAUAAUUAAGUCGAAUCCCCAGUUUGGAAAGAUAAUGAUUGAUUCACAAUCUAGUGCUUCGUCCAACAAUUUAUCUUGUUUGCACCUGGUAGCAACCUUCAUGGAAAACAACAAACAAAAAGCAAUAUGAACAAGCAAAUGAUUCCCAUCUCUCCCAAUUAUUGUAUGCAAAUAUAGCUUCAUUGUCGUUCUAUAAGCAAUAGCAGAAUCAACACCAAAAUGGAUGGUAUAUUUAAAUUUAUUGGCUAACUAAUAAAGGGGUCCAUGGACAUGGACUACAGCUACCAUCUCCUUUCCUAAGUCUUGAACCUUUAGACACGGCACUUGCUAUGAUGUUUAGGCCCGACCCAACUUUUGGACAAGGUGCUUCUCAAUUUCCAUUCUCUUCUUCAUCAACAAGCCAUACUUGGAGACCAGUGGUUUGUCUCCAGCAGUGACCGCAAGCUUGCAGCUGAGAGAUGUCUUUUCCAACUUGUCCUUGUACAAGCACGAGGUAGGCACGAACUUGCCCCUUGUGUUGCACAGCCAACCAUGAGCAGCCCGCAAAGCAGCACCAAGGGAAGCGGAAUCUAUCAAGAAAAACAUAUAUUAUUUGUGUAAUAUUAUAAACAAGGGAUAACACAUAAGGAAAUGGGAAAGGAAACGCCAUUAUGUAAUCCUUUACUCACCGGGUCUUUGGACUGUAUACACAUCGCAGCCAAAAAUGGAAGCUAUUGACUUGAGAAUGCUAUGAUUUGCUGAUGCUCCACCAGUUGCUAUUAUCCGUUUUGGAGGAGAAGGCAUUCCAAAUCUUUCUGCAUGACCUCGCAUGGAGAGAAAUUGGCCCUCAAUCACUGCCCGGACCUGCACUUGAUUAGAAAUGAGUACUCGUCCGGUGUCAUAUCAGCCUCAGGGAAAUGGAUUACAGACACAAGAGAACUAACCUCAGAAGAUGGAUCAAAUUCCUCCACUUCACAUUCAUUUAUCCCAUCCAAAUUCUCACCUGUGAAGCCUUGAAGAACAUAACGAUGGAAACCAACUGCAAUGCACAAACAACUUUCAAGUUCAAUCAUUCAAUUGUUCUUCUGAUGAUAAAUGAAAAGUGAUAUGCAGUCAUUGAUAUCUGCAUAAUUAAGCCUCAUCUCAACCAUGUUAGUAUACAAGAUAAGAAAAUGGAUGGCCCUGACAUCCAUGGCUGCCACCACUUGGACACAUCAAGUAUUUGGAACCUAAGCAUUUGAAUUCUCCAUUGGUCCAUUUGGCAAUUUCUGGGGAUUGAAUGGACCUUCAAACCUUAGACAUGUUGCAUACCUUGGUAUGGGUAGUUUACAGGAAAAUCUUGAAUGUAGAUGCCUAAUCCAAGAACUACUCACAAGAGAUGACAGCGCACACAAUUUGUUCUUAAAUGAUCCAUGAGAAGUUUUUGACAGACCAAAAGAAUGGUGAUUUUAGGAAUUAUAGUGGUGAGUUCAUUUGAGGACACCAAAGGGGGGCCUGAUUUAUGUAAUAGUAUAGAUAUAGGCAAGAAAAAUUUGGCAAAUAUGUUGCCAGACCACCAUUUCAAAAUAAUUUAAAACAAAACCAAAAAACCAACCUGGGAGAGGAGGAAGGAUUUCAUGAUCCUUGUAGUAGAAACCGAUCUUUCCACCUGUCACAUAACUGAAUAAGAAACUAGAAAACAGCUAUAGCUAUGUAUCUAAGUUUGUUUUUUCUUUCCAUAAAGGAACAUCACAAACCAUUUAGGGGUGGUGUUUUCUCCAGAAAUUCAUUAAAAACUUCCCAAGAUUCCUUUGCACACCGGUUACGCACAUCUGAUAUAAAGGUUGAAAUUAUACUGUCAAAAUAGGAAUUACUAAAUAUUUACUUUAUCAAAGUACACAGAAUCAUUUAUCAGACAUGAGCAGUACCUUCACGAGUCAGAGACCCAUUCUUAUAGCACAACAUUACCAUAUAGCCUUCUGUAUCAACAGGGUUAGGAAAAACAUGUCCUUCUAAGCUAGGCUGAGGGUUGCUAGUUAUCCCAAAUACCUAAGCAAUCAGCAAAAGAAUGAUACAAGUAAAAUAAUCUGUAAACAUCUGGAUAGAGAUAUAAAUCACUUCUUUAAGAGGGAACAAUGAUUGAAUUUCUGAUUAUGGUGCUUGUAAGAUGCAAUAUCAAAUUUAAAAAAUAGCAAAUAAGAGAUACUUUAGUUGGAUGCCCCAAAUAGGUCUAUUCAACGAACACUAAUGACUGCUCAAGCUCCAUUUGUUAGGUAGCGCAUUUGACCUUGUUCACCAGCUUCAACAAGCCAAAAUCAUGUUCAGGCUGCUUAACAAAUCAAGCUUGAGCUACAGUAUUCGAAAAUGCAUUACAAUAAAGUGAUGCUUACAAGACUUUCAAAUGCCUAGGCAACUGUACACACAAUAUAAUCCUCCUCUAUGUCUAUAAGUGGUCUUGAGAUUCACUCCAAGAGCACUAAACACUUAGGCAGGCAUUCCAUUAACCAGUGGGCCUAGAACAUACAGAGAUAUUGGACUUGAACCCAAUGUCCCAAAAUGGACUAAUUGGUUAGCAAACUCUAGAGCCAAACUGAAGAUGCUCGACUUAUCUUUCACCCUCUCAGAUUAAAACCUGUCCUAAUCUCAUUUAGCAUCAUGAAUGACUUGAGGUAGGCAUCUUGAAGCUUUAGUAACAUAGUUCAUUUGAGAAAUUUUCCCAAGAAAACACAAGAAGCAACUUAUGUACUAUAAAGCCGGCAAUGCACGGGGAAGAAUUAAGUGAGUUUUAGGACUAUUUGCCCUUGCUAAUACAGGAUCAUGUGUAGGAUUUGAAAAUGAUGAUGCGCGCUUUGUGGUGUAAUCAAAAAGCCAUUAUAAUUGGAACCCAUAUACUUGACAGAUAACAGGAUGUCAAACUAAUAAUCUUGGACCAUCCAUAACCUAAGCUACAGCUUUCUACAAUGGGCUGUAUAUGCUAAACAUUUCCAGACAUGUCAAUUAAGAGGGAACUCAUCUUUUUAAAUGAUAAUGACUAACAAUCUCCAAAAUCUCAGAUGACCCUGUGGUACCAUACAUGAUAUUGAACAACAAAACAACAUAAAAUAGACUGGCAUCAGGAACUAUAAAUCUUGAACUUAAAAAAGUAACUUAGCUGUUUGCAUCCCUGAUUUGGUUGAUGAGAAAUGGCUGAGCCUAUUUUUAAAAUGUGCAGAAGAUGGGUUGUGGAUAUUUGGUGUUCCUUACUUUAUUUUGUCCACUGUCAGAAAGGAAAGAAAUAAGGAGUUGAACCACUGAACCUGGCUGACUCAGUCCUAAAUUGGACUCUUAAAUGCCAAUCUUGACCCAAGCAAGUUGUAGGCCACUGAAUUGAUCAUUUCAUGUUAAAAGGAUGAUAGUUUUAGUGGAUUUAAAAAGCAUAUAGAAGAUAAUUUUAUAAUCAGAUCUCCCAGAAGGUCCAUAUAUAGACACAGAGAUCAACCAAUGCUAAGGAAAAGUCACCAAGGCUGGUCAAUAAACAUGUACAACUAGUACAUUCCAAAAGAACUGUUGACAUAUUUAUUGUUGGCCAUAAACCUCCUUUGUAUUUUUAUUUUUUUUUUAUAAUUCAUUCGAGUCUGCUAUUUUUGAUCUGAAGAAAGUAACCAAAAAGAAAAAAAAAAUAGAAGUUGCUAACUUGAUAUCGAAUUAUGAUAAGAAAGAAUUCAUUGCAAUCGAUAGACUAAUAGUAAAUAAUAAAUAAUAGAACGAUUCUAACUAUAACCAUAUUUCUAAUCCCAGUACACUAUUUAAUUUAAAUGUCUUGUAUGAUACUGUUGCACUAAACUAACAUUUACAUUUAGGUUUUCCCUCAAUUAUUAGUUUAAUUUGAGUAUGAAAUUGGAGUUUCAUUGAGGUGAAAUCCACUUCUAUUCUUUCUCUUACUCAUCCAUUACAAAAUUCUAAAAAAGAGAGAAGAAAAGGAGGGGCCAAGGAAUUAGUCACAAAUAUUUGAUUGUAUCUCCCAAACUCUCCAUCCCUUCUCAUGUCAAUCAAAAAAGGGAAUGUCAACACAUCCGGGUAUAUAUGAUUAAUCUUUAUCAAUAGACUUGCUAAGACCAAAAUCAUAUGGUACUAAAACCAAUGCUGAGGAAGAUUUACAAAGGCUGAACAAUAAAAAAAAUUUACUUUAACUUACAGUGUCACUGGUGCCAAGACUAAUUGCCAGAUCCCCUGGAGUAUUGAGGGUCAAACCUGAGAAUUCAAAAGUCAAAACGAAUUAAUUAUCUGAGAUAAUACAAGGCUAGAAAUAUGAUUAUUAUGGUGGUUCGUUCUUCAUGCUGAGAGUAAAACUUCAAGAGGGAAAAAAAAGAAAUAAAUUAGAGGCUCCAUCAUAUUUACAAAGGAUUAAAUGGACUGUUGGGCUGAAACUGGAGAGAAAAUCCAGUAACAUGAGAAAAUACUUUAUUACUAAGCUAUGAAAUGAAGGUGAUUUAUGAAUGAUAUAAGAUAGAGGACUGAUAUACAUUAUAAUGUGAGAACACGACAAGCUGGAACUAUGGAAAACUACAUAAAUUGCAUUGAACAAUCAUAAAAACACAGGCAAAGAAGUGAAACACAGAUACUAAUGAAUUUGCUAAGGAGAGAAUAUAUUUUGGUUAGAGAUGAAGACAAUCAUGCACCUGCUAGGCUAUUAGGGUUGUCUCCAGACCACUGAACAAUCAAACAAUUCUUGUUAAAGUGGAACCUGAAAGAAGUUUAAUGCAGUCUUUACCUGUCAGUCUCAGUAUACCAGGAUAGCAAGACAUACGAUGUGUACAUGCAGAUAAUAAUUGAUUGUUAGAAAAACAUCAUUAUCAACACUCAUUUCAAAAUAAAAGUAGUGUAUAUAUAACAAAGUUCUGAAUAAUAGCUGUUGCCUUUGAAUUUCAUAUGAUAUCAUUAACUUUUCUUCGUAUCGACUUUCAAUAUCAUCGACCGUAUUCUUUAUCAAGGGCUGCAUGUUUACACUUUACACACACUACCAUCUUCCAAUACCAUAAGUGGUGGUGUAAUGGUUUCCAAUGUUCAGUAAGUGACUGAAAUUGCCUUUGUUUUUUUUUUUGAUAGAUAAACAACAAAAUAUAUUAAAAAAUGCUAAAAAGUUGCACGUAUACAGGGGGUAUACACAUAAGCCCAAAACAAGGAAUUGAAAGAAGAGAGGGGAGAAACCUCGCCCACCCUCAAGUGGCCGCAAGCCACUCCAAAAAGCCUAAGAGAGAAUAGGUUUCCUCUCCAAUGUACACCCUAGCCCAACUCCACAAGUUACAUACAAAAUUUUUUUUGAAUCUCUGAAUAUCUAACGACCCCCCCUGAAAGCUAACCUAUUCCUUUCCUUCCAAACCGUCCAAAAUAUGCACAACGAGAUGGAAUUCCAUAUCUUUUUUUUUUCCCCACAAAAGAACCCCUCCAACUAAGUAACACCUCUUUAACUGACUCUGGGAACACCAACUGAACUCCAAAAAUGGCGAGGGCAAACUCCCAAAGAGUCUUAACCACUGUACAAUGUAAAAGAAUGUGAUUCGCAUUUUCCUCUUCACAGCCACACAAAAAACACCGGUUAGGAAGCUGCCACCCCCUUCUUUGAAGCUUAUCUAAGGUGAGGAUCUUCCCCCACGAAGCUUCCCAAGCAAAAAAAGACACUUUUGUUGGGACCUUAUCCAUCCAAAUGCGUCUAUUAGGGAAGGCACAGGCUGAGGAGCCAAUCAGCAUUUUGUAAGCACCCUUAACCCCAAAAACAUCAUUGCCUUCCCCUUUCCAUCUCACUGAAUCCUCAUCAGGAGAAGUCCUGAAGUCCCUCAGCAGAUUCAGCAUAUCUCCUAUCUGAUCCAACUCCCAAUCAUUGAAAUCUCUAGCCAAACUGAGAUUCCAACCUCCUUGACCCAUGCUAGAGUCCCACACUUCACUUACUUUGGCAUUCCUAUGACCCGCCAAGGUAAACAGCUGUGGAAAAGUUUGUGAUAACGCCUCAUUACCACACCACUUAUCCGUCCAGAACAAAACUCUAGUCCCCUUCCCUACCUUAAAUUCAAUGCUCUCCCAGCACCAAUUAGCCUCCUUCAUGAUCUCCUUCCACAAUCCCACUCCAAAAGACCCACAAACUUCCUUAGUCCUCCACCCACACCCCUCUUGACCAUAUUUCACCCCUAUCACCGUUUUCCAAAGGUUAUCCUUCUCAUAGGCAUAUCUCCAUACCCAUUUGCCCAGCAAGGCUUUGUUCAACAAGUCUCUCUUUCGGAUGCCUAAUCCACCCUCCUCCUUUGGGCUGCAGACCACCUUCCAAUUAAUUAAGUGAGCUUUCCCCUCCAAGCUUCCCCCCCCUAAAGGAAGUCUCUUUGGGAUCUUUGUUAAGAUCUUACUUCAUUUCUUAUUAAGAAAAACAAUCAUUUUUCUAGUUGAAAGGAUUGGGCACUAGUUCUUUUCCCUCCGUUCACUGGCUUGCAUAUACUUUAAAGUACAUGAAAGAAUUAACAUAUGAUGUUGGAUCUAAGAAUAAAUUCACAGGAUAAUAAAAUUCCUAACCCAUAUUUCAAUCAUGGAAGCUCAAAUAUAUAUAUAUAUAGGUUGAUUAAGACAAACAUAACUCACUUUAAAAAUUGAUAAGAAAGCUUAUCCAAUUGAAUGAGAUAUAGUUGCAAACUUUUACUUAGUAGGAGUAAUAAUGAUAAUAAUUAAUAAUCAAAGGAAUUGUUGUUUUACAAUCAGUAUGCUACUCACCUCUCCACAAAAUAGGGGGCAAUAAAACCUGCAACAGCAUGGGCAGGAGCUAACUUUCCAAGUUUUUCCUCCAGACUUGGUGCAGUGGCCUAUAAUAAACAUAAAAGCUCUCAAUUAAAAAAAAAAACUAUAAAGCAAUUGAACAAAAAACUAUAAAGCAAUUGAACAAAAAACUGUAAAGCACUUUAACAAAAAACUGUAAAGCAAAGUUUCAGAUAAGUCUACCGGUGCUUUUGGAAGCCACUGUCACAGAUGAUAAAAUUCAAAACAGUCACAUUUAGUUGAUUUGGAUCAAUCUCAUGGACCCACAGAUCAAGCCUAUGUACUUUGGAAGGUAUGUUAAACAGAACAAUAAUUCACUUUGAUGAGAUUGAUCAUAAAAAAAUAAACCAUUAUGCACAUAAGACUUCGGAAUGUAUGUAAGACACUCUAAUUGAACAUGGAUAACGACUAUAUGUAAAACAAUCUAACUGGACAUGAAUAAUGAGCAUGGUCCAUAAAUAAUACACCAUGAUAUUUCAAAGUAUGAGAAACAGACCUCUAAAGCUAUUUUAGACCAGGCCCUUUGCUUGAUAUCCAUCAAGUUCAUCCCCGCGCCAUCUGUCUCAUCAAUACAAGCGUAAGACCCAAUUAGAAGGGAUGCCAUGAAGGAGCUAACGAGAGAGAUCCUCUCUGUUUGAUUAUAAAUUUCCGGCAGUUUCAAGAAUAUCUUCCGAAUUUGCGGUCCUGUGUAUCUUUCAUGGGCACGUGAACCAGUGAGUCGAGACAAUUCCAACGCUCCUCCAACAGCUUCCUCUAUCUCUCUGCAUUGUUCUGUGGUGCUGCUGUCCAUCCAUAUUGGUGACUCCUUCGUUGAAAAGGCAUCACCAAGCUGACCCACAAGUGGUUUACUGGGAUCCAGUGAUGAAAGUAUUGCAGAACUUCCACUCUUCCAGUAAACACUGCCAUGCUGCUGUCCACUACCAGAAAUCGCAGCAAUUUUUCCAAAAUCCAGUUUUGAUUUUGAGAGUUUCUGAAGUACAAGCUCAAGAGCUUCCACCCACAUCAAAGUGGGUGAAACAAUUCUACCAUUCUCAGAAGCGUCUCUAUAGACCCCAUCUCUGGUUCUGUAAUGGGGCAAUUGGGAAUCAAAAUGAACUAUUUCUGAAGUAACAAGGUUGAGAUUGGAAUCUAACACCGUAGCCUUCAGGGACCUAAACAAUCAAAAUCUUACAAAAUUCAGUUUCCCUUUCUAAUUUAGGUGAUUGAUUAUCAACGAAAAAAAAAACAGAAAAAAUUAACAAAUAGAUUUGAAAAAACGAAAACCAAUUCAUGGAAAUUAUUGAAUCCGAGCAAUGAAAAAUCUAAUAAUCAGAACGUGAAUUUUCUUUAUUUUCUUUUCUCAGCAACCAAACAGAGCACGAUGAAAUUUCACAAAAUGACUAGAUCCCAGAAUAAAAAAUCAAACCAAACCCUGAAAAUAAUGAUGUGGGUACUCCGAUUGAGACACUUACUGAGUAGAACUAUCGAAUCCAAGGAAAAGGGAGUCAUGGGGUAGGGAGCAAUCCUCCAUCGAAGCUGAAUUGGAGCACAGUAGAGACAAUCCAAGAACUCUGGAACUAAUCACUCUGUGAUGCUCUGUUUAUCAGAUUAUUCGAAAUUGACUUGUGAAAAAGGAAAAAUCUAAAGAAUGCAGAUGGCCCGCUACGGAUAAGGAGAAAGAUUAGGAUCAUCGUAAACAUUUUGAACGUCUUAUCCAAAUAACAAAAAUGGAUUAUUUUUUCUUUCCACGUCGAAAUCCAAAAGAUUAUAAAGGAAAUAAAAUAAACUUCCUUUCAAAUUUCAUAACAAUUCCCAGCCCUUUCUAAAUUUUAUUUUUUAUAUUCCAUUACAUUUUCAUUUUUAAAAUUUUUUACCAUAUUUUCAUUUAAAAAUAAUAUAAUCAAAUAUCAUACCAUACUCAUGACUAAUCCAAAAUAUUGAUAGUAUAAUUAUGUAAAUUAUAUUUGAUUUUCCUUUUAUAUUUAUGAUGGUGAUAUUGAUAUGGCCAUGGUCCCAUAAUUGCAACAUCUUCCAUCACUCUCUCGGGUUUGAAUUUUUGUAGAAAACAUUUUUGACCCAUUUUGUGGGAGGGGUGGAUUUCUUGAUGCCACAGAAGAGAAAAUCCCUGUACUUGGUCGUUGAUCGCAAUUUGCCUUUGCCUUUAAUACUUUAACAGAAGUGAUAGUAAGCAAAUUUGUCAGCAUAUGAUGGUCUUAUUUUGUUUUGGCAACAUGUCCAAGGUUAAGAUUGAGGGGCCGCUCACUUCAAAAAUGGGUGAUAUUAUUAUUUUACGUGGGAACUUCAAAUUAGGUGUCAGCCUUCCGCACAAUACUAUUAAGGACUUGAGGGGUGCUGGAUGAAGGUGCGGUUAAUUUAUGAAUCCUAUGACCACGGUUUGACUGUCUUAGAAAUAAAUAAAAGAUGCAGCUAAACAACAAGCGCCCGUGGCCUAAUGGACAAGGCGUCUGACUUCUAAUCAGGCGAUUGUGGGUUCGAGUCCCACCGGGCGUGUGUGCUUGAUUGAUGCCAGGCUGUCCUGGCAAGCUAAAAAUUGUGAACCCCUUUUUCAUUUCAAAACACAAAGCAACAGAUAAAUACAUGAUCAAGGUAUCUGUUUGGUACCUGGCCGAAACCUAUCUAAGAGGGCUAAAAGAUAUUUCGGUUAAACUACUCGUGCCACUCUAAUAUAAAUUUAAUUGUUAAAAAUUGAUUUUGAUUGAUUCAAAUCCAAUAUGGGGAGCCCAAUAAAAAACAAGGAUUUAAAAUUGACCGAUUCAGAUACAAGGGGGCCGUGGGCCCAACUUUCUCAUGGGGUGACAUUAGGUGGUUGGACUUGGACCGGGCCUCCUCUGCCCAAUUGUUUGGGCUAUAUUUUGGAAGGGUUCUAUUCCGGCAAACGAUUAGAAUAACGGACGGGGGUUUGAUUCUGUCUUCUGGGCCAAUGCACGCUUAAUUUUUUUCUUUUUCCCUUUCUUUUUUGUAAUUAUCGUUUCAAAAUCUUGGAAAGAAAUAGACGUCUUGUCUUUUUUUUUUUUCUCUCUCUUUAAUUAUUCUUUCAAAAUCUUGAAAAGCAACAUAUAUCUUGGUAUAGUGUAGCUUUCUAUGUAAACUAGAUUAUAUGGUGUUUUCUCGUCCUUGUUUUUUUCAAUUCUUUUUUUUCUUAAAAAAAAAUUUAUUAUUAUUAUUAUUAUGAAGAAUAAGAAAAAGAAAGUAAACAUGGGAAAAACAUAAAAAUGAAAUUAUUAUUUUUUAAUUUUUAUUAAAUUUUUCUAAUUUCUUUCCCUUGUACUUAUCCAUCAAAAAAUUUCCGAAAAGAUUGAAUCUUGCCUUUAUUUAUUUUUCUUUUACUCCUUUUGAGUGUAUGAGAAGUGCGACCCCUUUAUGUGGUCCGUGAUUGAUCAAAACGUAAAUGCUUUUCCUUUUUCUUUAUCAUGAUUUAUUAUAUGUCUCUUUUUGUUAAGCUUUUCCAAAAAAAAUUUGGCUCUCUCUACUUUUCUAAAACUUUGGCCACUUGACAAAUCGAUUGUUCCUGAAAACUUUAUACCCAAGUUUCCUAAUGAUAUCUAAGAGAAGGUCCAGGACUCAAAAACCAUGGUGACAAAAUUGUCCGAACUUCUAUGGUGACAAAAAGUUAGGAAUCAUAACAACUUUUGUCUAGAUCGUUAUGGAGCACUAAAAAAUUGAGACGCAGAAUCUAGUUCUAAACAUUUUUAAAAUAUUUCCACCAUGAUAAAUUAAUGCAUAGAACUUUUUGUUUUAAACUUCAUGUACUAAAUUUAAUCCCCAGUUUGGAAUGUUUUUCCCCCAUGUGGAUGUGACAUGAUGAUUUUAUAAGAUUGUAUGUGAUGUGCUUUUUAUAAAGUGGAUGUGGCUACACGAAUUAAAUUCAAACAACAAGCGAACGCACGUCAACACCACAUAAAAUGGAUCCGGAAUGAUAGUUUUAGAUUAAUUAACGGUGACCUUUGAAUUAUUAGGGCUGGUGGAAAAGUUGUAAACGGAUCGGAUCUUCUCCCAAAAAGAGUAAAUGAACCCAGAUGCGGAAUUGCACCAUUCAUUUCUCUUGUACUUGGAAGGAGGAGCCAAUUUGGCUGAAUGGCUUGAAUGAGAGACUCCCAUGUCACCAGAGAUUAGGUAGGAAUAUUUGUGCUUCUGCCAUGUCCACCACACACUGGAAGGACAUGGUAUAUAUUAUAUUGUUGGAUCUACCAUUCCAUGAACAAAAUACAUGUGACUAUAAGGUACGUAUAUGAUAUUAUAUGUUAUAAGAAGAAUGAAGUUAAAAACAAGAUUUUCAAAUGUCAUGCAUGAUGUUGAUAGUACUGUUUCAGAAAAGAAAAGAAAGAAAAGAAAAGAAAAAAAGAAAGAUGAAUUCUACUUUUUCCUCCAUAGGUUGACAUUGAUUGAUAGCUUCUCAUACAUGAAAGAUGAAGAAUAUUACAGUACUGUUUCAUGAUUGUUGGUGUAAUCAACUCAUACUUACCACUUUCCAUAUUUUUUCGAAAUUACCAUCACAUUCGUCAAUCAGUCCGGAUAUUUGAUUUCUCUGAUAAAUUCAAUUGUCAAUAAUUUGUCAAUUUCUGCCUAGAUGAUUUUUUGUUUGUCUAGAUGAAAAAAUCGGAUCUUUUGCCAGACAGAUCGCGAGGUGAGUGAGACGUUAAAUUUGUGGGAAGCCACAAACAGAUGAAUUCUCGAUAUGUCCGAGUGAGUCUAGGCGAAAAUGUCCUUGUUGCACUUAAGCAUACUCUCUAGCAAUUCCAGUUCUUCAUGUGUAAGCAAGGAGCUAGUAUAGGUAAUUUGAUCUAUGUCAUGUGAGAGGCACAAUGGUUGAAGCGAGUCAACUAUAGAUGGAUCUUUCUCCACCGAGUUCAAUGAUUGUUAUUGCUCCCUUGCGUUUGAUUAUUCCAAACGUGUUUCCUCAUCAAAUGGAUGUCCGGACUCUAGCGUCACCUGAUAGCAUUGACACAUGCCUAACUGGCUACCAAGGAGAUCAACUUAUCCAUUUUCUAUGAGGUAGCUUACCAUCUUAUGUUACGUAAAAGGAAUGACUUUCAUUUUGUGAAGUCAUGCACAUCCCAUAAUGGCAUUGUAUGUGGACAAAUCGUCGCCCACCGAGAACCAUACAUUCAGGGUGACUAGGCCAGCUUGGACGGGCAACACAACAUUGCCUAGUGAAGUCAUUGUAGCUCCAUUGAAAUCGAACAGCAAACGUCUUAGGUUUUAUAAGGCGAUGGUAAAUAGCUCAUUUGCUUGUAAACUAACAUUUGUAAGAGGUCAACUGAGCUACUCAGGUUAACUACAAUUCUCCUUACGUCAAAUCUGUCUACCCCUAGUGUUAGGACUAGGGUGUCUUCAUACGAUUGCAACACUCAAUUAACAUCUACUGGAGGGAAGGUAAUUGUGUCGUUGAUGGGGCGCACACUUCCUUUUGAAAAGGUGCGUUGAACGGAGUUAAUUCGUUCUUUUACAAAGGUCGUGUGAAGCAACCUUCACCUUUGUUUCUUAGAGUUGUGUCUAUCAUCUAUGGGGCCUCCAUGUAUGUAAUUGAUGAUAGCUCUGGGAGCUGCCAGAGAUGCAAGGGUUUGGAUGACUGCCUCUUACGCCGUCUCUCUUUGUCUGCUAGUUGUGCGGACAUACUGCUUUAAGUGUUCGACCUUGAUAAGUUUCUCCACCAAGUAAUGUAAACUCUUGCAUUGCUCAAUGGUAUGGUAGUGAUCCUUAUGAUAGGAGCACCUUUUGUUCCAAUUUCGCCUAGUCGGAUCUAUCUUGAUGGGUUCUGUCCAUCUGAAGUCUAACAGAUUGCGGAUGAGUGGGAGGAGUCUCUCGUAGGAGAUACUAAGGAGGGUGAGUCUCACUUGCUACUGCUAUUAGCUAGCUUGCCUCUUGCUAGCUUGCUUCGAUUGGUUCGAGGGCUUAGAAUUUCCCAUCUCAUUGUUCUUGGUUGGACAAUUAGUGACCAAGACCUGUUAAGAAGUUGCUCAGACAUCAUCUUUGAGCAUAAAAUAUUUGUCCGCUCGUCUGAAUAGGUCAUCCAUCGUUGCAGGUGGCUUCUUUGGGAAAGACUCAAAGAAUGGUGUGUCUGGGUUGAAGCUUCGCUUGAAAAUUUGUAGGAUGGCAUCAGUACUACAAGCUUGCACUUUGAGCACUGUUUGCUUAAACCGCUUCAUGAAGUCUCUAAGCAACUCAAUCUCUUGCAGUUUGAUGUUCUGCAAGGUGCUUAUGUUCUGUUUUUGGCAAACAGAACAUAGGUAGUGGCUCACAAAGACUUCCAAGAUAUCCUGGAGAGUGUUCACAAAAUUCUGCAGGAAACAGUGGAACCAAGAGAGAGCUUGACCGUGUAGGCUGCCCAGAAAGACCUUGCACAUCAAUGCAUCAUUCCCUAUGUCAAGGGUCAUGACCUACCUAAAGUGUAUAAUGUGAUCGAACAGGUCGCUUGUUCUGUCGUACAUCAUGAAUUUUAGCACUACGAACCCCAUGAGCGGCUCAUAGCUAAUAAUAUGAGGGUUGAACGGCGUGGAGAGCGUGUCAUCCAGUCGUCGGCUGAUAGAGUCGGGCUGAACUUGCGUCAACAAUACUUUAGUUUGCUGCCUUUGCAGUCGCGGUUAGGGGACCUAAAUAGGCCCUCAAAGUCUCUAACAUUCGUGAUUGCCCUUCCACGCCUGGUGUUGGAGGUCCCAAUCGAGCUCGCAUUGCAUUAAAUAAAUGCGACCUUUUGUCGCACCUCCUUUUCCUUGAUACCCAGAUAAAAUCGGUGCCUUCAUCCGACUGCAUUUGGCGAUCCGAUAAAGAUUCCUCCCUGGAUUGUCUUGAAUAACUGCCAUAUGAGAACUUUGUGCCCCUGAGGUAAGAUGCUUCAGUAGUUCAUCUCAAGGUUGUUUGUUGACUCUAAGUGUGACAACGUUGAGAGGGACCCGUUGCCGACAUUUGAGCCCGCAAUUUUUCAUUCUAUUCUCUGAGUCAUUUCGUUUGGUGGAGCAAAGUUUGCAUCUGCCAAUCAUUUUCUCGUUAACGUCUCUCCAUUCUUUCACACCAUACAAAAUAGUCUUCGCCACCCAUAGUUGAUGAUUGGCUUUUGAAGGGUGUUGACAUCUUUAAAUCUUUCUCAUAGAUGGUACCAAUGUUGGUGUAGUGUCAAUUGAAUUUGGGUUCGUUUAGCUUUAUUGGAGUCAGACGAAUAUCUUCCCUGCACAGGAGGAUGUCCAGACAGGUGGUCUAGGCAUGCCCCUCCGAAGCUUAAGUGAUAAAUCAAUGAAGAUGAGUCCAACUAUUUUGGAAUGGUUCUGUACGUGUCCACCUUUCCGGAUAUCCUAGACAUCCUUUUAUAUAAGGAAGAAGUUCGUCUGACUCCGGUGAAGUUAAACGAACUCAAAUCUAGUUGGCACAUACCAACAAUGAUGGAUUUCAGAAACACCAUAGGGCUUGGCUUCUUUAUGUGUGGAUUAUGUAGGGACCCCUCCUCCUGAGAACACGUGCCACACACCUCAUGGUGACACGUGGCACGCAUUAUCAUCUGGAUUUCCCUAAGAGUGCACGUAGCGCGCUUCUCAUAUCCGGACUACCUCAAGGAAAGGCACACAACACUCAUAAGCAUAACAUCCGGACGACUUCCACAAAUGCAUCCGGGCCACCAACAUAGGCCAUCCAGAUACGUUUGUCCAGAUCAUUGAUUGAAGUAAGCAAAUCUUGCACGUUAUCACAACAGUCUGUCAUGGCCCACGUUCCACCACCUGUAGAGUGAAAGGACAAGAUGAAGUGACAACAAGUCACUUCCCACGAUCACCUACCACAAUCUCUGACAGUUGCAUCACCUACCACGAUCUCUGUCAGCCGCCCGUAGGGUGAUGAUGCCCCUGCCACCACCUAUUGUCAUCAUGACAACACAAAAUAUCUCUCUACCAUUAAAGAGGGGAACAAAGCUUCUGAUACUAUAUAUACGAACCUUCACACAAAGAGGAAGGUAAGCUUGCUAUACCUAGAAAAAGACCAACUAUUUUAUCUCUCUCUAAAUCAUGGCUAACAAAACCAUCGGAGGGUGCGUCUGAAUACCCUGUCCGGACACCUUUUGCAGGUAGAACGACUGAAUCAAGAAUCUAUAUUGAUUGAGAUCGUGCGUCCAUCCAUUUGACAACUACGUAGAUUACCAAGGACGCGAGACCUCAACAGAUUAGAUUGGAACCCAAUGAAACAUGCGCAUCAAGUAGAUGUGAAAUAAUGCAAACAAUAAUCCAGGAAUCAGACAAGUAGGUACAAGCAUGGACCCGGUUAAAAAGAAAAAGCUUGAAGAAAAAUAAACACUUGUCUCAUAUAUGGACCUUGGUUUGGACGGUGGUGGGGUGGGGACUCCAGGGAAGCUCGUGACCUCAAAAUGUUGCGUUCACAACCAAACGGUCCAAACUGUGCGGGGACCUGGACCCCGUGCUUUGUUUCUUUCUUGCUCUACAGAGCCAUAAAAACGUAUAUUAUAAAACUAUUAUUGAUAAGGUACUAUCAACUUUCUCCAUUUCAUUUUCAGUGAAAUUGACCCGUGCCUGAUUCGACCGACGGAAACAUGGCUUCAGCCCCUCAUUUAUGGCGCUCUGUCAUCUGUCUGCCCACCACCACCCAUUAUCUUGUCCUCUCAUAGAUCCAUUCAUUGCACUGUUUUACAGCCCAUGAGGCGCUUCUCUCGUCUCUCCUUCCAAUUAAUCUUAGGUGUGAACCCAACAACAGGCUACAGCUAACAAUUGUUCUUGACUUAGAGCUACGCUUAAAUGUCUACCAUCUCUAUUCAGUGAUCAGGAGGAAUGUCUGUACUCUUUGUCAAGGUUGAAGAUUUGAUGUAACAGCCCUUACUGAAAUUAAUGAGUUGAUGGAAUUAAGUUGGAACACACAGUAAGUUGACGACCAUGAACGGGUGAUGAAAGAGAGGAGGUGGUGGUGAAUGGGUUGACGAACUUGAUGUGCUUGCUGCUGUUGUGCAAAGAGGGAUAAGGCUAGGUAAUGGGGUUUGUGCUGCUUGCAGUGCGGUAUGGUGCUAGGCUAUAGGCCUCCUAUGGAUGGUAUUAAUUAAAUUAUUUCAGCAACGUUUGAGUCAUGUCCUUUUUCCGGUCUUUUUAAUGUUUCACUUGGUUAAAUGGGUAAAUUACAAAAAAUAAUUCUCCCAAUCUUUAUAUUAAUAAAUAAAAAACAUGUCAUUAAGAACCAAUAAUAGUUGUCAGUAAUUGACGGCUACGAUGGCAUUUUUAGAGCUUCAAAUUAAGAGUAAUUUGUCACACUCAGUGAAGAAGACGGUUAACGAACCUAAAUAGAAAUAGAAUUAGGAUUAAGAGUGGGUUUUUGAUGUAAAUUAUUCUUAGAAAAAAAAAUUUCAUUUUUUAUUUAAAAAAAUUAGAAUUUAUUUUAUAAAUAGAAUGAUUUUUUAAAACACAUCUAAAUUCUUUUUUGUUUAUUUUUGUGGAGAAUACUAAAAACUAAUUGAAAAUAUAAAAAAAAUUACAUUGAAAACUUUUGCAUAUUAUAUAGGUAUAGUAGUGUAUUUUUCAACAUAAUCUGUAUAGUAGUAUGUUGAUAUUUCAACGUUAUCGUUCCAUUGUUUGGUACGCAUUUAUAUCUAGUCAAACUAUUGGCGUCUUCUUCUUGGCGUCUUGCUCUUGGCCAUAUGCUCCGUAUAAUUGAAGGAAGACUUCCAUUUGGUCAAGUAACUAGCGUGUAGGGACGUUGUUUGCUAGCUAGGGCGUCAAAAAAGUCGGGGCACCUCUUGCUGGCGGUUGACACACCCCUUUCAAGAAACACUUUUACAUCAAAGUCAUGGUUGAAGAUGGGUUGCGGUUUUUGACACGGUGAGUUUCCAAUGGUUGAAGAUAUGAAUGGUCCCAAAAUUGUUCCAACCAAUAAUCUUAAAAUCUGAUAAAAACCCAGGGACUUGUAAGGUACACGAAUUAAGAGGGCACAUAUCCUUAAAUAUUCUUAAAAUUUAAUACAAAUUGCCCAGUUGCACACCUGAGUUAUCAAUUUUUGUACAAUACCUUUUCUAUUUUAAGACGUUAAUGCACUGUCAAUUGUCGUCAAUAGAGGCGUGUCUUUUCUUGACUCAAGUUUUGUUGGUCGAUAAUAACUAGUGGAGAGGGGAGAACAUCAAAUUCAGGAGUAGUGGCAUUAUGCUUAAGAAUCAUGGAAGAGUAUGUAUAACGACAGUCGAGCGGUGGCCGCAGUGCAAGCUAGCAGUGGGAUUAGUACACUGGAGAGCCUUACUUGUGGUGAUCAUUUUGCGGGUAUGGACAAAAGGAACCAACCCUACAAACAUCAUUUUCUUUAGACCUUAAUUGAAAGCUACCAUGAUUUGGGAUUUAUUCCCUAGCUUUCUAUUUCUUAAGAAUAACUUAAAUAAUCUGUUUUAAGGUCAUUUGACAAUGUAAAAAAUAAUAAUUUAUUUUUUGUUAUUAAAAAAAAAUUCCAAAUAACAACAAAAGGAUAUGAAAUAUUUUGAAAACUUUUAUUUUAUCCAUGAUAUCUAUCUGGUUAUAAAUUCAGCGGUUGUUCGUAAUGCUUCUAGUAGAAAUGUGAGAGUUUUCUAGUCUCACAUGAUUAAAUUCUUUCUUCCUUCUGUACAUUCACAUGCAGUUCUUCAAUUCUUCACGGCCCUUGAAUUCUCAUCUUUCCAGCCUAGCGAAAUGGAUACAAUUCUGAAGAAAGGUAUCGGAAUAUGGAAAUGAGACAAAAAGUGUAUCCCAUUCCUGAUAUGUAUGAUAUUAUAUGUUCUAGAUAACAGGCUACGUGUAUUUCCAGCAGUGGGAAUCUCAUAUGGCUAGGGGUUAAACAAGGGACGCAGUUGGAGGAUUGUCCUUCUGUUAACAAGAUGGGAAGUUGUUGACAACUUUGAAGGAUGGGUGAGGGCCCUUGAAGUCUUGAAGCCAUCACCGUACCUGCAUUUUUGGCAUUUAACCCACCAUAAGCGCCGGGAAAGCUGAGUGUCAUCUGAUAUCCACCGAAAUUUUCAAGGAGGCAAUGAGUGAGAAAUUUGUGCAUCCAAAUGGUGGUCCAAGACUCCCCAAUAAUUUCUGAUUUUUGAUAAGAGUACGAUAGUUUUAAAAAAUAAUUCAUAAAUUACCGUAAUAAGAAAAAUAAUUUUAAAUCUAUCUUUUAAAUGGAAAAGAUGAAAUAAAUUGGAAGUAAAAAAUCGUCUUUUCAAAAAACGAUUUCUACAAAAAUAAAAUAAAAUUAUUAUUAUUUUUUAAAAUCAUCUUUUAAAGAGACGAUUUUCACCACAAAAAUAAUAAUAAUAAAUAACAGAUUAUCAUCUAUAGAUGCCUUGACGCGAGACUUGUUCAAAUUCUCUUUCUUGUUUGGUUAUUAGGUCAAAAAAACUUGGAUAAACACCAAAAUUGUUGACCCAUCUCUUGAUUUCCACCACCAAAAUUUUUUUAAUUUCAAAGGAAAGAAAAAAAAAUAUUAUUUAUCUUAUAUUAAAUUUAGUAUGCUAUUUAUAAAUUAAAUUUAAUAAAUAAAAUUAAUUAAUUUUAUAAUAUAUAUUUUUAAUAAUUGUAUUAUCGUAUAAGUAUGAUAGGGAAUAGAAAAAUGAAUUUUUAAAGUUUUUUUAGUUUUUUUAAUAAACCAAUAACAAUUUUUUUAAACUCAAUUUUCACAUAAAAUUGAUAGUAGUUUUUAAAAAAAAAUCCAAAGUAAAAGAAAAAAAAUAAUAUAUAAAUAUUAUUUAUCUUAUAUUAAAUUUAGUAUAUUAUUUAUAUAUUAAAUUUAGUAAAUAAAAUUAAUUAAUUUUAUAAUAUAUAUUUUUAAUAAUUGUAUUGUUGUAUAAAUAGAAUAAAAAAUGAAAAAAAAUGGAAUUUUUAAAGGUUUUUUUUUGGUUUUUUGUUUUUUUUUUAAAGUGAGAAUUUCCCAUUUAAGCGUUUUUUUUUUUUGGUUUUUUUGUGUAAAUCAUCUUUUUAAGAAACAAUUUCUCAUUUCUUAUUUUUUUUUUUUUUUUUUUUAAAAAUCAUCUCUUUAAUAAACGAUUUUUUAUAUUUAUAUUUUUUUAAAUCGUAUAAAUGAUUUUUCACUUUCAAUUUAUUUUCUCUUUUAUGCUUGGAUAAAAUUAUAAUAAAUUUGAAAUUAUUUUUUCUAUUACGAUAAUUUAAGAAUUAUUUUUUAAAACUGUUGUACGUAGUCAAAAAUCCCAAGAAUUUCAAAGUCUAAGAUGUUCUUCUAUAUCAGAAAGACUACAAUAAUAUCCACUUCAAUUAUUUUGGGGCCAUUUCUUAUUCUCUGUAACACAGUUAGCCCAUGUGUUACUCUGACAGAUGCAUUAAGUGAUGUUCAUACAAAUCAGAAUUUUAUUAGAAGAAUCUUAUUCUUUAAUCGAAUAUGACAAAGAACUUUAUGGAAGGAAGACAGUCGGCUAAGCUAUGAUAUUAUCAACGUUUUAUUCCGAAAGACAACUCGAGGAAAUUAAAAAAAAAAAAAACCACCUCACUCAAGAAUGUCAAAAAUAUUUUGGUAUAAAUUAAAUUUCGUUUUUAGAACUUAAACAUAAGAAAUAUACUAAGCCUAGAAAAUGAAGGCUUUGCUCUCGAUACAUCGCUCUCCUAUGUCGGAUUGUAGAAAAAAAUGAAAAAAAAUAAAAUCUUAUGGAAUAAACAGCGACUCCCUUUCUUUUAUAAGAACAAACAGCUAGUAAACAAGUGUGAGGGGGCCAAACAGCUACUAAACAGCAGUCAGAAUAUUGUCUCAAAAAUCUUUUGGUUUAAAUGGAUGGACCAAAAAGAAAAGGCAAACUGGGACCAUAAAUUUCGACCACAAUACACAGUAAAUCUCCCAUGGCCAUUAGUAGUGCAGAACCUGUCAAUCAUUAACCCUGGAUGUUCCAAAUUCUAACCCUAUUUUACUUUUUUUAGUACAUUCUCCCCCCUAUAUUAUUGCAGCUAGCUAGGUCUCCUCUGCUUAACUUUUCUCAUAGUUUCAGAAACAACUAGCUAGCUGAGAGUAUCUUGACUUCGAUACUCACUAGUGAUCACUACCUUCUUGUCUUGUACCCCUCUGGCCCAUCACUUCUGCUAACCCCCUUGCUUAAAACCCUCUCUUCAAUAGCCAUUUCUAAAGCAAAACCAGAGAGAGUUAGAGGAGAGCGAGAGAGUGAUUGAGCGAGCGAUGGCUGGGAACUUGAGCACGAAUACCUUGUUCGUAGAACAAGCCCCAGAAACAAUUGAGAAGGGAGAUAUAGGCAAGAACUUGGACGACGAUGGACGCUUCAAAAGAACAGGUAUGCAUUUCUCUAUAUCUUGAGAUAUCUAUGUUCCUUAGUCGUAGUAAUAUAUCUUUCUUUAAUUGAUUUUGCCUUGUUUUGCCGUGAAGGAACACUCCUAACUGCAAGUGCCCAUAUCAUAACUGCUGUGAUUGGGUCUGGAGUGCUGUCUCUCGCAUGGUCCAUAUCUCAGUUGGGUUGGAUAGCUGGGCCAGUUGUUCUCGUGGUGUUCUCUUUCAUUACCUAUUUCACUUCCACUCUACUUGCCGAUUGUUAUAGGUCGCCUGAUCCAAUCACUGGGAAGAGAAACUACACCUACAUGGAUGUUGUGAGAGCCAACUUAGGUAAUAAUUUGAUUACUCUAGAUCAAAAUAUGGUUCAGUUUGUCUUCUUUGAAUUCCACUUACAUGCUAUGGGUUUCAAGACCACAAACAUUUGGACGGAAAGCCACUUACUAACGGAUGAAAAUGCGAAACGGGUUAUUUCUGUAUUUUUUUUCCCCAACUGUUUUCCUUUUCUCAGGAGGUAUGAAGGUUCAGCUGUGUGGGAUCGCUCAAUAUGGAAAUCUCAUAGGGGUCACGAUCGGAUACACAAUCACGGCUUCUAUCAGUAUGGUGUAAGUACACAAUAUGACCAGAUGUUUUACAUUUGACUUGCCUGGCCCAUUCAUCAAUUGCUGUAUAAUGUUGAAAUAAUGAAUUAUUUGGUCCCAACUUUGCCCCAUGUCUCAUAAUUAAUCAGUGCCGUACGACGGUCAAACUGUUACCACAAGCACGGCCAUCAGGCGAAGUGCAACCCGUCAGACUACCCUUACAUGAUCAUCUUCGCCUGCAUCCAGAUCGUUCUGAGCCAAAUACCAAACUUUCACAAGCUGUCAUGGCUCUCUAUUCUCGCAGCUGUCAUGUCUUUCAGUUAUGCCUCUAUAGGCAUCGGACUCUCCAUUGCCAGGGUUGCAGGUACUGAAGGAGUACUUUAUAUAUGAUCAAUUCUAAUCCUGAACAAUAAAACUAAUACACAGAAACUUGUUUUGGUUUCAUAGAGCAGUUUCAAUUUUCAUUUUCAAUAUAUAAAAACUAUAAUAUAAGUACAUGGUGAUGGAUAAACAUGAAGGAGGGGCGCAUGCAAGGACAACGUUAACAGGAAGGACAGUUGGAGUGGACUUGUCAAGCUCAGAGAAGGUUUGGAGAACCUUCGAGUCCAUCGGAAAUAUUGCUUUUGCUUACGCAUACUCCACCGUCCUCGUCGAGAUACAGGCAAGCAUGCAAACCCUCAUACUCUUUAAUACCUAAUAUCAGUGUGUAUGUUAUGGACAUACAGCAUAAUAAAGGAGCAUGCAUGCUGGGUUGUGUCACUUGUGUGUCUUAAUUUCUGGAGAUUAUGAUGUGAUGCCUGCUUGAGAUGCGUGCCUGAUUAAAUUUUCAUAUGACACACGACCUACCUCACUGACUCUACUGCUGCACUCCGCAUAUGCUGAUGUUUUUUUAUUGAUAUGUAUUCAAUCGCGUGCUACAUUACAUACUUCUUCGGCACCCAAACCUUCAUUUGGUUUUAAAUUCUUUUGGUAUUCAUGUAUUCUUAGAAAGGCUAGCCAGUAAAAUAGCAGCAUGAAUGGUUCCUAAAGUGUGUUUUGAUGCUUAAAAACAUGAAUGAUCCGUUGGAUUGGCCAUAGAGUUUGCUGGCCCAAGGAUUUUUUUAAAUUUCUCUGGUAGUUUUGUGUUGAUUGGAGGGCAGGAUUGAAAGUUGACACACCAGAAGAAAAGGUAGCUUGAGCCCCCCCCACCCGCGCCCCCACGCCCCCCACCCUAUAAUAUUCCCGGUGAAUAGAUUAGGUCCAGAUUACAUCCACGUGCCCACGCUGUCAUGACACAGACGCAAGACCACCAAUAAAAGCUUAAGGAAAUUGUCUUUAUUACCGGUUCACUGGUCUCAACUGCACAUAAGGAGUAAUAUUCCUCUUCCAACACCCGUCUAAAACUGGACCACAUCCGUCUAGAUUUUUGGCCAUUGAACGUGUUGGCAUUUUACUUUUUAUCUUCCUCUAUGCAGUAUCAGUAUGUGUAUCAUAUAAAAUAUACAUUUGUCAGAAACCUAUUGUCACAUCUUAAAGGUUGUGGAUUGAUUCUCGUGGACACUUUCCAGUAUGUCACAUUAAGAAGCCUUUCUACAUUCAGACGCGUAUCCAAUUUCCCGGGCCCCCCCGUGGUUGCCUUCAAUAAAUGCUAGAGGUAUUCCAGAGUUCGGCCGCAAUUUUAUUACAUGUAAGCCUGGGUCAGGUUAGAAUCCAUGGAGUAUUAUAGAACCUAUUAGGCGCCGGGACGUUUUCUUCCAUCAGGCUCAGAAAUAAGACUUGACAUCCAUGCCAUUAAGCUUAUCAUGUUAGCCUAACAUAUAAAAGUUCAGCUAUAUAAUCGAUUGUAAAUUGAAACUGUGAGUGUCUAUAGACUAAACCAUGUGAACUGCAGGACACGCUAAAAUCAAGCCCCCCGGAGAACAAAGUGAUGAAGAAAGCUACUUUUGCGGGCAUCUCAACCACCAGCCUAUUCUAUGUCCUAUGCGGUUGUGUUGGUUAUGCAGCGUUCGGGAAUGAUGCACCAGGAAAUUUCCUCACCGGAUUUGGUUUCUUCGAACCCUUUUGGUUAAUUGACCUUGCUAAUGUGUUCAUCGCAAUCCAUCUAAUUGGGGCUUACCAGGUAAAAGCUCAUUAAAAAAAUGUGAUGGUGGGCGUUGUUGCAAUUCAAAUGGGGUUUGGGAUUCCAUCUCACAUUUUUAACACGAUUACCACGCAGGUUUUCUGUCAGCCUGUAUUCGGAUUUGUGGAGAAGUGGUGCAACAAGCGUUGGCCUGAAAGCAAAUUCAUCACAACAGAACACUGCAUUGAUGUUCCGCUAUACGGCAUCUACUAUCUGAACCUCUUCAGGCUGGUGUGGAGAACAGUAUAUGUUAUAGUUACAGCAGUACUAGCCAUGUUAUUCCCAUUUUUCAAUGAAGUCAUGGGCUUCCUGGGGGCCGCUUCAUUUUGGCCAUUGACAGUAUACUUCCCUAUUGAGAUGCACAUUGCAAGAACCAAAAUUCCCAAAUUUUCUUUCACAUGGACAUGGCUGAAAAUAUUGAGUUGGACUUGCUUGAUGGUGUCAGUUGUUGCUGCUGCUGGAUCUAUUCAAGGCCUGAUCAAGGAAAUAGAGAAAUACAAGCCUUUCCAAACUCAGGAAUGAGUAGUCAGUAUAUUCACUAUAUUUUUGUCCAGAAAUUGAGAUAUUUUUAGAAUAUAAUUAUCUAGGCAGUUUGGAUGUAUUUUGUUUCUCAAAUAGAAUGGUCAGAUGACCAAUUUGGACUGCCGCCUUCAGGAUCCUGGCAUUUGGUUGUGCAGCCAGUAGUAGAGAAGCCCUUCCAGCUAAACAGGAACAACCAACCAUAUGUUUUAAGGAUAUGAGUCGCCUAUCCAGUUGGACCUAAGCAGUUCAGCAUUGCAUCUAAGUGAAGUCCAUUUAUCAUACAGUAGCUAUCCUGUAAGUUAAGCUGGCAAUGACAAAACAUGAACCAAGGCUCAAGUAUAUACAUCAAUUUUAUAAGAUCAACAAACAGGAAAAAAGGAGUUCGUGAUAGCAGAUCACAAUUCAAGCAGUUUCAGGAACAGUCAAUUGAUAUACAUCAAUCUAAAGCAAGUCAUGUUCAAUAGUCUUAGCAGGCAAAGUAAAUAGACCAUAUAUUCUCUCUGAAUACUACUUCAAUAUCAAACAAUUUAUUUAUUUCCAAGUCCCGCAAUUCAUAAAGAGAUUAUUUCCCAAAGCAUUGAAGCACUCAGAUUUUGUCAUUCCUCCCAUCUUUGAAGCAGCUUUAACUUGAAAUGCCCUCUCAUGAGUGAAUUAAUUCUAGUUAUUUCCUUUCUUGACUUGGUUACUCUAUCUACCUCAAUGUCCUAAUUUCAGCUGUGUUCACUUCAUAAACAUUUGCUUAUAAGAAAUAUGGUUGAUGGCAGAAGAAAAGCAUAACCUGAGCACAUGUUUUUUCCUGGCCAAUCAAAAACUGAUAAAAAGGAGGGUGGUUGUGUUAGGUAUAGGUUGCAGGUAUAAAACUGUCAAUCCUUCAGGAACUUGUUCAUUGUAGAUGAGCUUCAUUGUCUAAAAUCACUCCACAUGAUAAAAAGAAUGAAGAUAAACUUUAUUUUAGGAGAUAGUAAUAACAAUUCUCUUCACAACAAAGGAGAAGCAAAUCACUAAUCAUAGAAUAUGGAAUGGUGAAAAUUAGAAAAAAAACAAGAAAAGCAAUACCGAAUCAAUAUCUAGCCAGAGUCCAACCAGAAAAGCAAUGCAUAGGCCAUUGACAAUGCAAAACCUGAAAACAAUCUUAAUCGACUGCACUAUUAAACAUUGUCGAGAACUGCAUCCAUUGCAACAGUGAUCAUAAAUACACCACCAAUAUUAUGAAAACAAGGUCAUUUAACAGAGUUGCUUAAAAGUUCAUUUUGCCUUUUUUCUUUCUCCAUUUUUACCAAUAAUCAUUAAACAUAGACCACUAUAAAUUCAAAGAAAGAGUAGCUUAUGUUUCCUGUCAUUACUCCAACAGCAUCACAAACAUCAAGCAAUAGAGAAAAAAAACGCAAAUCAAACAUGACAUAUAUGGCCCUUGAGGCCUGGCUAAGUGGUAAAAGGGGUUAGGGAGGAGCUUGCUAGAGGUUCCAAGUUCAACUCCCAAGAGGGACAAAAAUAUAGCUAUAUAAAAAAUGACAUAUAUAAUCCCUAUAUGGUCUCCUAUCAAUUUCAAUUUUAGCAACCAUGCUACCCACUGUAGUUAUGUUAUAAACUUAGUUCUCAUCAGUGGUGUUCUAUAGGCUUGGUAGCAGCCAAUUACUAAAGUGGAUACUAAAGGUAGCCAUAUAAGAUGAUAUCCACAUGAUAUAGCUAGCACAUGGAAAAAUACAUAUAAAGCACUCAAAAUGAGCCCUUGAGGCCUGGCUCAAGUGGUAAGUAAAGGGUUGGGGAGGGUUUGUGAAAUGGUCCAAGUUCAAUUCUUAAUGGAGACUAAUUUCAACUCGGUUUAAGCCAACAACUAAGUAGCCUUGCCUAUGAGUAAUUCAUAAUGAAAAGAAUAGGAUUUUUUUUCUCAUGCAUGUUCUUCUGUGCUGUAAGUAUUUCUAGUAGCUUGAGCAUUUACACAAAAGAGUACCAUCUAAUCAAUCAAUCAAAUUCACACACACUAAAGACUCAACUGCUUAUUGAUGCAGAUACAUCCUCCUGGACUGAUACUUCAAAUCCCAGACUCUAGUAUCUAGGAUAGCUCAUUAGAUUUAAGCACAACCAUUUGAAAACACACUUUCAAAGCAAAAGUUCAAUACAAACAUGGAAAAUGCAUCACUUCUUUUUUGGAGGUGAAACUGCACUCAGCUAGUUAGCCUUUCCAUAUGGAUUAAACAACUGCAAGGCUGUUCAUAACAGAAUAUUUUGUCAAGUUCCUACAUGUAGAAACCUCCAACAUGAUUCAAAUUACCUCUAGUUACUCCUUAGAUGGGUAGAAUGGCCUUAAAAGCCACAAUAAGGCCUCUUUAAGCAAGGGAAAGUACAGACUAUAAUGAUACAGUAUGGAUUGCAAUCCUUAAGGAGAAGGGCAAACUUAAUAUUAUGGCAAACUAGAAAAUCAAGCUUUUUGAUAGGAAAGCAAAAUGGCACACCAAAUGGAAGAGAACAAGAAGAAAGAAACAAAAACCAACUCCCUCCCCUUACUUAGAACCCUGUUCAAUCAACAAAAUCUAUUAUAGACAUUGACGUCUUAUCUAUGCAUAUUCUAACCAAUCUACAUAAGUACACAUAAUAUAGCUUCUGAAUGAGAUCAACUCCAAAUCAAGUCAUUAACUUUGAAGCAUACCAGGCAAUUCUACAAUAAAAAGCACAGAAAAGAGAAUCAAAGAAACUCCAGUUAAAAUCAUUAUAUUCAAAGAUACCAGAUUAUAAAGCAAUAACUUCACCUAGAUCACCCAUUUUACCAUUCUUACAUUGAGUUUCAACCCAUUCGUUUAACCCUGGAUAUUUAAUUCUACUUUGUAAAAUCAUGUCCAAGAAGGAUGAUUUUGUGCAUGUCCAGGCUUGCAAAGUGAAAAGAAUCUCCAAAUAUUUAACACCAAAGCCAAAUAUAGUAAUCAGGGAGCUUUCUGAAAGAAAUUUUAGAAUCAGAAGAGAGUGGAUUAAACUUCAAUUGGAAAUCUAAGAAUGCAUUGCCAGAAACUAACUUUUUGAGGUCAACUUAUCCAAUAAAGAAAAAUUUUCACAAACACAUGCAUGCACACAUGCAUGUGCAUGGGCACAAGUACAGGUUGGCAUUGAUAUAACAUCUUCACAGCCCUUCAUAAGUCCUCAUUCAAUCCAAACAUUGAGGGAAAAAGGUAAAAUUCGGCUUUCAAUUCAUGAGCACUAAAGGCACAAUAUUGAACACUUAAAUAAGACAUCCAGUAAAAUUGAAGCGGAAUGUCCAUGAGUGGUCAGAGGAAUCUGCAAAGUUUGAGACUGUCCCUGGUAUUAAGUUCAGCGGUACUCACAAAACUGCAAACUAGUAUUCUCUCAUUCUGCAAUCGUCAUAAUCUGCAGUUGAGAUAUCAAGAUUUAAAGAGCACCAAUUAAGCAACAAAUAUUAGAUUAACUCCUAGAAACUAUGAGAGGGAAGAAGUAAUUUCUAACAAAUGCUACCGAUGAUAAUACAAGCAAACAAAACAUACACUAGUUUCUGUGCCAAUUGAGUAUACGAAUGCAUUCAGCAAUGAUGUACAAAUACAAGAAGAUGGAAAAUGUUACCUCAAUAAGAAAUAUCAAGGCGAUUCCGUCUCACUUAACACAAAUGCUUGAAUAAGACUCUGUGCAGCAUGGGUCUGCUCAGGCGUCCCAGAUAUUAUAAUCACAGUUUCUGAUGCUCCAGGUUUAGGCUCAGUAAUGGUAAUUUUUGCAUCAGAAAUCUGAAAUGGUAUUGGUUACUUUAUCAUACAGGGUUUUGAUCAAGCUAUUGAUCAAUGACUAUGAUCAUAAUUAUUAACCAGAAUAAGGAAAAGCAUGAAAGUUAAAAGUAAAACAUGUUAUCUCUAGGGGAAUAAUAAUGCUAUUUGUGGAGACCGGGAAAAAUAUACAUUGGAACUUGAAUGAAGUUGGUCCUUCUGCUAAUUUUUUUCACUAAUUCCAAAGAGCAUUAAAAUAAAGUAAGGAAAUUUCUAGAAAAGAAAAGAAGGUAAAUAGAAACCAUUGAAGUCAUUUAUGUACACCUCCAAAAGAUCAUAGGGAAAUUACUAGGAGCAGGUUUCAAAUGGAAAAUUUUCAACAAAAACCAGUGCAUGCCAAAACUGAAUAAGCAAUGCUAAAAUCUUAUUAUGGAUUAAUAGAUUUGGUCAAGUCAUAAGGUUAUAGUGUUGUUUUAAUUAAAAAUUAAUUACCAACACAAUAUCUUUUGAAAGUGAGAUCUAGGGUUAUCAGUUCUGCAAAAGUGCAAUCAAAAUUGAAGACCACCUCUUCAGCCUGUUCAAUAGAUGUUAAUAAUGAACUACUUGGUCAACCCAUUUGAUAUAGAUAACCAUGUCUUAAGGAUUGAGGAUCUGAUUGAAGAAAAUUGUUUCCUUGUUUCUCAGCUCACAAUUAAUCAUAGGCAGAACAUGGUGAAAGCACACCACAAAAAAGGGCUUCAAAAAAGAAAAACAAGAGGUUAGAAAAUGAACUGGCAAGCCUAGAAUACAAUAUCAAGAUAAGUUGAGCAUCUUGUUUUUUCAUCCCAAAAUUGACAUUUUUUUUGAUAAAUAAAGACUUGGAUUGAAGAAAAGAGCCACCAGAAAAACAGUCCAAGGUACACAAGAAAACAAACCUCCCUUCACCAAUGAAGCUCAACCAAUGGAGUGCAAAAUGAACCUCAACAAUCUCAACAAGUACCCAACCAUUCAAAAAACUUACUAAAGUCGAUGGGCGCUCAUCUACAAAUAACUCAAACUCAAAUCACAGAAAACAAACAAACUCCUUUUUUAGCUUUUGAAGAGAAAAAACAUCAUUGUAGAAAGCAAUGGUGCUCCUGACCUUCCACACCAUCCAAAACAAACACAAAGGCUUGCCAAACCUUCAUUCACUUUUUGCCUACAAAAGAAUCAUGUCAACCCAACAAAGUAUCUUUAACCGAUGAAGAAAGCAUCCAAGACACCGCAAAAAGUACAAAAAUCAACUCCCAUAAAACACCAAUUUGCUAAAGACCAACCUCGUCUCUGAAGUUGAUACAAGGUUAGAACUUUACCCCACACAAUCUCCUAAGCAAAAAAACAAACUUUUGGUUGGACCCACAAAAUCCAAAUUCCACUCGUUGGAAAAGACCCACCCAAGUUUGGUUCCAAAACAUUGUAAAGGGACUUCACUGUAAACUUGCCACUCUGUCACUGACCAAAUCAAAGAAUCUUCCACAUCCCUACAAACUCGUUGCCCCUACAAAGGAGCUAGAAAACUUUCCAUGCAAACCACCAUCCAAUCAUUACAAGAUCUAGAGAAAUAAGGAUUUCAACCCUUGCUCCCCCUUUCAACAAAAGAAUUCCAAACAUCUGCCACCCACACAUCCUUAGAAACAAACAAAGCAAAUAAUGAAGGAAACAACACACACAAUAGGUUAUCCCCGCACCACCUAUCCUUCCAAGAAAGUACCUUCCGCCCAUUACCCACGGUAAAGGAACACCUAGAACUCAUGAUACUCCAAUCCUUCCUUAUUGUUUUCCACAACCUAACCCCAUACCCCUCCUUUACCCCGAGUUUCCCACCCAUACCACAAAUAACUUGGGCAAGGAAUGCAACAAAAGUAGGUUUGUCAAGUAAGAAAAAAUGAAGGAUAGCACAUUGACAGGAAACCCCUAGCAGAUGACAUGAAGGUAAGUCGUGAAUCGUGUUUUUUCAACUCAAAAUUAAUAUAAAUAGACUAGAAAACACCAAAAUAGGCUUGGAAAGAAAGGAAGACAGUGGAAACCAGGGUUGAAAAUCAUACUGAUCUCAGCCGAGUUGUAUCCACCUCAGCCAUGACCAAUACAAAACCGAUAACUAAGUCAAAAUCAAUGGAGAAAAUAAAAAACUAUCAAAAUGAAGAACUUUGGAAGGAAAGUUCAAAGCCUCAAUCUCGAUUUGCAUCUUCAUCCAAAGCUUUUACAUCCUCAUAUGGCUAAUUUAUCUCUAAUUUAAUGCCUUUGAGAGGUGUAAUGGGAAUUUUCAGAGAAAUGGGUAUCAUGGAGAGAUGUGAGAAAUGGUUAUGUUGUAGAGAAAUGGAUACCAUGGAGAGAUAAGAGAAAUGGAUAUAUUGCAGAGAAAUGGGAACCAUGGAGUGAUGCCUCUAAGAGAUGAACGAGUAUUGUGCAAAGAAGAUGAAAAGGGUAUUUUGUAGAAAUGGAUUUGUUGCAGAGAGAUGGAAGAGGGUUUUUUAUGGAAAGGGGUAUUUACAAAGGAAAUGGUUGUAGUGGAGGGAAAUAGGAGAGGUUUUUGAUUGAAAUGGGAAAGAGAGGAUUUUGUUUGGAUUUUAAAUAUUUAGGUUUGUAUGAAAUAAAUAGAAUAUAAAUAUUAAUAUAAAAAUUUAAAAUUAAUGGAUAGAAAUAUUAAAAUAUACAUUCAUUUUUUAAAAUUUAUUUAUUUAAAUGAAAAUAAAAUUAAAAAAAAAAAAUCUUGUUUUUUUAUAAUGGUUUUAUUUAGAAUAUAUUUGAUAGGAAAUGAUAUUUAUCUUUUUAAAGGUGAUGCAUGGUUAUUUUUAAUGGUUGAAAAUAUUUUUUUAAAUUUUCAAAAUAUUAAUUUUUUUAAAAAAAAUAUUUCUAAAAAUAAAUUCUUUUUUUACUAGUUUUAUCUAAUAUUUAGUAUGAGGUGAUAAAUAGAAAAGUUUUAAAUCCAUUCCAACAUCCUUCUAUCACUAUAUGGAUUAUGUUCUCUCUCUAUAUAUUUAUUAAUUUUUUUAGUCUAUGUGAUUAUAUUAUUUUUGUGAUAAUUUUAACAAUUCUCUUAAAAAUUUUGGAGUUCUUAAUAACAUAUUCUGUGUAUGGUCCGAUACCAAGACUGAUAUCACGACUUUGAACCAUGGUGGAAACCCCUAAUGAUCAUUAUGGCCCAUUAUAUGUCACUAUGGUCAGUUAUGGAACCAUAAUAACUGUUACACAAACUUGAGCACCAAAAUUACAGCUACUAUAAAAAUGUGAAGACAGCUACUACAUUACAUAGCAGCUCUAAUUUAAAUUGCAGAUCGGUACUCUUUUGUGGAACAUUUAGAACUAUCAUAAAGAAAAAAAAUUCCCAAAAAGAAAGUGAAAGCUGUCAGAAACAAUAAAAGAACUUUUAGAAAUUCUCAAGGUUCACCACUUCUAGUGAAUAACUGUGGUCAGUAGAAAAUAUCAAGAGUGUAUUGUAUAUACACACUCAACUCCUGUUGAAGUAGCAACCACAUGACCUCUGGGCUUCAAGUGAAGACUAAAUUUAAUAGUUUGGUUGAAGAAAAACUCAAAAGGCACUAAUUUUGAACAGCAAGUGAUACUAAAUAAUUCUACCUGAACAAAAGGCACAGUAGCAAAUGGUGACAUGAAAUUGUAAAUUGACAAAGUAUCCAAAUCUUUAUGCUUAUAAGAGCAAAAAUUAAUCCACUGUGAAUAUAAACCUGAGUCCACAAACACACCCACGUCUCCCACCUCCUAAAAUCUCCACCAUAAUCCUAAAUUAAAAAAUAACCCAAUGUUUCCCCGGCUCCACAAGGAAUCAACCUUCUCUCCUUCACAUCUCUACUAACCUCCUAGGAGGGCCUCUCCUAACUUUUCCCCUCAUGAGCUAGGAUACACAAAAAGAUAUUCUAACCAAUUCCUAAAUGGACAAGAAACCCUAUUUCCAUAAGUGAAUGUCAAAACAGGAAAUCUCUUUUACAAGAAUCUCUACUCUUAAAGAAUUCCAAUGGAAUGAGAAGUUGAACCAUUAUAGGAAAUUGUGACAUUUUCCAACAAUUGAGCACAUAAAUAUUCUCAAAGACACACAAAGAUAUAAUAAAAUAUGCCUACAGAACAGCUAAUGGAUUGGUAAGGUGAGACACAACUCAGAAAAUGUAGAAACCAUAUAUAGUAAUUUUCUAGAGAAACUUCAUUCUAUAUGAUUACUAAGAAGCAGUCAACAUCUUUUCCCAUAAAAAAAAAACGACAACCCCCUCCCCCCCUUUUUUAUAUGCAACAAGCAUAUGCAUAUCUAUCCUAGGAUAAUUACCAGAUCGAAGAAUGUACCUGCCGGAUUUGUCUCAAACAUCCACCAUCCUCCCCAUAAAUUGAAGGAACAAGAGAACGAGGAACAACAACUUCAACAGUGGUGCUUGUGAUAAUAGCUUGUUGGUUUCCUCUACAAAGAUUAAACAAAAAAAAAAAAAAUGAAAUUAUUAUAUAUAAUAUAAUAUAUAGUAAGACAUCAACAAACAAUUUGAUAUCACAGUACAACAAUUAAGCUAAAACCAAGAGUAAACUAUGAUACACUAACCCUCCAAAUCCCGGUAUUCUUCGUUGGGGGCCUCCUGCAAAGUCUGCCAAUCCUAUUGGGACACCACCUUCAAUCAGGCCCUACAAUCCAGUUAACACAAGCAAAUUCAGGACAACUAGCAUAAAGAUAUUGCAUAAUUUUAUUCUCUUACAUUGAUUGGAAUUACUAAUAUAUAUAUAUAUAUUGAUAGGUUGAUUGGGAUUACUAAUAUUGCUUCUUCUAUGUAAAUUAAUAUUGACAGUUCCCAGCAUGUUACACUAAAAUGCCAAAGAUAGAAAACAGAAGCCCAUGAGGACUAACUCCUGUGCAGGAUAUCAAUGCAGAAAUUUUCUUUCGUUCUUUCUUUCUUUCUUUUUUUCUUAGGCAAUAAGAAAUUUUAUUAAGAUAGAGCCUACCAAAGAGGAGCACAACCCAAGCACCCAGGGAUAUGCAAAUGGAGCCAAUAGGCAAAGGAGAAAGCAACACCCCUCUAAGAGGGCCCCAUAUGAUAAACUCUAGAGAGGAACAGGAAUCAUUACUUGAAAACUUUCAUGACCAAAGGAUUUUCGUGAACACUCAGAGGAAGGUAAUAUAGAGAAUCUGAAACAGCCUUUAAAGCAUAAGUUAGCACAAGUUAGGAUUCGGUACCUGGUGACCCCAUGGUGCAGAAGAUGGCUUUCUUUCAGGAAUAUGAGGGGGGAUGCCCAGCCUGUGGAUGCUGUGCAUAAAUGGAGCUCGAUCAUCAUGGGGAUGAAAACCACCAUGUGGAUGCAGGACACCAACAGCAUCAAACUUAUGAAAGGAUGGACCUAAAUUAGAAUACAUCCCAGGAGGUGAAAAUUCCCUCCUUGCCAAAUAUGGAGGAAAAGGCGGUACUUGAUCUGUAAAAGCAGGAUUAGAUGGAUGGUUGACAGAAAAUGCAUCACGGAAGUGAUGAUGCCGCAACCUAGUGGUUAUCUGCAAAAGCGCCUCUUGAACUGCUUCAAAUUCUCCAUUUAUCUGUCAGAAAAUAUUCAUCUUAAGUUCAAAACACCAAGCAAAACAAGGUUAAAAAGGUUAGGGUUGAUUAUAAAUGAGAAAGUAGGAGAUAUCCAUAUGCAUGCAUGAAUACCGUCUUAAUUCACAUGGUCAAAGCAAGACAAAAACUGAAAUUUAUUAUAACAAAUGGAAAAGAUUUUGACAAGCCAGAUGAUAACAUAAAAAAAAGGACAUAAACUUGGUAGAAGUGAUAACUGAUUGUUCAACACUGUCAUACUGAAAAAUCAGUAGUUAGAACAUAAAUAAACAUAGAAGCACACCUGAACUACUUCUUCAUUUUCUGAAGCACACUUUGGAAUCUGAUCCUUCCCCAAUAUACGUAUAUGAGCCCCAGAUAAUUUCCUCAUUUCAGCUAUGAUGGCACCACCCUUCCCUAGGAGGCAACCAAUUUGAGUGGAAGACACAAGUAGCCUUGCUAUCACAGUCUUCUCCUUGCUAUCAGGUAUAGCCCUGACUAUCCUGCUCUGCACACGGAGAACUGCAUCUUGGGCUGGAGAUAUCCUAUCAUCUGGGUGCUGAAAUUAGUUGAAUUUUUCAUCAGCGUGGAUAAAUUUUGGCCUCAUACUGCAACUAAAAUGUGACUGAAAGAAAAUGCUAAAAAUGAAACUUAGCACAUCCAAAGUAAAAUAAAACUGUACCGCUGAACCAGAAAUGAAUAUGACCCGGUCCUCUGAAUCAGGAACACCAUCCAAAACUUUGAUCUCACAGCCUGUCUCAUUCUGAAGGUUCUUAAUUAUGGUUCCUCCCUUUCCAAUUAUACCUCCCACCCUCUCAUCAUGACACAAUAACCUGAAGGUCAGAAUAUCCUGAGGUUUCAUCCAACCAGGCAUGCCACUUUCAUGAAAUUUAUGAAGUUGGGGAGUAUUUGAGUGAUAAUCGGUAUCACGAACCCCAGCAGCAUAAGGUGCACCUUGUGCAGGGAAAGAGUAGUUCGGCGGUGGCUGUGCUUCAGACCUAGGAAGAGGAGGACCAAAUAAAUGAGAUGAUGACCCAGUAGGAUUGGUAGAAACUAUAUCAUAGUCCCGAGGUGGAUUCUCCAGAAGUUGUUGAGAAAUAGAUUGAAGAGCUUGUUUACAUGCAUCCAAUUCCCCGGUGAUCUGUGAUUGAUUUUGAAAUAGAAUGGUUAAAUAAAAAAUUACACAGAAAGAAAGGUAUGAAAAACAUGAAGAAAAAAAUUUCAAAAAAUUUAAGCAAAAAAAGGAUACUUGUGAAGAACAUGAAACAAAUAAAUAAAUAAAUAAAAUAAACUCACAGGUGUAACUGGUAUCAAAUAUAGAAUUAAUGAUCAGUUUUGUUAGAGAUAUACCAACAACUAGGUGUCUUUUAAGAACUAGGCACUGAGCCAAUGAUGAGGCAAGGCAUUCAACAAAUUUCAAGUGUCAAACCAAGAGAGUGAAUGCUAGGAUAGGUGCAAAUUUGCAGAUUAAAUAGCAGUGGGAUCAAACUGCCAAAAUAACAUUCCAUGUCAUGAAAAUCAUGACUCCAUAUUAUAAUAGGUUUAGACAAUAUGUAUUUUUUGAGCUCAGGGAUCUUGAAAGAGAAAAUAAAAUUAUCAACAGAAGUUACCUGAACCAGUUCAUCAGAAGGUGAUGCACAUAGAGGAAGCUUGUCCCUAGGAAGAAUGCGAAUCUGUGCCCCACUUUCAGCUGACAUUUGCUUGAUGACACUGCCACCCUUUCCCAGAAGACAGCCCACUUGACUAGAAAGCACAAGUAACCUUACAACAAAAGUAGGAGACUUAUUACUAUCUUCAUCCCCUCCAUUUGUCUCUGAUUCUCCUUCUGCCAUUCUUUCAAAAACAAGUAAAAGAGCUUUCUGCACAGAUGAAAUUCCCUUUUCAACUUGUGAAUCUUCCACAGGAACGGAUUCUUUAUCUUCAUCAUUCUCACCAGGUUCCUUUGUAUCACUAACUUCUUCAGCUGCCUUAGUGUCCUCACCAUCUUCUUUGCUCUGUUCAUUGUCAGCUUCUGUGUCUUUAUCAGAACCAGUGAUAAGUACCACUCUCUCAUCACAUCCGGAUACAGUUUCCUCAACCCUUACCUUUACACCAGUUUCUUGACGUAUUUGUGAAAUUAUGGUGCCACCCUUCCCAAUGACACUACCAGUUUUAGAAGCAGGGCAGAGUACACGAAAAACAACAGUACCAGGAGAGAUUUUCAACGAUUGAUUUUGUGAAUAAAAACCUCCUGACUUUUGCCAUUUCCCUUUCCCAUUAGAAUCAGUAAGGCUCCGCUCAUAUGAUCUCUUAGAAGGCGUCAAUGAAAACGACAUGUUUAUUAAAUAUUGGAAAAUCUGCACCAGUUAAAUGUACACAGAAUUAAGAAGUUAAAUAAUAAUUUGAAUUUUAAAGUGGAAACCAUUCAUGAUCAAGCUAUGAUAUAACAAACAUUUCUCAUAAGAACAUUUUGGCGACAUAAGUCAAAGAUCUAAAUUUUCUCUCUGUUCUAAAAAGUAGUAACAGCCAUAAAAUUGAAGGAAUCCCCAGGAUCAGAAUGUUAAAACUAUUGGACCAUAGAAAAACUUAAAUGGUUGAAUGUCAUUGGUAAUAACCAGCAUGGUUUAAAUGGAUUCCAAGAUUUAUCAAAUGUAUCAAAUCUGAUCUACCUAUGGGGAAAUUAACCUUACUAAAUAAGAUGCCAACAUCUUUGCUUUCUUUUUUUAUUUCUUUUCCUGUUUUUGGAAUGGGGUCGAGACCAUAUAUAUCAGAUUAUGGGCUACUAAUUUCAUCCAUUUCAUACAUUUCAUUAUGAUGUCCAUCCUCCAACAAACCAAACGCAACAACAACACCCACCCACCCCCUCUCUCUCUCCCCCCUUCUUUCCUUCUCUUUGAUGAUCCAUCAAUUUGCAACCAAAAGAAUAACUGCCACAUACCAGUGAUUCAAUUUGAUUCUCGCAUCAAAAUGACUCUUCAUCAAAGUUGCAACCAAUCAAAACUUCUUAGGCUUUUCCAGCCCAAUCUAAUUACUGUACAAAUCCGUUGCAUCCGAACAAAUUGAUAAACAAGGCCUCAAACAAAGUGUCACAUCCCCUCAGGAUGAAUUCAGGUGAAAGAAGCUGCUCUAUAAAACAUUGAAAUAUGGCCAACCAACAAGGAUAACCUAAGUCUGCAUGCGCUUCAUGAGGGAGGUAACAACCUCUCUACAUUGCCUUAUAUGCAUGUGAUGCUGUGAUAUCGCUUGAACCACCCAAAAGAAAGGGGGUCGAGGACCACACACCAACUCUCAACAGGCACUCCAAUAAUGGGUGCAGGAUUCAACCAUCCAUGCUAUCAUCAUAUUAUGAAAAUACCAAAGGAUUCAAAACGUAAGGUGCACGCAAAGGCACACACCGGCAUGCUUGUAAUAGUAUAUAAAUCAUAUAAGACUGAUAUAACAAAUUUUGAUUUUACCAUAAAAUUGCAAUCAUAACUGAACCCAUCAAAGACUGAAAGAUGACUGCAAUGACAUCCGGACGAUAAAAUAAAGACAAUUAACGAUAAUACACAAGCAACCUAAUCUCACAAUCACGUGACUUCAUCAGGGUAGCAAUCGUUUCCUAAAUGUAAUUUCGGCUAUCAUAACAAAAAUGAGCUUUGAGAAUGAAAAACAAAGGAAAAAGAAAAUGUCGCGGCGAUCAAACAAAGUCGAUUGGGUGCCCAAGAAAAUGGAGGGAAUAAACGAAAUUAAAUUUAGGAAUCUUGCAUUUUUCACUACUUGGCGAGGCGGAAAACGAAAAUAUCCGAUCACUCGUCUCUAACGAAAUCAUCUGACAAAUUCAGGCGGGGUCAUAUUCUCUUUACGAAAGAAAAAUAUAACAUAUUCUCCGAUUUUCCCAACGACCAAACAGAGGGUAAAGUCGCACUCCGAAUAACUAGAAAGAUUUGAGAUACUCACAGUGUUCGAGAGUUUGAGAGAAUGAAGAGAUUGAGUCGAUUUAUUGGAUUUAAAUGCUACUUGUGACCUCCUCCAAAGGAAAUAACUGUAUUCAAAACCAUGGAAGCUUCCUUACUUUCGACCCACAUCCACAAUCCACAACCCACAACAAAAUCAAACUGCUGAAAAAUGCCCCUGCGAUUAGGUUUUUAUAGUGAUUCUAUUUUCGAAUGUGCAGCGGACCGGGACGGUUUACGACUCACAUGGACCGGUUCCGCGGUUCACGCGAGACGGAGGGACCACGCCACGCCUCGUUUAUAGAAAAUGUUCCACGCAGAGUAAAAUGGGAGUAAAAUGGGGAAAUAUUUCACCUUUUCUCUUCUUACCGUAUUGAAAUUGUUAGUUUCCAUUUUUUUUAAUGAAUAAAUUUUACAAGGAAACUCUAUUCUGCCUAGGAUGGUCAUGGAGUCCGUUUUUUUGGGUACCAUCAUGUCCCAACCAGAAAGGAUUUAAAAUUUAAAUAAAUAGGUUAGAGAUGAGUUUUGAAUUUUUUUUAAAUCUAGGACUAGUGGUUCAAGUUUUUUUUUUUUUGUCUCAUUCUACCAUAUCGAUUAUAUAUAAAACUUAUUUUAAAAAUUAAUUUAAUGUUAUUAAAAUAAAUUUUUUAAAAAAAUAAAAAUUCAAAGAAAGUUAAAUGGAGCAUGGCAGGGUAGAAAAUUCGUAUAGUCGUCUAGUCCUGCCUCACCUCAUUUAAAUUUUUUUAAUAAAAUAAAAAUAAAAUUUAUUUUAAAUAAACGGGGUUAAGUUGGAAUGGAACGAUUCUUCUCAAACUCACCCCAUCAUCCUAAUUUUAUAUUGUACUCAAUUUUAAUUACCAAAAAAUAGAAAAGAAAAAUAAGAUCUAAGUAUAAAAUACCAUAGAUCUACCAAAAUAAAAUAAAACUUAUUAUAAGAUCUUACACCCUUUUUUAAUAUAUGAUACUAAAAAACAAUUUUUAAUACUAUAAAAAAAUCCAUUUUAUAAAUAUAAAAGAUUCUAAGUGAUUAGAUAAUAUCAAUAUUUCAAAGCUUUUAAAGGUUUUUCUUUUUUUUUUUUUACAAUAAAAAUCAUAAAAUUUGGAAAGUACUUACCAACUUUCUCGAGGGUGGAUCACUAGUGAAUUUUUUUUUUAAUAUUUAAUGGUAAAUUUUAAAUUAAUAUAAUUAAAAAUUCAAUGAAAAUUUAGAUCUUAUAAUUAUCAUUAUUGAUAAUAAUUUUAUAUCAUGUUAAUAAUUAAAACAUAUGUCUCAUAUGUUCUUUUAGUUUUCCUUUUAUAUCUAAUAGUUAAUUUUUCGUUCAUAUGAUUGAGGAUUCAAUAACCCAUUAACCCUAACUUCCCGGUCAUUCUUUCUCUCCCCUUCUUAUUUCUUCUUUCCCUUCCUUUCUCAUUUUCAUCUUCUAUUUUUUAUUUUUUUUUAGUGGUGGAGCUAGGAAUGUGCUUCAAGAGGGGCACAAAUAGAAUAAUUAUUUUAAGGGAAUGAACAAUGACAUAUACUAUAGUAGAAAACAAUUUUUCCCUUUAAACAUAAGGUUAAGAGUUCAAAACCCCUAUUGCAAUUUUUUUAAAUGAGGGGGAUGUGCCCUUUCUGGUCCUUAGCUAGAUCCAUCAGUGAUAGUCAUUGCGUGUUUUUUUUUAGGGGUGACAUGUGCUCCUCCUGGUUCUUAGUUGGCUCUGCCAAUGAUAGUUAUGGCGUGUUUUUGUCCUUUUAAGGGAGGGCAUGUGCCUCUCUUGAUUCUUAGUUGGCUUCGUCAUUGAUAGUCAUUGUGUGCAAGUGGUGGGCACCAUGACUAGCAGCAUGAUGACGCUCCUUUCUUCAUUUUUUUUCAUUGGUAACAAUAUAACACCAUAAGUGUUUUUUUCUCUAUUUAAUCAAAUUAAAAACAAAGUAAAAAAAACUACAUAAAAAUAUAAAAUAUUUUGUACAAAAACUAUAAAUUUUUAUUGUAUCUUUCAAAUUUACUUUAAAAUUUUUAAAUUACAGAUAGUAAACAUUUUUUUUUUGUAUCUAACUUUUUUUAAAACAACUUUUAAAAUUAUGAUUUCUUAAUUGUAGAUCUCUAAUAAUUAUUUAUAUUUUAUAUAAAAAGUUUCUAAAAUUUUCUUAUUUUCAAAAUAUAACACAUGAAUAAUUAUUUAAUUUUCAAGUAAAGAGAUUCGAAGUCUUUUACCUACCUGAAAUAAAACUCACGAUUUCAUACAAUUAAUGCAAUCAUAUCCUUUUUACACAACCACAAUUUCCUAGUGAUAAUGCAUUGAUAUAUUUUUUACUCAUGGUGGUCAUUUACUAUCAUCUUCAAAUUUCAUCUAUCAUCUACAAUAUCAUGCUAAAUAAAAAAUCUAUUAAGUUAAUUUCACUCUCCUUCCUUUGUAUUUUGAUUAAAUACACUUAAUCUUAUUAGUUUGAAAUUUUGUCAAAUAUUUGCUUUAUUUUGAGUUAUAGAGGAGGCCAGUAAAAAUAAAAAAUAAAAAUAUAUAAGGAAGAUAUUUAAUGAAAUUUCAAAUUAAUAGAGUUAUGUGUAUUUAACUAAAAUAUUAGAAGAGGUGAAUAAAAGUAAUCCAAAUUUCAUUUAACAACAUCUAUCUUUAUUCAGUUGUUCAUAUAAUGUCCUUAAAAAUAUGACAUGAUGUAAUAAUAAAUAAAACUUAUUAAUAUUUAUAUUAUGAUUUCGAUUCUCCUUUAUCUACCUCAUUUAUGCAUUAUAUAUGUUGACCAUUCAAGUUUAACAUUUAUUGCAUUGUACAUAAUUUAAGUGCAUAAAGAGUAAUACAAAAUAUUUAAAUCAAGAGUUCCUUACAAGUAAAUAAUUAAUUCAUAACUGGUUUAUGGAUUUAAGUAAUUCAUUUGAAUUUACAAUGCUUUGUCUUCUAAUUAUAAGAAUGAUUAGUCUCAGCUUUCGAGAUAAGUUUCCUAUGAUGAGUACAAUAAUGUAUAUGGUUGCACAUUUUAUAAGAUCUACAAUAAAUCAUAAUAUUGAUUUUAGGAUAGUCGUGAUUUACCAAACUAUUAUAUUGCAUAAACUCUCAACCGUGAUAGGAUAUCAAACUUUUGUUGAAUUCAUUAAAAAACUUUGACUCAUAGAUGAGAUCCUAAGGUAGUCAUGUAUCCCCUAUGAAUUAAGUCUAUUGAUGAGGUUGUGACAAUGAGUAAUUUCAAUGGAGGCACUAUGAUAUUAUCUCAUGGGAUUAAAACUGUUUUUUCCUCAAGUGAUCCUAGGAACACAUGUUCAUGGAAUAUGUAGCUAUAGUAAUUUUUUUAAUAGAAUUCAACUUAUGUUUUUGUGAAUUAUAAUAUGUUAGUUGAUCACAUUAGAGAAUAAUAUAUAAUUCAAUGAUUGGAGAUGUUAUAUUGAGAGGUUGAGAACAUAUAUCCCAUUAGAUUAUAAACAUUAGUUCAUGAGAAGGUUGUAUGUAGUGGAUAUUAGGUUACAAAUUCAAGUUGUGUUUUGUUGUAAUCUCAUAGGAUAUCGUAGUGCAAUUUAUUUUAUAUUGUGAGAAGUUAAGUCAACUUUAAAAUUAGAUUUUAAGAGAGUCAGUAUUUUCCUAUGGGUCACAAUGGUCCCUGUUUAAACUUCCAAUUCAUGGUGACACAAGUUUAAGGGUAUUUUUGAUGUUUUAAUUCAUAUGUGUCCAUAAGGGCAUGUUGAUAAAAAUAAAAAAGUUGCACUAGGCUUAUAUGAAAGGUCUCUCUAAAUUGGGUUAAUUCAUUAGUUGAAGUGUAAUGAGACUAAUUAAUUAAUUCAAACCCAAGUGGGUUAGUUUAAGUGACUCAAAUCUAAUUUAGGCUUAAGUCACUUAAGUUCAUAAGAAAGUUUAUAUAAACCCUCUUUAAGGGUUUAAAGUUUUAAUUUUAUGUUAUUUACUUUGAAAUUCCAAAAAGAAACUUUAACCUUCCUUUCUAAAGAAACAACUACCUUUUUUAGUGCCUAUAUCUAGGAGAAAUAGUGAUCAGGCAAAAAGUUACUUAAUUGGUGAGACCUACUAUUUAUUCUACACAACUUCAACAAAUUGUAAUUGAUCUAAAAACAUCCAUAUCACAAGUAUGAUAUUCAUUAUCUCUAAACUUAUGGUUUUUAUUUUCAUAUAUUCUCACUACAAUUAAAUCUAGAGAGUCAUAGGACUAGAAAUAUGUAUCCUAAGCAAUUUAGGAUUGGAAAUUGAGAUAUCAAAGGAUUCCAUCAACAUCAUCUAUGACAUUGUCUCAUAUAAAAUUUCAUUUACCAUUAUCACUCAUCAACAUCGGGUUUAUUUCCUAUUUUAUUUUUAAAAUUUUUGCAUUUUCUUAAAAGAAAUUUCAUUUACUGAAUGAAUUAAAUUGACGUUAAGUUAUUAAAUUAUAACUUAUCACCUUACUUUACUUUUAAGUAUUAAGAUAGUUUUCUAAAUUUAAAUUUAAAUCUAUUAAAUGUAUAAUCAAAUAACUAAUAUCUACUUUAAUUAAUUUAAGUAAUAAAUUUAUACUUUGAUUCACGAUUUUAACCCACCUUUAUAAGCUUCUUAAUAUUCACACACACCUAACUACAACUCACUAUCUCAAAGGCCAACAAUGACUUUUCUCAAGAUUGCCACUAGUUUAGGAUGAAAACGAUGUGAAUGCUUUUCAACUUCAUGAGCUUCAAUAGGAGUUUCGAGUUGAUGUGGUAGGUGACUAUUACAAAGGCAAGUUGGUUGAAUGAACGAUUGCGUGAUCAGCUCCUGGGUUCAAUCCGCGUGAGUCUGUAACCUAGAUUAUCACUUGGUCAACUACUUGGGCAACAAGCCUCCAAGAGUCAACCCUUUAGGUUCCAUGCAACAUUACUUGAAUGAAUUAGCCAUUCCAAUAUUUUGAAAACCUUAUUAAUGAAAUAUGAGUUUCCCGAGUUUUUAUUUUGACCAAAAAAUUAUUUUCAUGACUUUUAUCUCAUUUGAUUUAUAAUUUUUUUAAUAUUUAAUAAUAUUUAAUUUUUUUUAUAUAUGUAUUUUUAGACUAUAUUUCGUUGGUAUAAAAUGUUAAAUUAAUUUUUAAAUGUUUUAUAUUAUAUUUUGGUUAUAAAAUAUAAGCCUGGUUUGAUUUUAACAAUUUUUAUAAAUAAAUUAAAUUUAAAAUUUAAAUUCACUCAAAUCCAACCAAUCAUUUAAAUCAAAGGAAACUUCUUUAAGAUUAGUUUGAUAUUACUAAAAAUCAAUUCAAUCUUAAUUCAAACAUAAAUUAAUGAUAUGGGUUUAACUAAUUUUUCUUUAAAAAAAAAAUCCAAAAUAAUUUUGCAUCAAAAUUAUGAAGUCAACUGUCAAAGAGUGUGAAUUCCAUUAUACAUUUCAGUAAGUAAGGUAUUACUUUCUAAGGGAGAGGAAAAGAGGACUUUAGAAAAAUUUCUUCGUUUCUUCCUUACUUUAUUUUAAUUUUUUAUUAAAAUAAUAUAAAGAAUUAUUAGCCGUUCUUUUGGUAGGUAUCACCACGCAUAAGGAAUUGAAAAUUGCAAGGUUCCAAAAUCAGACGUCAACUCGUGGAAAGAAAGCAAGGGAGAUGAAGACUUUAAUGCAAAAUUUCUUUGGGCCAAAGCAACAGCCAAGCCCAAUACCAAUCUCUAUCACCGUCAUUAAUUGGCGGUAGCUUAAACCGCAAGUUACUUUAGGGUCUGGUAUCCUCAAUGACCAAAAUAGACACGCAAGUAGAAUGGAUUUUUCAUUUUUUCCAGUUUCUAUUUUCUAUAUUAAUAGGUUGCAAUGGGUCUUUUUCAAGCGAAUGGCACUUGCGUAAUUUCGUUUGUAAAUAAUUUGGCAGGCGGUAUUGCUGUGAAUGGAUCUUAAACACUGACAGCUAUAAGAGGAACGUUGGGUUUCUUGAUUUUUGUACCAUCGGCUCUCGUCCGUUCUUGUUGUCGGGUCUAUCCUUAGACAAUUUUCACGUCAAUGCAGUGAUUGCUUCGAUGGGGGUUUUCUGAUAUUGUGCACGAGAUCGGAGGAGCCAUGGCUUCGAUUUUGCCAUCUGAAAUCAGUAGACCGAAGAUCAAUGUUCCCAGAAUCGGUGCUGUGGUCCCUCCAAAUCCUAGAAUCCGAUGCAAGGAUUAUGUUCAGGAUUGUUGUUCCUCUCAUCUGGAGGUUCAGAACCAGGCCAACUUCGAACGCAGCGGUGUUCCAUCAAGAUUCAUGUUCUAUAGAGAUGGUUCCUGGGUUGAUUUCCCAAGCCAGGUGUUGGAGAAUGUGAGACCGGGUUUCUUGGAGCGCAAGACUACGAUGGAUGUUUCGAUCGAUGGCUCAGAGUAUCGUUUCGAUUUUCUGAGAAUGUUGCAGAUCGAUAUCUUGACGGGUAAGGGAAGAUCGAUUGCUUGGAUUGAUGCGAAUGGGAAGUGUUUCUUUCCGAAAUUAUUCGUUAGCGAAGAGGCUGCCGAUGGAUCGGAAAAUCUGAAUACGAAGAGUAAAAUAAGAUUCGGUGAAUACUUUGGAAAGAGGAAGAGGGAGAGAUUGGAAUCUCAGGAAGAAAGCGAGGGAAAUUCGUCAACUAAUCGAGAAGCUGUGUCGAGACGGUGGAAUUCAAAUGAUCAAGAAGCUGUAUCAAAACGACAGCGUAUUCAAACAACAUGUGAUUCAGAGACAUGUAAGUGGCCGAACGUGAAAUUGAUGAAAAAAGGAGGCAGACCGUAUGCAAUGGCCGAGAAGUUCUUUUUGUCUCGGUUAAAAGACACUGAUCCAGCUGUGAGAGUAACCGCAAUUCAUCAGUGUACGUGGAAGGGUCCUCUGGAAAAAGCACGGUGGGAUGUUUUUCAUAAGCAGAUGGAGAGGACAAAGGCUGCCCAAGGGAUCUGCAAUACCACAUUUGCUUGGCAUGGGACGUCGGCCAAAACCGUAGCCAGCAUUUUAACAUAUGGCUUUGGGGUGCGGAGCCAGAUUGAUGGAUCUGAACCACAUGGGUUUGGUAUAUACCUGUCUUCUGUGCGUUUACCGCAUAUAAGGUGGCUAUAUAUUUCAUUUGGAUUUGAUUUUUAAUUUGGUGACAAUGGUUUUGGGUUUUAUGAAUUUGAUUUGAUGGUUGAUUUGUAUUUUAGUGCUAUGAUGUCCGAGGCAGAUGAUAAUGAAGAAAAGCAUGUAUUACUGUGCCGAGUAAUAUUAGGUAAUGUUGAAAUGGUUGAGGAUGGACCGCUUCCUUCUAGUGUGAAUUUUGACACUGGUGUGGAUAAUAUUGAGAAUCCUACUUGGUAUGUGGUAAAGUGGGCCAAUAUGAACACUCACAUUCUUCCCCAGUGUGUUGUGAGCUACAAGUCUUCCCAUAAUGCAUCAGGUGGAUAUGGUUCUAUUUGAUUGUUUCUACUUUGAAAAUAUCUGUAUUACUUUUUGGAAACUAAUAUUUCCAGUUGUUAUCUGUUAGGACAAAUGAGACCGUUAGCAUUUCUGAAGUGGGUUCCAUAUUCGUCAAAUGCAUUUGUUGUGAAAUUGUUUUCCAAGUUGGAGAUUUUGCUUCCUUCUGAAAAAGUUCAGGAAUUGGAGUCUUGGUGCAAAACAUACAAGGUAAAUAUCAUUACAAUGUAGAAGAAUUUUUUCAAAUUAAUAGUGGCUCACAAGGAUUGCAUUUCAUGCGGUUUAUUACAGGAUGGCAAGCUGCCCAAAGGUACUUUCUUGAAACAGUUACGAACCAUUGUGGGGGAUGAAGUGCUGCUUUCUACAAUUAAUGAGAUUCGUGGUUCUGAAUGAUUUUUUUUUUUUUCAAGUUUUUGUUUCACUUGGAGGCAUUUAGAACAAUUAUUGUCAUGUCAAUCCAUUUGAUACAACCGAGUGUAAAUUUAACAUACAACUAGAAUUAGAGUAAAUGGAAUGACCAUAUGAAACAAAAUGACUUGUCUCCAGUUUUCUUUCUCCACCAUUUAUGUGGCAGCUAUGCUUCAGUUCAAUUGUGAAGUGUUCAGUAUUUUUUUAGCAACUCUGCCUUGUAUAUUGGCUUUAUGUUUUUGGUGUUCCUGUAUCUCUUGAAAUCCAGUGAAGAAAAACAUAAGCUAUAGAAUUGAAGUUGGGUUAUUAAGGUCGCCUCUUUUCACAAUAAUGAAGUUAGAUUAGUAGAGCUUCUUAUCCAUUUGUACAUAUGUGGGACAUUACCCAUUUCUGGACAUUACACAUGAGGUUAGAUUUUAGUGGCAUUCUCUUCAUAAUCCAGAAAAAAAUUUGCUGGCCAAAGGACCAUGGAGAUGUAUCGGCUUUAUGUUUUUUGUUUUUUAGCAGCUAUUUCUUUGAACACUCCUAAACAGAAAAAAAUUUGGAAACCCAUUUCUGUUGAACCUGCAGCAAAAGCUUCUCUUUCAAUUUAUGACAACCAUCCUCUUUUCUCUGUCAUUUUUGGCAAGCACCAGUGCAAGCAACAUCUCCAUCCUGGUUAUCAUUAAGUUAUUGGUGACUGUGAAACUGGCCCUCAGUAAAUAUAACAGGGACAUCAAACCACCAGCGGCUGCUGCUGCUGCUGCACCAUACACUGUCCAUUGGUUAACAUGAGCCGUUUUCCAAUCCUGUUUCAUCUCAAUUAUACAACACUUUGCAGCCCAGUGGUGCCAUUAGCUGUCCCCAGUUGUCACUGCUUGAUUAUAUCAUCCAAGAUAUUAUAUCUAACAGCAUCGCCCUCCAUCUUUAUCUAUUGUCAUACUACAAUCUUAUUUAUUGUUGCACUACAAUCUGCUCACAUUUCUGCUUAUUUGCCAAGGUAUGUUAUUGCACUUCUAAUUUGCUUUUCUAUGCUAUCCUUCAGUUAGUCUUUAUUUGGGGAGGAAUAUUGUGCUGUUUUUUUAGGGUAAUUUGGUUCUUGAUGAUUUCCCAUUUCUUGUUGGAGUCCCAACCAUAAUACUAGUCACAUACCAUUUUCUUUGGAGGUUGUUUAGGAAACAAAAAAAUGGAGAUAUAUUUUGAAAAUUUGGUGGAAAAGUUUCUGCUAAAUAUUGAGAUAUGCUUUGAGAUAUCUAACUUUUUGACACUUUGUUUUCUGUUUAGGCUGUGUUCUAGUUCAUACUCUGGCUGAUUAGCAGGAGUAACUUUUUGUUUUGGAUCCAGGUGCUUUGGUUGUUCUCUUUGGAGGAUCAACUGUUUUGUAGAUCAUCAUAAUUACCAUGAAGAUUGGGCCAAACCUUUGACAUUGGUAAUUCUAGAGCAACUUAAAUGCUGUUUGAUUUCAUUUGAUCAUAUUCAUGCUUUCUUGAAUCUGAUCGUGUUUCCAAAUUUGAUAAGAGUAGUAUUUUUUGAAACCAUGUCUUGUGUUUUGGAUAGAUUUUGGACAUUUUGGUGCCAUAUUUUUAUCGAGUUGGAAUAAAAAGUGGUGUCUUUUCUAUUGUUGUUUUGUUGUGUGUGUGUGUUUUUAAUCUAAUGGGUAUGAUGAAACAGAAGGUUCAUGAAGGACUCAUUUUGAAAAGGAAAAAAUGAUGGUAUGUGCUAAAGCUUUAUCUCCUAGACCACCAUCAUCUUUCCUUAUGCUAGGGCCACCCCAAUCUUGAAGUACAGAAAUGGAAAUAGAAUCAACUAGAUCAAGAAAAUAGUCGUGCUUUCUAUUAAUUACUUCAACAAAACCAAAUUUGAACAUACAUCAAGUAACACCUGAAGGAAGUCCCUUUAGGCAUUCCAACAACCACAAUGGUGACCUGAAUUGCUCUACAAUUAGUCGAAAUAGCUAUAAACAUGUAAAUGAGGAACACACAAAGACUGUUAAUGGCCAUUGUAAUGAUUUCCAUGACUCCAUUUGCUGCAUCUUCAAAACUGGUCAUAUCAUGUUUAAAUUGGACUGUUUCAUCUGAAUUACUUACUUAUAUAUUUAUUUAUUUUUAUAUACAGUGAAGUAUCAAGGAAAUUUGAGUUAGAUCCAAGGAUGAAAAUAUCGGUAAUCAUGGAUAUAUCGGUACUUCGAUUUUACGGAUAUAUCGGAAAUAUAUCGGCUGAUAUUUUGGAAAAAAAUAUCGGUAGACUUAAAAUUGUUAAAAACUCAUAGAAACGUAAGGAAAACCUCAUAAUAAUAUAAUUAAAAUUAUAACGGACAUUUUAAAGUUGUUUUAUUGAAAAAUUUGAUAUACAUAUGAUAUAAUUUGCGAUAUUAGAUGUAAUUAUAUCAUGUCAAUCUAUAAGAAAUGUUAAUUUUGUAAUUGUUCUCAUUAUAAAGUCACAUAAAAUACUUCAUUUAAUUAAAUAUCAAUAAUUUGUACACAUUAAAUUCAUUAAAUAAACAUAUUUCAUAUUCAAAAUAUACUAGUUCAUGUUAAUUAAAUUAAUUAAAUAAUUUAGCUAAGUUAACUAGUUUAAUUUAAUUCUAAAUGUGAAAAUAAAUCACAAAUAAUCAUCUAAAAUAAACAUAUCAAUUUAUAAUUAAAUAAUCAAAUUAACCUAAGUUAAUUUAAUAACAAUAUAAAAAUUAAUUACAAUUGAAUGUAAAAAUAGCAUUAAAUCAUCCAUAUUGCAAACAUACUAAUUAAUUAAAAAUACAUGAAUUAAUUACAAUUGCAAACAAAAUUAAUUACAAUUUAAAACAAAUAUACCUUAAAAUGAUUAAAUAAUUGAGCAACCUUAAUAAAAAUUGGAGAGAGCAAAUGAAGAAUGAAAGCAAAAAUGGAUGAAAUAGAAGAAAUUUGGGCUAUUUAUAGAAGAAAUUUGGCCCAAAAUAGCCGUUGGAACAUUAAUUUACCAUUGAAAAUCAAUUUUGGACAUUGGAUAAAAAACUGGGAGCAAUUUGGUCAUUGGAUCGCCAUAUUACCAUUGGAAUCACAUCUAGGCCAUCGGAUCAACACGGACGUAAUCUGGGCUGUCAGAUCACAUUGCAUGAAGGAAGGGAAAUAUCGCCAAAAAAUCAGCGAUUUGUCUCCGAUAUAUCACCGAUAUUUUGCCACCAUAGGCGAUUUUUUCAAAAAAUUGUCGAUAUAUCUCCUCGAGUCGAUAUAUCGCCGAUAUUUUGGCGAUUUUUGCGGAAAUAUCUCCCCUUCAAUUUUUUUCCACGAAAUAUUGUGUCGACCCCUCCCAAUACACGAUAUAUCCCGACAUUUUCCUCCUCCUUGGUUAGAUCAUAUAAUAGGAUACAAUUUAUUCCAUGAUAUUCAGUUUUCCUAAUAAACUGAUAACCGGUAUCCAAGCAGCUACUGCAACACCUACUGUGCUAAGAGAAGUUUCAAGUUUCAACUUGGUGAUGUUUGAAUCUGUAUUUUUGCUUGUGAUUUGCAAUAUAUCGAGAAGCGUUCUGACAUGGAUAUUGAUUUUCUUUUAUUUAAUGAUUAUUAUGUAGUGAUCUGGCAUUUGGAAAGUGCUUCUGAUGCUCUAGAUUUGAUGGAGAUGAUGUGUGUACUUCAAAUGUUUUUUUAUUAACUUAUAAACUCAACAGCACAACAAAGCCUCAAUCUGGGUAAGUGGAACCUUCUUCAUACAUCCGUGUAGGAAUUUUUUCCAGUUGAAUAAAACUUUAGUUCAAAAUUUUAUGGAUUUCAGAGCGAUGAUGUGCGUGUCUCAGAUGAAUUUUAAACCGAGAAGGAGACCUAUAAAUGAUAUAUCUUUCAACAACUAUGUUGAAUUUUUUUCCCUACCAAUAACUCGAUUUUCAUUUUAGAUCAUCAAUUUUUGCAUUUCAUAUGGAUCAUGUGGGUACAAUGGCCUCACCCAGGCAUUCAUCUGGACAGGAAACCAUGUGGAGCGAGAGUCGCUCAGGUCUUCCGGUUGACCUUGCCCAGACACAGUGCGAGUGCCUGGAGGGGGGCUGACAAAAGCAAGCUCACAUUUGUGAGCAUUACCGUUCCUGAAAAGCGUUUUUGGGAAAGUUAAUGUGCAUACGUUAUUCCAUUAAUACCUAACGGUUGUGCGUGUAAUUGAGGAACUGAAGGGCAGUUGCAAGAGCCUAUAAAAGAGCCGAAGGCAGGACGAAGGGGAUAUUCUGAACUCUGUAUGCAUUAAGUCUUUUUGCAGGAAAGCACUGACUUAACCUUUGGGGAAUCGCCUAGCCUUUUCUGCAAGAUCCAAUAGAUCAUAUGCAAUCUUAAAUUCCCUAGUUAAUUUUUCAUCUUAAAGCUUCCAAAUGAUAAAAUAUCUGGAAUUUGGAAAAGAGCCAUUUGAUUUUGUGACUCCUAUUAGUCAAAUAUUAGAAAAUUUUCUGAAACAAUUGAAUGAAUUAUUUGAUGAUUCCACAAUAUUGCAUCAAACAUAUUAAAUUUUCAGUCAAGUGGAUGAGUUUAAUCAUCUAAUUCCUUUUGUAAUUUUGUUUAUCAUCUACAAUGGUGUUGCUUAGCAUACUUUCAAAUAUUUCUGGGAUCGAUAAUUUCAUAUUGUAAUAAUGCAUAAAACGUAAGAUCUCCUUUUCAAGCACCAUUGCAUGACUUAGGGGUUUCUCAUACUAUAUUUGACAUGUAUUUGUAAUUCUGUGGCUUUCUUUCUGACCUGUUUUCAAGUCGGCUUUUGUCUUAGUAGCUAGUUGGCGACUUGAUGGCAAAGGAUGCUGAAUUGUCAGUCUGGACGGUUGAGUAAUGUAAAUAAAUAAGCAUUUUAAAGCUCGACUGGCGAUGAUUUUGUCUUUCUGGAAUCUGAAUGAGACUGCUAGGAAUGCUGUUGCUCGUCUGCUUGAGGUGGAAGGUAUUGAUGAAACUCCUCUAUUUUUAGACCAUCAAAAUAUGUCUAUUUCAAAUACCCGUACUUCAAGCCUAGACCUUCUUUUGAAAUGCAAUAUUAUAUAUGGUUUUAUUUAAAUUUAUUUUCCUUUUUUUUUUUAUCUGAAAUGCAAACUUAUUGAUUAGUAUUUGUAGUAAGUUAAAAUAUCUUUUCCUUAGAUGAUAUAGCCAAUACGUUUAUUUCUUCUUUUUGAAAAAUUUAUUUCCGUAGAAGUAACCGCUAUGGCUAAUAAUAUUCUAUAAGCAAAUAAUAUUUUAUACGUCAUCAUUUGGAAAAUACUAUUAAGACUACUUUUGUAGAGGAUUAUUAUAUAAAGCUUUUAAUUUUUUUUUAAAUUAAAAUCUUCCUAUAUUUGAAACAAUUUGCUUCAUGAAUUAAAAUAAAUUAUAAAAAAUAGAAAUAUUAAAUAAGUUAAAAUUUAAAGUAAAACAAUAUAGUUGGCUAUAGGAUUUGGACUUUUGAUAUGAUAAAAAAUUUAUAAAAAUAAAUUUUUAAAAUUUUAAUUUUGAAACAAAUGGUAUAAGCAUGUAAAAGAGGAAAAAUUAGAAGAAAGUGACAAAGAAUUAGAAAGGAAGUAAUAGAAAGGAAUUUAGAAAGUUGUAUGUGAUAAAAUAAGUAAAUUGAAGAGAAAAAUACUUUUUUUUUAACAUUAACCAUUAGAAUAAUAAAUGCUAAAAGGUGUAGGAAGAUUCUAUAGAAGUGUUUAUAUUUUAGAGUAUUAAAAGUUUGUUUUUUCAAUUCUCUCUCUAUAUAUAUAUUUAUAAAAAAAAAAAGAAAAAGGGGGAAGUACUUAUAGUGAGUAUAAGUAAGUCAUUUUCCUUAAGAGCUUAUGGAGAACCAAGGGGGAGCCUCACCUGCCCAUUCUAGUGAGAAUUCAGGUGGCUAGGGAGAUAAAUUAGCCGACUGUCGCACUCGAGGUGGAUCCAUUGCAAUUGCCUCAUCUACUGAGCCCUUUCUAAUCUACUACUCUCUUGCACCAUUGCAUUGGCACACUCCAGGUUGUCACUAUACAAUAAUGGGUUGCCUUGCAUUCCAGACCUUACUCAUCCAGUGUUGCAGCCACUUUUGCUGCACUGAUACUACACCCGAGGCACAAUUUGCAAGCCAAUUGCAGCACCCCCAUCAUUCUGCAAUCCUCUCUUUUUUUUUUCCUUAGCCGGAGGAAUUAUAUUCAAAGAAUUUUGAGCUAUAAUUUCCUGGUGUGCACGUAAGACAAGAUUUUUAAGCUGUUGAAUCCUAGAGGUAGGAUGUCACUUCUUUAUUACAUCGAUAAGUAUUAGUUAAUUAAUUCGAUAAGUACCCUCUUCGAUUUAUUUCAUUUUUUAUUUUUAGGUUAGGUUGAAUUUGGUUAUUUAUUAGAUCCUUUAACCAACAGAAGUACUUCAAAUCAUGGAUUAAAAAAUGGGAUUUUAUAAGGGAAAUAUCAUAGUUUGAUUGUUGGUCCGUUAAAAUUUUAAACUGUAGUUUGAACCCAAAUCCCUACCUGCAAAACAAAGAAGUCCAGCUUCACUAGGGCAAGUGUUGCCCUCAUUUAAUAUACUUCAAUCUAUCCACUCAUUUUAUCUUCCGAAGCUUUUCCUUUUUUAAUAAAUGAAUUAAUUUUAAUUAUCAAAUUUUCAAAUAAAUUUAAUUACUUCAUACUUUUUAUUGAAUAUGUUUAUAAUUAAACCAUGACAUAUAAAUAUAAACUUAUAAAUAAAUCAUAAAUGUUUUUAAUAAAAAAUUUAAUUAUAUACGCCUUUUUUGUAAUAUUCAAAUCGCUUAAAAGAAAAAAGUUUAUUUGUUAAACUCUUUACGUAUUAAGCGUCACCUACUGGGAGAUUAAAAGCUGAAAGUGUUUUUAAAAGACACUGGCAAAGGGAGUAAAUGCCAUGAACUUAAACUAAUUGUCACUGUGCAUAUUGAACCAAAGAUGAAUGAAAUAGAGAUGAACAAGCAUAAAAUUUAAUACCCAUCAUUUCUUAAAUUUGGAUGCGCAGAUGAAACAAAUCCGUCAGUCUACGAAAUCCUUUCAUCUUCCAGGAGGGUAGACGGAUCGAUGUAUGAAUAUGGUUCCGUAUGUGUCUUGCUGAAAUCAUGGAUGAAACUCGGGCCAAAGUGCUGCCAAUAGCAAGCCAAAAUUUAAAAGUUUUGACAGUUUAAUUCCGCCAGCAUGCAUCAUCCAGUUAAAAUUUCAAAUUGCAUUCCUAGUAAUCCGUUGAGAGAUUCAAGAAAAAAAGAAUAAAAACUUAACAGAAGCGCAAAACCAAGCUAAUUGGAAGAUGUAUGAGGCAAGAAGGAGCUUACAAGGUAGAGAGCAGAAAAGAAUGCCACGGUUACAACAACAAUCGGCCAAAAUCCAAUGAAGAAAGUCGCUCCGGUUGCUAGCAGCAGUUUAGCCCUGGGAACGAGACCCUGGAUUGAAAAAACCUAGGUGUCAAAUCUCUAAUAUAUGAGCAAGAAAAGCAAGAAAUCACCAUCUUUAAUAAAUUAUUUUUAGCUUCAAAAACGAAAUGAGUUCACCUCAAUUCCUUCGCUGUUCAAUGCCAUGGAACGCUCCCUUUGAUUGGACAAGCUGUUUUCAAUCUCGGUUGACACUAGAUUUGUCUUUGAAAUUCCACUGUCCUCCUCUUCACUGCCGGAAGGCAGUGAGGAGGUCUUCAUGCCUCUUCUCUUCAUUUCCUUAACGAACAACGACUCCGGAGCUUCCUCACCUGCAAUUGGAAUAUCAUAACAGGUUAGGGUUUCCAUAUUUUCUUUCCUCGUCUCCGCAACCGAGCAGACCGUGGACCAGAAGAAACCAUGAGCAGAGUUCAUUACCGUUUCUUUCACUCUUGCCUUCUUCAACUCCGCAACGAACUCGAAACCCACCGGUCAAACACUGACGAUCCCGUAACCUCAAAACCCUUCCUCCGACAGCCAAAGCACUAUAAUCCGGCCAGACAAAGUUCGAAUUCCGACAGAAACCAGAUCGGAACCCUACAGAAGAAUGUAAAGAAACCGCCAUAGCCUUUUUCUUUUUUUGUCAGGUUGCAGAUGGAAGGCAGCAAUGGAAGACAAUCAUUUUGAUGAUUGAGGGAUUGAGGGAUGAUUAAUCGUGAAGUUUACGUAAGUGAGAAUGGACUGUUGAUUCUUGUCUUGGAUGAUUGAGGCGUGUGUUAUUAGUAUUACAAUUAUCGCGGUUGGUUGCAUUCGGAAGAACAAAGUGAGUAGUUGCUUGGCGAUUGGGAUUUGUUUGGAAAGUUUAUAUGCUCUUUUUGUCCACAUUUUUCUUUUAAGCCACCUGUUAGUCACAUCAAGAAGCAAUUGACUAUGAGAUUUUUGGAAACUGAUUGUUGGUGUUGCCGCAUUGAACAUGAAGGCAGGCAUAUGAUAUGUGAAUUUGUAAUUGGUAGCAACUAGCUUGAAGAUCAACUCACUCUACAUCAUUGAAUAUAAGACUAUAAUCCAAUUGAUUAGAUAAACCUUAUAUGUCUUAAAAUAAGCAUAAUUGGAAGGAGGAUUUCCACAAUGGGUCUCAACAACAAAAAAUUCUAAUGUACUAUUGAGGUUUAAACAAAAAGCACAAAAUGUAAAGCAAAUUUUUCUAUUUGAAAACUUCUUAUAAGAGGAGGAAAAUAUAAAAAAAUUUAUAAAGAUUCAUAUCAUUUUAUUUUUCUUUUUAAAAUUUAAGUUGAAAUCUUAAUUGUCAACUAAGGUUUUGUUUUUAAAUUGAAACUGUUCGAUUGAGACUUCAUUUUUUAAUUAAAACUUCAAUUAUCAAUUUAGAUUUUGGUUUAUAUAUUUAAACUUAAGCAUAUAGUAUUAAUUUAAUAAAAAUAAUAAUAAAUAAAUAUUUUAUUUAUCAAUAAAUCAUUAAUCUUAAAAUAAUAAAGCUAUAUAACAUAAAAAUAAGAUAUAAAAUUAUAUAAUUUAUUAAUUUAAGAUAUUUAAUUUAUUAUAAUUUUUAAAUCAUUAAUCUUAAAAUAAUAAAGCUAUAUAACAAAAAAUUUAUCUUUAUCAAAAUAAUAGUAUACUUUUAAAUUUUCAUAUAUAGAAUUUUUAUUAUUUUAAAGCAUAUGUUUAUAAUUUUAUGUAAAAAACAAUAUAUAUAUAUAUAUAUAUAUAUCCCUUCAAUAUAUCAUUUUAAAGCAUAUGUUUCCUCUCAUUGUUAAUGGGUACGGGAGGUGUGAAAAAACCAUGAAUUUAAAAACCGGACCUGCCCAUCACAAUUCCCGUCUGGUCCGAUCAAUUGGCCAGAAAAUAGGUUGAAUGGGCGGUCAGACUGGCGAACUAGAUGAUUCAAUUAAUUUUUUAUAGUAUCAAAACGACGUCAUUUUGAUGCUUCUAACAUCAAAAUGAUGUCGCUUUGAUGCUUUUGACAUCAAAAUGACGUCGUUCUGGAGAAUAUAAAAACUCUUUAACCCCUCCUUCUCCAUCUGAACUUCGGUGAAGAAGUUGUCGCCCCCCAACGCACCGCGACACCCACGCUAGCUCCCACUAGAGGUCUUCCGGUCGUUACACUGCCUGUCCACCCGGUUGCCUCGUUGCAAAACCCGCUGCAACAUGAUAUGGGAUAUGAUUUAAUGUCUUUUAUAUGGAUUUACAUUGAUGGUAUGAGAUAUAAUUUAAUGGUAAAAUUAAAAAUAUUAUAAUUUUAAAUAAUUUUUUUAUUUAAAAAUAAGUUUUUUUAUUUAAAAAUAAGUUUUUUUAUUUAAAAAUAAAUAUUAAAAUUUUAAAUUGUAAAUUAAAAUUAUGAUUUUAAUUUAAAUUUCUAAUUUGAAACUAAUUUUUAAAUAAUAUAUAAAUUAUUAUUUUUAUUUUUAUAAUUAUUUUAGAUUUUAAUAAUUCAUAAAUUGUAUACUUAUGACGUCACCGUUAAUGAAUUAUCAACCAGUAACUUUUUCUAAUCGGUCCAUUACGAAAACAUGGGAAAAAAUAGGCAAACUCUCAAAUGAUGACACUCAAAAAUCGAAAAAAACAAGAGUCAAACACGGAAAGGAGAAUGACGACUGGUGGCUUUCCACUGUUGGCUGCUUCCAUUUCUGGAAUGAUCUGUUUUUGUGCAAGCCUGGGUCUCCGCCCAAAGAAGACCUUCCAACUCGGACGAUUGGGCCGUGAGGGUAUUUGGGCCAGCGACAUUUAUAAUUUGGAUCCAACAGUGAAUGGCCCAUCGUUCCAACGGAUUUCCGGUAGACAACAAUAAAAUAUUUGAAAAUUAUAACUUAUUUAUAAAAUUGUGAAGGAAUAAAGGGAGAUGAAACGAAUAGUUUUCAAGAUAUUUCUACCAUUCCUGAGAAAUAAAAGGGAAAAGAGUGGGCUCAGCACUGAAGAGUCGAAGACUGUAGUUAAGAAAUUAUUGGUCCAUAUAUGAUGGCAAAGAAUGUGCACCGAAUGGACAGAAAGUUCCUCUUCAUUUUAGGGAUAUUGAAGCUACGUCACACCGUAGAAUAAGGUGCUGUGUUUUCAAACGUGGCGCAUUGCCGAUUGCAGCCAUAGCUAUCGCCUGCGCCAUCCCUUUGGUGUCACAAGCACCAAAUCCGCCAAAAAUAGACAAAUCGGGAGUGAAGCCUCAGCCGACAUGUUCAAGUACCCAUAAGUCAACAAUGGGUGUUUUCCAUGGCAUGUGGCAGUGCGACAGCCACCGGGACGAAGGCAACGUCAGCGAUUCACAGACUCCAUUUUUUUUAUGUCUUGGUCUACUCUCAUUCUCAUAACCAAAAAAGAUAACACAUGCAACACAUUUUUGAAUAAAUAUCCGGCCAAACCACAUGGUAGGCCUGCCUCGUUUUGUUUACCCAAAUUACGAGUUCAGGACAAUACUGGAGACCGACCGCCCACUUGGCGAAUGGUAUCAAUCACCAACAGGAGCCAAAAUCAUUCAGAAAGAAACAUAACCAAAAUGAAAUGGAAUACAGCUGGUUGGUAAAGAGGACUUGAAGAGUACAAUUUAUACGUCUUUUUUUCAGAACACAUAUUUCAGUGGAGUAGAAUGGAGGAGGAAAACCGCACAACACUGUACCAAAUUCUCAAAGGGUGAUAUAUUAUUCUAUUUAACCAUGCAAGACUUUGAAUAAACUAACAGGCUCAUGGUCAUAGACGUCGCAUCUCCUCCUCCCUAUUCUACCUUGUACACAAUAGUUUAGGUAGCAUAUGGCCGUUCACAUCACCAUUUAUUAUUAUUAUCUUUAUUUUAUUUCACAAUGAAAUCAAGGUAGUGGAAUUCCAUCACUCUCCACUCAGACUCGUCAGUGGAGUAUGGUCCCCAGAAAAAGCAGAGGAAAACAAAACAUACUGUAGUAAAAAGGGUAACAAUCAUCGCCUGAGUUGACUUCUCACAGUGAAUUGUCCAAAUGCUUGGUUUUUCUAUCUUGUUCUGCUCGGUGUAUAGUAACAACAGCAUAAAGAAUCCCAAGGCUCUUGGUUUAACGACAAACUGCAAUCUGACACAGUAUUGAAAUAUCGUACCAUUGUUCAUUGUUGUGGACCUUUUUGCCAUACCGCUUUUUUCCAGGACAGCGAGAAGUUUGGAUUCAUGCCCUAGAUUACUGGAUUUCAGUAACUGUGGUGUACGUUAAGUCGUAAGUGUUCACUCUGAAGAGGAAAACUACGGAAUUUUCUGCUUUAAUAAUCGGUUUGAUUCAAUGCUCAAUUCAGAUGAUCAAGUGUACCAUUUAAGUCAAGUGAGAGUAGAUUUACCAAAUAUUUCGGAAUUUUUAUUUGAUAUUGCCCAAAAUUAGUUUAAGGUACUAUGUAAAAUUUGUUGUAAAAGGAUUAUAGACAAAAAAAAAUUUGCUUAAUUUAUAUACCACAAUUUUUUAAGUUAAUAAUACCAUUCACAUAACUCUUUGACGAGCCUAAAUCCCCAGUUGCAAAGGGUUUCUUAUCAUUUUUUAACAAACCCAAUGAAAAACUUAGAAAUCUAAGUACUUGAAAUCUUCUCUAUCUUUUUGUGUCGGUGUAAAUACAAGUUCUAUAAUAUAAUAAACUAUUAGUUAUAUUAAAAAAAUAUCUCAAAUUAUAUUUUAAAUAUGUUUACGAAUAAUUAUUAAUUUUAAGGAAUUAUUUUCAAGUUUGACUGAAUGAAAUCAAAGAAUAUCACUUACAAUUGAAUGAAAAAUUGUUACUAGAAAGAGAAUUGAAGUUGAUCUUGCUUGAUUUUAUUUCUCAGAAAUUCUUGUAUAAAUACCUAUUUUUAAAGUGGUAAUAGUUGUGACGGUGUGAUUGAAACAGUAAUAGUUUAUAUCCUUGUAAAAUAGUUUAUAACUUUUUUUAUCCUUGUAAAAUAUUUUAUAACUUUUUUAUUCUCCCUUAACCUCCUCGUAAUUAUAGAGUUUUGAUUGAAUCACACCAAUCCUUUUAUAUUAUAUGUAUGUUGUUUUAUGGUUUUUUAUCUUUUUGUUAUUAUUUUUUGCUUUGUUUUUCUUUGCAAAAAAAUUAUAUAAAAUAUAAAAAUGAAAGUUUAUAAAUAUGAUAAAACAGAUGACUAGAAAGAACUUCUAAUGAUGUACAAUCAUAAGCUAGCUAUAAAUCCUGAACAUAAGUUGCACCUUUGGAUCGCGUUAUUACUCCUUUACGACCAAUUUUAUGGAAGAUGUCAGGAGGAAGGCCAUAUUCUCUUCUCCAAAAUCGAAGUGUGCCUUUCUAUUCCCAAAUAUGCAUCAAAGCGGGUUACAAAAGCCAAGGGUAAUUCACACGCAGAGGAGAGUGCGUGUGGGCUUAGUAUGGCUCCUCCAUCCAACCUUUAAAAAAUGUUACGGGGGUUUAGACCCAAGGACAGUGAGGACCACUAACGUCAAGCCAUGGACCCAUCAUUACAUUUGCAUGAGCAUAUUGCCCUGGAAGUUGGAAAAACCUCCUCAAUCUUUGGUCUCAUCCUUACCCCUAUGUCUCAUCAUUCUUUCCCCAUCACCCUCCCUCCACUAGGCUAAAUACUCCGCAUGGGUUAAAGCAAUCUUCUUUUAUACAUUCUGAGGUGGCCCCAUAUCAUCUCAUGAAUUACGACAUAUGGAAAGCCAACACAGUCGUGAUAAGAAAGAAGUAGAUUAGAUAUGGUAGACUGGUAGUGGCCAUUGGCAUUAUGUAUGCCCAGGCCUCUUUACUACACGAACUCCACAUCCAUGUACGUAUAAAUAUGAAAUUCCCGUGUCCCAUAACAGAUAAGAGGGCUGCUGUUGAGGCGGCCCAUCGCCCAUCGCAGUGGAAUUCUACAAGUCAAUUUUGUGCAUUGCCCACCCACCUACACAACAUGCUACCUUCCCUCCACUUUCUGAUGUAUCCUGGCAUAUUGUAAAGUUCUUCGAUAAUUACAUGAAACUUGUAAGUAAUUUAAAUAUUGCGAUCAAAAUGGUCGUUCGGUUUGGGCACACUGAGAUCCAAUGCCACGUGAAUCUGGCUGGCAACCGCAGAAGAUUAUAUUUCCUAAUAAAAUAGAACCAAUGUGGUGCGGCCUUCAAUGAACGUAAAAAACGUGGAAGCAUAUCCGACGCGCCGGGCCAAAAAGGAAACAUAUCGCAGGCAAUCUUUUUAGAACGAUGUCGAAUCAUUUAAGAAAAAGAAAUGACAACGAUAGCAAUCAAGCCAUUGGUCCGAUUCUGGGUGCCUCAAGGUCACGGCCAUCAAAGAUUGUCAUCAUUUUCUCAAUUUAAAAGAAAAAAAAAACAAUGUUUAUUAUGUGUAGGAUUUUACCUUUUCAAGGAAAUCACAGGGUUUAUUCUGGGAUAUAUCUUAAAUAUUUUAUUUUUCGUGAUAAAAAAUUUCAAAUAUUAAAAAAAUACUUAAUGAAUGUUCUGGCCCAAUUCUUUUGGGCAAGUUCACAGAUUUGUGCCAAAUGGCACAUGCACAGCCAUCCACCUGGGCAAAAAAGGGCAAAGACACGAUUGUACUAGCAAGUAGCACCUACUCAGCAUCAUUGUAAAUCAUUGAGGUUUAAAUACAGAUAUGAGCAAAUCUUAAAAAUUAAAGAUAUUAGCUAAGUCUGAAGGACGUCCAAACUGUCCGGAUAAGGACCAGACACAUGGAGCUCUGGCGAAGAAAACAUUACCAAAUUCCUGAUGAUAAGGUCAUGAGCCUAACAUUAUUUUAUGGUUUUAUGUCUGAAUCUUAUUUUAUGAUGUCUUAAUCCACAGCGAAGAAACUUCAACAAUCAGGGAGGUCUUGUAGACUUGGACAUACUCUGACUGCGUUACGGAAUCUGUCUUCUCUCAUUGGUGAAAUAUGGAAUCAGAAAAAUACAACGUUAAAAAUUCUUAAUUUACUUUGGAGCUGAAAAGGAAAAUGAAAAAGUAUGGAAAAUCUAAUUUUCCUUUUAUUGAUUUUUUUUUCCUUCUGAUAAGAGCACUAAGAUAAUUCAGAAUUAUUUUUUUUUGAAUUUGUUCGAAACAAUGACCGUAGAAAGGAGAGGAUGGGGAUUCCAAGCAGAGCGCGUGCAAACAUUUGGGAAAAUGAAGACGAGGUGUGCGCUUUUGUAUUUUAGCAACUGUGCAGCUAAGCAUCACCAAAUAUUUUAUAUAUAUAUAUAUAUAUAUUAGAUAUGUUAAACAAUAAUUAGAGAGCCCCGUAAGGCCCACAUCCCACAUCGGCACAUCCCCCAUCUCACAUCGCCGAUAACUUCACUGUUUCUCUCUGGAAACCCAUUCACCUGGCCUCUAGCCUAUAUUAACUAUCUCCCAGAUCUUUAGACUAGAAAACAUCAACCCCUCUGUAUAUUCUACGCGUUUGUGUACCCUGCGAAACCCACGCAUUGGCGUGUGGUUUUGAUCCGAGCAAGCAUCUUUCUGCUGGAUUCUUCCUGGCUUUCAGGAUCACGCAACACCUCUGUCUCCAUUGUUGAUUCAAACAUUGUUUCUUUAAAUCUUUGAAAAAGCGAAAAGAAAAAUCUUUAUUCAUUUGCUUUUGAAUUAGGGUUUUGGGACAUGAGGUUGAAUAUGAAUGAGGAGGGGAGGGAGGAGGAGGAGGAGAUGAUUCAGGGACGCUUUUCGAUCGGAGAAGGGGGAGGGUUUCAAAAACCCAUGAAGCUGGUUGUGGUGGGCUAUGCUCUUACCUCCAAGAAGACUAAGAGCUUUUUGCAGCCCAAGCUUGAACGUUUAGCUAGGUAUCGAUUUUUUUUUUUUAUUAUCUACAGAAUCUCUCUGCUAUUUUGUUUGCAAAAUUACCUACAGAAUCUCCCUGUUCUUUUGUUUAAUAAUCGGUUUGGUUGUGCAGAAAAUUUGAGAAAUGAUCGAGUCUUAUGCUUCGACGAAAACCUCCUCUCGUUUCUAAUGAACCUUAUAGCUUUGCCCUGCUGAUUUCAUUUCCCCCCCCACCCUUUUUUUUUUCGCUCUCUUAUUUUUUAUAUUUUAUUUUUUAUUUGGGUUUUCUGCCAAAGGGAGGCUAGAUUUUUAUUUAUUUAUUUUUGGUUUAUUUUUUGUUUUUCCCUUAAAGCGGGGAUCUUUCUGUUUCUGCCCCAUAUAAGCUUUCUCCGUAGGGGAUGAGUUCGGUGUCUUUGACCACAAGAUCACUUCUGAAAAGUUUAGAAUAUUCAAUAUUCAUGAAUAUUAUAUGGUUGAUAUCGUUCUGGGGAAUCAUUUCUUGAUAUGGAGAAUCUUUGGUUCUUUUUUUUUUUGUUGGAAAAUUUGUGAAUUUUGGUUUUAUACGGUUUUAAUAUUGGACUAUUCAAACAAAGAUGUAUCAUUUUCAUUUGGUGCGAAGGAAAAUAGAAGUUCUUGUAAAAUCUCACAACUACCAUUCCAACCCCAAACAGCUAGAACCAGCUAAUAAUUUUUUGUUGAAUUUAACAUAAACUAUCUUUAACUUUGAAAUAUGUAUCCUGCCGCUGGUUAAAUACCCUGAUUUACUCCCUGCUGGUUGUUGUUGUCGGGGUCAGCACCCUAGGUUUGGGUUCAUAGAGCUUGGGCACGGAAGUUUCCACGCUUAUAAACAAAAAAUAAAUAAAUAAAUAAUUGAAAUACGUAUGACCGAAAUAAUUCAGAAACCUUUCUUGCACCGUACAUUAAAGUUUUAUAGAUGUUGUAGUCUUUUCUGGACCCUUUUAUUUAACCAGGAGCUAACUCGAUGAGAUUUCUGUUGAUUUUGCAAUUUUUGUCUGCUUCUUCCCCUCUUCUGUAAUGAAAAUUGUUGUUAUUGUUACUUUUCAUAUUGUAACGUGGAUACUUUUUGAGUAUUGUUUUGUUAAUCACUGUUCAUAACCACAUCUCCUGAUGUUGAUCUUUGUGCACUCAUGUUAUGAAAUGAAUCUAAUUUAAUUCUAUGCUCUCGGGUUAUGAGGUUAAUCUAAUUUAACUAUAUGCAUGUGGCAGGUAUUGGGUUAGCUCAUAAUGUUUUAUUUUCCUAUCCAUUUAUAGAGGGAAAUUGUUUAUAUUUUUUAUAUGAAAAUCUUGGUUUCUUUUAGUGAUUGUCUCUUUCUAAGAAAGACUAAUAAUAAACUAUAUGAGGUUUCAUGUUUUGGGCAUUAGAGUUUUAAUAUACGUUUAGUCUGUCCAUUGUUUACAUUUCCAUUUUUUCUAUUCAUUAACUGGCUAACGUUAUAAAUGCGGUGCAUUGAUGCAGGAAUAAGGGGAUAUCAUUUGUUGCCAUUGAUCAAAAUCGCUCCCUUUCAGAGCAAGGCCCCUUUGAUAUUGUGUUGCAUAAGGUUGGUAAAGAUUUCUCUUUUUCUUAUGCAGUUUCUCUUUAUAAAAAGUAAUGAUGAGUCUCCUCUAGUGGGCUUUUUAUUUUUUAUUUGGCUGGUGAUUACACCUGGGUUUGGUGAUUAUCAAUUAAUCUCUCUUAAAGUCAUUCUGUCAAUUAAUUAUUAUUGCUGUUGUCUGCAUGUUUAUGAGGUAGGUUUUGGUUUAAGGGGAACAUGCUCACCUUUAAUGGAUCUUUCUUUCUUUCCUUUUUGUAUUUUUAAUGCAGCUAUCAGGAAAGGAGUGGCGCCAGAUUCUUGAGGUUGGUCCAUUUAAAACUCUUCAUUAUUCUGCCAAUUAUAAGAAUUUGUUAAUUUUCUAGAACUGAAUGAUUACUAUUAUGCCACAAUGGCGUGACAUGCUACUCAUCUUAUGAUACUAUAUAUUCAUGCUGGCAACCAAACAAAUACUGACAUUGGCUGGU
rnacentral:lncRNA from 1 species